CCACAAACACGAUGCACAACCGCUAAGAAUGGAAAGCUUCCACAAGAUGAUACUGUACCAUCACUCUUCAAGCAAGGUAACAUCUUAAGGUACUUGACUAUCACUUUUAUAAGCUUCUCCUUGGUUCUGGCGUUCAUAUAAAUAAAAGAGACAAACGUGUAUGAUUUACAACUCUAGAUUAACCAACCCAACUGAUUCAACAUGUUUAGUCCUUUAAUCCUUGUUCUUAGUACUACCUCCAUGAUCCCACACUCCUAAUCAUUUGAGCUAAAAUGUUACACAUUCAAUCAUUGAGAGAUAUAAAGAAAAAGAUAUGUACAUAAAUAGAUUAUCUUUCCAUAAGGUUGAGCGAUCUGAUCUGACAAAUGUUAUAAGUGCUACACUCAUGAACUUAUCAUCCAUCAACUUUGUCUUGCUCACUAUGCUUAAGGUUAGAGAAGAACAAAUACACUUUUGGUUCUGUUGGUGUUUUCCACCAACAGGGCCCAUGCACUUGAUCUCUGCCUUGUCUCUAUGAGCAGGUACACUACGAGCACAAACACACUGAGCAAGAUACUGCUAACACCGCACUUCGAACUGCUGGGCAAACGAAGAACAUGGGUGACACCGUAUUAAAAGGUGCAGACGUCAAGGUCCGCACCUGAAUCAAAUGACGCACCUGAAGAAUGAACACGGUGAGAAGUCUUGUCAAGAAGACUUAAAACAUUACACCCUCGCCGAAAGGUAAGAUUGGUAGUUAUCCAUAUUUAUCCUUUCUGCAUUCCCUUUUCCCUUUAAUUAUUUACUUUCCUUAAAUACAUUUUUGGUUAAUCAUGCUAUCUUGAAAAGAAAAUAAAAAUAUUAAAAAAUACUAAGCCCCAAGUGAGUAUACGAGUGGCAUAAAACCCAUAAGUACCUUCACUGUGGUGGCAUAAAAAUAAAAUAAAUAUUUCUUUUUUACUUUAUAAAAUAAAAAUAUAAAAACAGGGAGUAAUAUUUAUUGAGGAAGCUCAACGUGAUGAAGGCUAGAUAUUUAUGCUAACACUUAAUUAGUUCCACAAGCUUUGUUGUCUAUUUGAGCUCCACAGAAUUUAAGAAUCAAGAAGACUAGCAGACGGAGGACAUUCUAAUCGCUGUCAGAAUGCUGCUGACUUUUAAAUACACCUCUGCCACCUGCUAGCUACAUCAAGAGAAAUUACGUCAAAAUUCAGCUUGGGGGAGAGCACCCCUAUUUAUCUCGCUAAGUAUUUCUACCUAUCUUUAUACUUAUAUUAUAUUAGAAUAUUAAUAUACAUAAACUAUGAAAAACCAAAUAAAGAUUUUAUGCUUAUAUAUAUAUAUAUAUCUUCUCUUAGUUUGUUAAAUAAAUAAAUAAAUAAAUAAAUAAAGUUUGCUAUGAAUCUUAAUAAUAAAACUCUAGCAUGGAUAUGAUGAAUAGUUGCUCUGCCUAAUUUGCAAAUUUGAAGUUCUCUCUCAAGUUUAGACAUAACUGUUAUAAUUUAAAGCUUGCUCUAGAUCUAAACUUGUGGGAUGAAAACUUAACCUGAAAUCUAAGUUGUUAACGGAUAUGAUAUGGGAAGGUUGAGCUGCUGUUUAUCUGUUCCUAGAGAUGCUAGAAUUCUGGAGAAUUUUAUCUUUGAAAAUCUUUAAAAUAUUGCAUGAUGAGUUCCUGUAUGAUGAAGUUUAAAUUCCUACCACAGCCAUAUAUACAUGCUUGCUAGACUUUGAGCCACACAUUUAUUUACUGCUUAUGAGCAUUGAGUGUGGUCAAGCUGUGUAGACCCUUAGGAGCUUGUCAUGUGGUUAAAUCAAGAUUCACUUGCACGUUCACUCAUAUAUGCUACUUCUACUCCGGAAGUACCAUCCACAUAUAUCCAUCCAUUUCCAUCUCCAGUUUCACCCAAAAUCAUUCUACUCCUAAUCCGGGAAAGAAUAGCCAAAAACAUUUUCCUAUCCCUGUUAUUCCCUAUGAAAUAAAUGCUCCAGUUAUUUUGGUUACUACCACUUGCUAUAUUAUCUUAAGAGAUGAGUGCUCUGAAAAAAAAAAGAAGAAAAAAAAAGAGAGAAAAGAAAAAAAAAUAAAACGAGGAAAUAAAAAGGGGCAAGUGCCCGGAACCUCGAAAGAAAAGAAAAAGAGUGAGACGAGAAGUAAAAAUGGACAAGUGUCCGACAGUAGAAUUAGGGGUACAGGAUACCCAUCUGAGAGAAAAGAAAAAGAAGAGCAUCUCAUUCUCCUCAUAAAGUUUCAAAAAGCAAGGAAGGUAUGUAUCCCCUCAAAAGAGCAAAAGUAGAAUUAGACUUUCACCAUUGUUAUCACCAUCAUCACCAUACACUAUUCAUUUGCCACACAUGCACAUCUUGAUUUGUCUUAUUGAUUUGUUUCUUUGGAUCCAUGGUUUGACUAUACAAUAAAUGUCUUGUAAGUAUGUAUAUUUUAUCUCCCACCUAUGAGCUCCAGAUAUUAAAGCCUUAUUAGAGUAGGGUGAGAGAGAAGACAAUGUCACUAUCCCUUAUACCACAAAUACCACAUAUUUUGAGAGAAGGCAUAUACCAUCACUUCCUUGGUAAGGAUCUAGAAUUACCACAAAAGAGAGAUAUGAGAGAGUCAUACAAAGGAAUCUCUGUGUUUUAUUUGGAAAUCUGCAAAAACUCCAGAGCUAUAGCUGAUCAAGAAUAAGCGACAUGGCACUUGACUGGACUAUUCUAUCAUUUAACCACUCAAGAAAGAAGUGACUGUUACAAGUCCCAUGGUGAAAGGUAAAGUAAGUAAGUUUUAAGUCUUGACAGUUUACUCUAACUCAGAGAUGAGACCUCAUUUAAAAGCAUGUGUACCGUCAAUUUUUAAAGAUAUUGCAACAACUUAUGAUCCAUAGCUGAGUCUAUCCUUGCUCAGGGACGAGCAAGAGGUAAGCUUGGGGGAGUUUGUUGACGGUCCUUAAGUAUCAAAUUGAACUAUCAAAUAAACAAAGAAAAGGAUCCAAAUGAAAUCAACAUCGAGACUUAGGGUUUUAUCUGACAGAAUUCCAUGAGUUUUGGUGUUUGUCUAUUUCUGCAGGGGGUUAUCAGGAAAUAAGGAAGAAAGGCCCACACGUCGGGAUUACAUAGAGAUAUCAACGUGCCGUGCAAUUAUCUUACAUCUAGAAGACUCCAGAAGCCACGGGAAGGAAGCGGAGACCGAACGGAGUCAGGGACAGGGCGCCCGCCCAAGUCCUUAGGGCGCCCGCCCACCUUUUUCGGCCAAUCAUGCUCAAUCUCGCAGAUUAUGCUCCACCGACCUAAAGGAUCAAGAAUAACCGUUCAAUCAAUGUCGGUUUGAUCCGACGGCCCAGGUUCACUUGAGGGGACUAUAAAACCAGACCCCCUGGCCCCUGGAGGAGGCACCCCCUUGAUCAUUAUUCAUUAUUCAUAGACAGAGCAAAAGCUAGGGUUUAGAGAUGAGAGCUCUCCUCUCUUCUCUAAACUAGAGUAGAUCUAGAUAGUAGCGAGAUGGAGAGCGAAGGAGGAUUAGAGGAGAGGCCGGCCUGUCGGUUCUUCCUCCGGUUGUACUUCGCCAUGAUCAAGCUCUAAUCAAGCUUGCUCAUGGGAUGACUCUGGUAAUCUACUUCUAAUUCAUUAUGCAAUUACUAAUCAUGUAUGUUGUGGUUCACAACUCUUUUGAGUACUUCUAAUCUAUAGGACCCUAUAGGUUAGAGUUGUAGUAUAGGUGUAAGCGUGGUGCUUAGACCUAGAUUACUUGUGGAUAUCCCCUGACUAGCUGGAUCGUGUGGUAGGCCGCGUAGGUGACAGUUACGUUGGUCCCCUGUAGUCCAACUCUCGUUAGCAGGACGGGUAGGGUUUAUCGGCCUAAGGAUAAGCAUCCUUUGUGGUGUACUCUUAUCAUGUGGUUCGUCCCAGACAUAGACAUACCCCUUUGAAGUAGAGAAACCAUAGUUAUCCUCUGUAUUCUGCUACCAACGCCCAUAUACUAGAAUUGCUCUAUUCUCUAUUCCCAUAUUAUCACUCACUGUUAUCAUACCUUUAAUAUUGUUCUUAUUUAAUUCUAUCAUCUUUCCUAUUUACACCUAUCUAUCUAUCUUGGUUAAGUUAGAGUGUAGUUGGUUCUCCCGUUUCCCUGUGGAUACGAUAAAACCUUUAACCGGGUAAAAGCUUCAACGGUAUCCGUGCGCUUGCGGAUUAUCUGUGUGCGUAGAAAUACCAUAGUACACUCUAGUGCCAUGCUGGGGAUGACAACCUAGUAUUCAAGUGGUGUUAGCAAGUGUCAACACAAGCAAACUUAGCAAUCAUUGUGAGACAAGACUACGCCCAUGCAUAGUGAUAUUAGCAAGGAAUAUGAGAAACAUAGCAAUCACUCCCCUAUAAUAAUGUUGCUCUGCCAGCCCAAUACAUGAGAGGGGGACUAUAUAAGAAUCAAUGAAGCUGUCACUAUUACGAACCACCCCACGAUCUGGCAUUGGGUACAAUCGCAGAUAAAUAUGGUAUAAGCACCACGCCUACACAAUAUCUAUCAUUUACCCAUGGAUCCGAUGGAUAAACGCUAUACGAUCCUAAGCAAAGUCAUAAGAAAUAUAUUGAAGUAGAACAAAGUCAUAUUCAUAAUAUUGAAGAACAAAGAUAAUUAGAAAGCAAUUACAAGCACAAUUAGAGAAUUACCAAGAAUCCUCUUGACAGAUCCGGAAACCAAUCGAAGAUUGACUCCUUCUAGUUCUAAUCCUAUGUAGCUAUGCUAAUCUAGAUGUCUAAUUGAUGUGGUUGCUCUAAUCUUGAUCAGAGGCUUCUUCUCCCUUGAUGGAACAAUGAAUUAGGGUUGAGAGGCUCUCUCCUCCAGGGGCCAGGGGGUCUGGUUUUAUAGUCCCUUCAAGUGAAUAUGGGCCCUUGGAUCAAACCGACAUAGAUUGUAUGGUUUAGAUUCAUCCUUUAGGUCGGUGGAGAUCUCCCGCAAAGCAGAGUCCUGAUUGGACUCCUGGAGGGGGCGGGCGCCCAGUAGGACAGGGCGGGCGCCCUGUCUCUGGCCCCGUUUCGCCUCCGCUUCGGUCUCGUGGCUUCUGGAGUCUUCUAGAUGUAAGAUAAUUGCACAGCACGUUAAUAUCUUUACGUAAUCCCGACAUGUGGGCCUUUCUUCCAUAUGUCGUGAUAACCCCCUGCAAAAAUAGACAAACACCAAAACUCAUGGAAUUCUGUCAGAUAAAACCCUAAGUCUAGAUCUUGAUUUCAUUUGGAUCCUUUUCUUUAUUUAUUUGAUAAUUAAAUUUGAUACUUAAGGACCGUCAACAAACUCCCCCAAGCUUACCUCUUGCUCGUCUCUGAGUAAGGAUAGACUCAGCUAUGGAUCAUAAGUAGUUGCAAUAUAUUUAAAAAUUGACGCUACACAUGCUUUUAAAUAAGAUCUCAUCUCUGAGUUAGAGUAAACUGUCAAGACUUAAAACUUACUUACUUUACCUUCACCAUGGGACUUGUAACUGUCACUUCUGUCUUGAGUGGUUAAAAGAUAGAACUGUCUAGCCAAGUGCCAUGUCUCUUAUUCUUGAUCAGCUAUAGCUUUGGGGUUUUUGCAGAUUUUCAAAUAAAACUCAGAGAUUCCUUGUAUGAUUCUCUCAGGUCUCUCUUUUGUGGUAUUUUUGGAUCCUUACCAAGGCAGUGAUGGUAUAUGCCUUCUCUCAAAAUAUGUAGUAUUUGUGGUUUGAGACAUAGUGACAUUGCCUUCUCUCUCACCCUACUCUAAUAAGGCUUUAAUAUCUGGAGCUCAUAGGUGGGAGAUAAAGUAUACAUACUUAUAAGACAUUUAUUGCAUAGUCAAACCAUGGAUCCAAAGUAACAAGUCAAUAAGCCAAAUCAAGAUGUGCAUGUGUGGCGAAUGAAUGGUGUAUGGUGAUGAUGGUGAUAACAAUGGUGAAAACAAUGGUGGUGGAAGUCUAAUUCUACUUUGCUCUUUGAGGGGAUACAUACCUUCCUUGCUUUUUGAAACUUUAUGAGGAGAAUGAGAUGCUCUAUAUUUUUCUUUUCUCUCAGGUGGGUAUCUUGCACCCCUAAUUCUACUGUCGGACACUUGUCCAUUUUUACCUCUCGUCUCACUUUUUCUUUUCUUUUGAGGUUCCGAGCACUUGCUCCUUUUUAUUUCCUCGUAUCUUUUUUUUAGAGGAUUCAUCUCUUGAGAUAAUAUAGCAAGUGGUAGUAACAAGAUAACUUGAGUAUUUAUUUCACAAGGGGAAAACAGAAAUAUUUUUGGUUACUCUCUCCCGGAUUAGGAGUAGAAUAUUUUUGGUUGGUUCUGGAGAUGGAAUGGGUGGAUAUAUGUGGAUGGUACUUCCGGAGUAGAAGUAGCAUAUAUGAGUGAACGUACAAGUGAAAUCUUGAUUUAACCACAUGACAAGCUCCUAAGGGUCUACACAGCUUGACCACACUCAAUGCUCAUAAGCAGUAAAUAGUAAAUGUGUGGCUCAAAGUCUAGCAAGCAUGUAUAUAUGGCUUUGGUAGGAAUUUAAACUCUCAUCAUACAGGAACUCAUCAUGCAACAUUUUAAAGAUUUUCAAAGAUAAAAUUCUCCAGAAUUCUAGCAUCUCUAGGAACACAUAAACAGCAGCUCAACCUUCCCAUAUCGUAUCCGUUAACAACUUAGACUUCAGAUCAAAUUUUCAUCCCACAAGUUUAGGUCUAGAGCAAGCUUUAAAUUAUAACAGUUAUAUCUAAACUUGAGAGAGAACUUAAAAUGUGCAAAUUAGGCAGAGCAACUAUUCAUCAUAUUCAUGCUUAAAUUUUAUUUAGAUACAGAUUAGCAUAGCCACUUUAUUUAUUUAUUAAACACACUAAGCAAAAGACAUAUAUAUAAGCAUAAAAUCUUUAUUUGGUUUUCCAUAGUUUAUGUGUAUUUAUAUUCUAAAAUAAUAUAAGUAUAAAGAUAGAUAGAAAUACUUAUCGAGAUAAAUGGGGGUGCUCUCCCUCAAGCUGAAUUUUGACGUAAUUUCUCUUGAUGUAGCUAGCAGGUGGCAGAGGUGUAUUUGAAAGUCAGCAGCAUUCUGACAGCGAUUAGAAUGUCCUCCGUCUGCUAGUCUUCUUGAUUCUUAAAUUCUGUGGAGCUCAAAUAGACAACAAAGCUUGUGGAACUGAUUAAGUGUUAGCAUAAAUAUCUAGCCUUUAUUAUCUUGAGACUCCUUAAUAAUUAUUACUCCCUGUUUUUAUAUUUUUAUUUUAUAAAGCAGAAAAAUAAUUAUUUUAUUUUUAUACCACCACAGUGAAUGUACUUAUGGGUUUUAUGCCACUCGUCUACUCACAUGGGGCUUACUGUUUUUCACAUUUUUAUUUUCUUUUUUAGGAUAAUACGAACAAGAUUAACUAAGUAAACUAUUUGAAAUAAUUGAAAUGAUUAAAAGGGAAAGGAUAACUUCCAAGUUUACCUCUUGGCAAGGCGUUCGGUGUUUUUAAGUCCUCCGAACGGGACUCUCCUAUUUCUUAAUCGUCCUGAGGUUCGUUGGGUGGCGUAGUCGGUACUUCCGGCAGCGCCUCGUCUUCAUGUAUAGUUAUCUUCAUUUUCCACACCUGACUCGGUGCUUCAAUCUCCUCUAGAUAAUUUUGUUUAAACUCUAUGUCUUCUGACCUUACAACUUCUCCUUCAUAGUCUGCCCAUCCAUCCUUGAUGAUCUGCCUCCUCGGGUUGCGGUUGCGUCUCUUUCUAACCUGCUUAGAUUCUUCAACAAUAUAGUUAGGGUCAGUAAAAUAACGGCGUACCUUCUCUGAGGGGAAGUGCAUAUGGACUUCUCCGGUUCCAAUGUAGAUAAUUGUUUUAACGGUGCCGAGGAACGGUCUUCCAAGGAUGAUGGGUGGAUCGUACUCGUCUUCUCCCAUGUCAACAACUUGAAAGUCUGUGUAGACAAAGUGAUCGUCUAUUUUGACUGGGACAUCAGAUACUAUUCCUUGAACUUCUCGAAAUGUCUGAUCUGCCAUCUGGAGCUGAAUGUAUGUUGGUCUUAGUGGCAUGGUUCCGAACAAGAGCCGAUAGGUGACUGCGGCCAUUAUGUUGACGCCUGAUCCGGUGUCGCAAAUCGUCUUGUAGAAGUUGUAUCCAUUUAUGGAGCAGUAGAUGCUUGGCAUUCCUGGGUCGUCCUUCUUAGUCAAAAACGGUGACUUAAGUUGGUGAUCUUGGCCUCCAUGAACUACAGUGACCAUCUUAGCUGACUCGGUCCACACUUGCUUGUUCCUGUUUCUCCUGUUGGUCCUCUUCUUUGAUUUACGUCUGGAUUGAUCUGGAAUUUGUGUAGUCUUGUUCUUGAAGAAAAAUGUCUCCUUCUUCCCUUUGACGUAGAAACUGAUCUUGGCAGCACUGGCGUAGAUGAUAGCUGCCGUGGUAUUCAAGAAUGGCCUCCCUAAGAUGAUAGGUGCUCUCUCAUCAUUUCCGGUCUCUACCACUACGAAGUCUGCUGGGGCAUAUAAGGUACCAACUCGGACACAAAGGUUCCUCUAUAUUCCUUUUGGAAAAGUUAUCGUCUGAUCUGCAAACUGCAAACACAUGGUUGUUUCUAAUAAAGGAUAUGUAAAGAAUUUUUCAUAGAGUACCCUGGGUAUAAUGUUGACGCUGGAGCCAAAGUCGCAGAGUGCUUCUGGAACGUCCACCAUGCCGAUGGAGAUCGGGAUGACGGGGCGUCCUGGAUCGCCUCUCUUGAUCGGCAGACGGUCAGUAGAAAAUUCAGUGAUGGGGUUACUCCAAUUACCUGCAUUAAACAUGUCUACAAGAUUUGCAGAUUCUAAUCCUUCCGGUUGUGAUGGUAUACCGGGGUUAGUAGUAGGAACAGCAGCAGCUAUUUGAUUUAACUGGGAUUCAAUCAUUUUAUUAAAGCUAAUUUGAUUUUUGAUGGUAGUAGAGAAAUUAUCCAUUCUAUUAUUUCUAUUUUCUAGCAUUUUAUCAUUAGAUGCCAAUUUCUUAGAUAGAUUAUCCAUUAGCUUUCCUUGAUUAGACACUAACUCUCUCAAAGGUGGAAAAUUAUUAUUAUUGUUGUAAGAAUUGUUACCUUGAUAAUUACCUCAGUAGUUAGGCCUCUGUUGAUUCCAACCUUGAGUUUGUUGAGGACGGUUGUAGUAGUUGUUGUUGUUGUUGUUGUUGAUGUAGUUCACAUCCUCAAGCAUCUCAGGACAGUGAUUGCCAGAUUGUCCAGUAUCUCCACACUCCUCACAAGUCAUGUGAGAGUCGUAGAUGUGCAUAACUUCUUUCUUGUCUCCAGCUCUAUCAUCGAGCUUCUUCAUGAGCAGGUCUAGCUUUGCAGACAGCAUGUUUACCUCCUUCAGCUGAUGCGUACCUCCACCUCUCUUGCGUGUCUGGGUCCUCUCUUCAUUCCAGCUUUGAUUGGACGCCAUCUUCUCCACAAGAGCUGUGGCUUGUGGUAUAGUAAGUGAUAAGAAUGCUCCUCCAGCUGCAGCAUCCAUGGUCUCUCGGGCACUGUUGCUGAGCCCAUGAUAGAAUGUCUGCAUCAAUAGCCAACUCUCCAUUCCAUGAUGGGGACAUUCUAGGAUGUAGUCUUGAAAGCGCUCCCAUGCUUCUGGAACAGAUUCAUCAUUUUGUUGCUGAAAACUUGUAAUCUUCCCACGGAGAGCAUUGGUCUUGCCCAUGGAAAAGAACUUUGCCAGGAAGUUUGUUGAGCAGAGUGCCCACGUAGUAUUCUUCUCCUUUGUAGCGUAGAACCACUGCUUCGCUCUUCCUAACAGUGAGAAUGGGAAGAGGCGAAGUAGUAUAGCGUCUUUGGAAACUCCUGCUAUGGUGAAUGUGUUGUAAAUCUCCAGGAAGUGUUGUAAAUCAGCACUAGCAUCUUCGUGUGCCUUCCCACAUAACUGGUUGGAUUGCACCAUGUUGAUAAGUCCAGGCUUGAGCUCAAAGUUGCCAUCGAUCUCUGCAGCAGGUCCAGUGCGGAUGUUGUCCGUAGUGGGAGCUGAGAACUCGCGGAUUGAUUUGUUUGCCAUGGCUUCGAACUCUGAAGACAAGUUCCGGUGAUCUUCUUGAUUGGAUGAAGCUUCUUGCUGAAGUGUUGAUGAUUUCUUUAGCUUGGCUCUCGUCUUCUUGAAUAAUGCUUCGGGAUUGUCAACAAAAAUCCCUGGAAGAUGUCUUCUAUUCAUACAUUCCCCUGCAUAAGAUAAAAUAGAAAAAUAUCGGGGUAAAACUGUAUGAGAGAAUAGAUAAGCUCAAUCAUAUUAGUGAUGCGAAUGAUAACUCAAAAUCUUUUAUUCCAUUCCUGAUUGGUAAUCAACCUUCCCCGGCAACGGCGCCAAAAAUGCUUGUUGGGUAUUCUUAACAUCAUUACCAAAAGUAGACUAAGUUCUAAAUCUAGCAACGGUGCCAAAAAUGCCAAACCUAUCCCUCACACCAGUUAAGCCAAGUUGUCAUCCCCAGCAUGACAUGAGAGACGCGGUAUUGAAAUAUGCAAUUGCUCUUCUAAAUAAAUAAUGAAUGGGAUCUGCAAGCGCACAGAUUAAUACCGAUGCAGCAUUUUAACCGGGAAGUAUUCCAGGUAUCGUUAUUUAUAUUUUUACCACUGGGAAGGGAUUAGCAAUCAUCAUUAUUGAUUAUAGAAUAGAAUAUGAGAUUGAGCAUCUAUCAUUGCAUGUAUAAUUGAGAACAUUAAUCUAACUCUUCACACAGAGAUAAGUGUCACAUAAAAGAUAUAUGAAAUAAUAAUAGUGACAAGGAUAACUAAUCUGAUCUAGCCACAUAAUAAAUAUGAUAAGCACCUCAAUUAGAUACUCUAGAAAGUCAUUAGCAUGGUAUUAGAACGAACUACAAGAAUAUUCCCUAAGUUAUUCUUAACUAUAUAGUCUAGCAUUAUCAUAAUUAGUGCAAGCAUACUUAGCAAUCAUUGCGAGACAAGACUACGCCCAUGCAUAGUGAUAUUAGCAAGGAAUAUGAGAAACAUAGCAAUCACUCCCCUGUAAUAAUGUUGCUCUGCCAGCCCAAUACACGAGAGGGGGACUAUAUAAGAAUCAAUGAAGCUGUCACUAUCACGAACCACCCCACGAUCUAGCAUAUUGGGUACAAUCGCACAUAAAUACGGUAUAUGCACCACGCCUACACAAUAUCUAUCAUUUACCCAUGGAUCCGAUGGAUAAACGCUAUACGAUCCUAAGCAUGUAUAUAGAUCGAAUCUAACUAAGCCAAGUACAUAACUAUGAUAAACUAAGAACAAUAUAAUCUUGAAUAUAAGCAAGUAGAGCAAAGUCAUAAGCAAUAUAUUGAAGUAGAACAAAGUCAUAUUCAUAAUAUUGAAGAACAAAGAUAAUUAGAAAGCAAUUAGAAGCACAAUUAGAGAAUUACCAAGAAUCCUCUUGAUAGAUCCGGAAACCAAUCGAAGAUUGACUCCUUCUAGUUCUAAUCCUAUGUAGCUAUGCUAAUCUAGAUGUCUAAUUGAUGUGGUGGCUCUAAUCUUGAUCAGAGGCUUCUUCUCCCUUGAUGGAACAAUGAAUUAGGGUUGAGAAGCUCUCUCCUCCAGGGGCCAGGGGGUCUGGUUUUAUAGUCCCUUCAAGUGAAUAUGGGCCCUUGGAUCAAACCGACAUAGAUUGUAUGGUUUAGAUUCAUCCUUUAGGUCGGUGGAGAUCUCCCGUAAAGCAGAGUCCUGAUUGGACUCCUGGAGGGGGCGGGCGCCCAGUAGGAUAGGGCGGGCGCCCUGUCUCUGGCCCCGUUUCGCCUCCGCUUCGGUCUCGUGGCUUUUGGAGUCUUCUAGAUGUAAGAUAAUUGCGCAGCACGUUAAUAUCUUUACGUAAUCCCGACAUGUGGGCCUUUCUUCCAUAUUUCCUGAUAACCCCCUGCAGAAAUAGACAAACACCAAAACUCGUAGAAUUCUGUCAGAUAAAACCCUAAGUCUAGAUCUUGAUUUCAUUUGGAUCCUUUUCUUUAUUUAUUUGAUAAUUAAAUUUGAUACUUAAGGACCGUCAACAAGCACCAUGGUAUUUAGGUCCUCCUGGAAUCGCUUUGCCCGUGGCUACUUCCCUUGUAUGAUGAUUGUUAAUCCCACGGCUUCGUCACCGACAUCUCUAAGACCGACGCGGAGAACGAAGAGAGGCUCCAUGCCUUGAUCGACGACGCGGAGGCUCCUGGGGAGAGGCUGGCCAAGCUAUUUGAGCCUGAGGUGCUUCCUCCUGAGACUAGCUCGGGCGGAGGUGAGGGUGGUGAGGAUCGUGCCAUGGACUGAGGCCUGCGAGCCUGCUCGUGGUGCCUGGGGCCCCUGGUAUAAUACUUUGUUAAUCCUGUUUUUAAGCGAUACAGUAUCUUUUUGUGAUUGUUAAAUGUUUAUUUGUCUUUCCGCUCGAGGUUCUUUUAUUUCUCUUUGCGCCUACGUAUGUGUUCCUUGUUUGAUUUUUCGUAAAAGACAGCUUUGAUCACCUCGAGGGUGAGGGAGUGAGCAGAGUUUCCAUAGCCCGGGGGCGUAGGAGUUCUCAGGCUCGUUAUCCCUCGGCCCUUAAGGGGCUCGAGGUGCCUCAACUACUCGAUCAUGCAAGGUUUACUAAGUAAGAAAGAGAGAAAUUUUUGGCUUUUUUCUACACUUGGGGGAGUCGCCCCCUUGGUAGCCCCUGAGGGGGUAUCGAGUAUGAUGGGUCAUAGUCGGUACUCCCUUCUUACGUCAGGAUUUUGACUUGUAAAUCCUUAGUACAAAAGGAAGUUGCUCGAGGGAAAGACUUCAUUUAUUCAUGCAUUUAUUUACAAAGUCUUGGUACAGAAUGUGCGCUGGAACAUAAAGUUUCGAAAUUCUAAGGGUAGAAUCGACGUAGCUGUUCGAUGUUCCAUGCGUUGGUGAAGAUCGCCCCCUUCUCGUCCGCUAACUUGUACGUUCCUGGCUUCAAGACCUCGGCCACCACGUACGGGCCUUCCCAAGGCGGGGUCAGCUUGUGGCGUCCUUGAUUGCUCUGCCGUCAUCGUAGGACAAGGUCACCCACGUUUAAGUCCCUCUUGCGUACGUGUUUGUCGUGGUAGCGUCGAAGUUUCUGCUGGUAUCUGGCAGAAUUGAGGAGGGCCAUGUCUCGAGCCUCCUCAAGUUGGUCGACCGCAUUCUCUUGAGUUUCCUUGUUUGUCUGCUCAUUGUACGCCUUGAGUCGAGGGGAUCCAUACUCGAGGUCUGUGGGGAGGACGGCCUCAGAGCCGUAGACCAUGAAGAAUGGGGUGUAUUUUGUGGCCCUACUUGGUGUUGUCCUUAGGCUCCAUAGGACCGAGGAAAGCUCUUCGACCCACUUCUUGCCGGAUUUCUUCAAGCGAUUGUAGAUCCUUGGUUUGAGCCCCUGCAAAAUCAUGCCGUUGGCGCGCUCGACCUGGCCGUUGGUUCGAGGAUGGGCCACUGCAGACCAGUUCACACGGAUGUGAUGCUGAUCCCAGAAGUCCAAGAACUUUUUGCCGGUGAACUGGGUGCCGUUGUCGCUGAUGAUUACGUCGGGGAUUCCAAACCGAUGUAUGAUGUCGGUGAAGAAAAGGACGGCUUGCUCAGAGCGGAUGUUGGUGAUGGGUCGAGCCUCGAUCCAUUUGGAGAAUUUGUCGAUGGCCACCAGCAAGUGGGUGUAUCCCCCUUUCGCCAUUUGUAGAGGUCCUACUAAAUCGAGCCCCCACACCGCAAACGGCCAGGUGAUGGGGAUCAUCUGAAGAGCGUAGGCGGGCAGAUGCGUCUGUUUGGCGUAGAACUGGCACCCGUGACAUGAGCGUACGAGCUCGAUGGCAUCGGCCACGGCCAUUGGCCAGUAGAAACCUUGUCGAAAGACGUUCCCUACGAGGGUCCGUGGAGCAGCAUGGUGGUCGCAAGCCCCCGAGUGUAGGUCCUCGAGGAGUUUUCGGCCUUCUUCCACGGUGAUGCAACGCUGUAAGACCCCCGUCGGGCUUCGUCGAUAUAGCUCGUUGCCCUCGCCAUAGAUCACAUAUGACUUGGCCCGUCGAGCGACACGGCGGGCCUCUGACCGAUCUUCUGGCAGCUCGCAGCGGAUUAGGCAGUCCAGGAACGGUGCGCGCCAGUCGAACGGUCGACCAGGCCGUCGUUCUACCUCCAUCACUUCAGCCGCCAUCAAGAGUGUGUCGACGGUGUCGGUUAGCUGGGCAGGAGCGGCAUCGACGCCAGCCACCGAGCCUAAGUCGAUGGAUGGCUCGUGAAGAUCUCUUGAAAAUGUGUCAGGUGGUACCGUGCCUCGAGUCGAUGCGAUCUUGGCGAGUUCGUCGGCUACCUCGUUGUAGCGUCGGGUGAUAUGGAUGAGCUCGAGGCCAUGGAAUUUGUCCUCAAGUCGACGGACUUCUUUGCAGUACGCCUCCAUUUUUGGGUCGUGGCAGCUUGAAGUCUUCAUUACUUGAUCAAUGAUGAGUUGGGAGUCGCCUCGGACGUCGAGGCGUCAGACUCCUAGCUCGAUGGCAAUCUUGAGACCGUUGACGAGGGCCUCGUAUUCUGCGAUGUUGUUAGAUGCGGCAAAGUGAAUCCUGAUGACAUACCUCAUAUGGACGCCCAAGGGUGUGAUGAACAGCAGGCCGGCCCCGGCCCCUGUUUUCAUGAGUGACCCGUCAAAAUACAUCGUCCACAGCUCCGCCUGGACCUGAGUCGGGGGAAGCUGGGAGUCUGUCCAUUCCGCGAUGAAGUCCACCAAGGCUUGCGAUUUGAUGGCCUUACGAGGCGCGUAAGUGAGAGUCUCACUCAUGAGCUCGACCGACCAUUUAGCUAUUCUUCCCGUGGCCUCCUUGCUCUGGAUUAUCUCGCCCAAGGGGAAAGACGAGACCACCGUGAUGGGGUGGUCGAGAAAGUAGUGCUGCAGCUUGCGGCGGGCAAGGAUUACGGCGUAGAUCAGCUUCUGGAUUUGGGGGUAACGUACCUUGGUCUCCGAAAGCACCUCGCUGAUGAAAUAGACUGGCCUCUGGACUGGCAGCGCAUGCCCCUCCUCCUGCCUCUCGACCACCACCGCUGCGCUGACGACCUGGGUCGUCGACGCAACGUAAAGGAGCAGUGGUUCUGCAGGUUGAGGUGGGACUAGGACUGGUGCUGAGGUCAGUGUUUUCUUCAGCUUUUCGAGAGCUUCCUCGGCCUCGGGGGUCCAAGAAAAACGCUCGACCUUCUUCAGAAGUCGAUACAAUGGUAACGCCUUUUCUCCUAGUUUCGAGAUGAAACGUCUCAGAGCCGCCACGCAUCCCGUGACUCUUUGCACACCCUUGAUGUCUCGGAUCGGCCCCAUUCUUGUGAUGGCCGAGACAUUCUCGGGGUUGGCCUCGAUGUCACGCUGGGAAACAAUGUAACCCAAGAGCAUGCCUCGAGGCACGCCGAAGACGCAUUUCUCGGGAUUGAGCUUGAUCUGGUUAGUGCGUAAGCAGCUGAAAGCGAUCUCGAGGUCCUGGAUCAGGUCCCCUCGCCGCUUUGAUUUGACGACAAUGUCGUCGACAUAGGCCUCGACCGUCGACCCUAUGUGUUUGCCAAAUACGUGGAGCAUGCAGCGUUGGUACGUGGCUCCCGCGUUUCGAAGCCCAAACAGCAUGGUUACAUAGCAAUACAUCCCAAAAGGUGUGAUGAAAGAGGUCACGAGCUGGUCGGACUCUUUCAUUUUUAUUUGAUGGUAACCAGAAUAUGCAUCAAGGAAAGAAAGGGUUUCACAUCCCGCAGAAGAAUCGAUAAUCUGAUCAAUACGUGGUAAUGGAAAAGGAUCUUUCGGACAUGCUUUAUUUAGACUUGUAUAAUCGACACACAUCCUUAUUUUCCCAUUCUUUUUCUUAACUAAUACAGGGUUUGCUAACCAGUCGGGAUGAUGAACCUCCUUGAUGAAUCCGGCCGUCAAAAGCUUGUGGAUUUCCUCGCCAAUGAUCUUGCGCUUCUCCUCGUCGAAUCGGUGCAACCGCUGCUUCACUGGCCUGGAACCGGCUCGAAUCUCCAAGGAGUGCUCGGCGACUUCCCUCGGUAUGCCUGGCAUGUCUGAGGGACUCCAUGCAAAUAUGUCGGCGUUCGCAUGGAGAAAGUCGACGAGCACAGCUUCCUAUAUGGGGUCGAGGUCGGCGCUGAUCGUCAGCACCUUGCCGUCGUAGUUGUUGGGGUCGAGCGGGAUCUUCUUGGUUCCCUCUGCUGGCUCGAAGCUGCCUGCAUGGCGCUUGGGCUCUGGAGCCUCAGCGGCCAGGGCUUCGAGCUUUGCGACGAGUUCAGUGGAGUCCUCGACCGCCUCCCCAUACUCGACGCACUCGACGUCGCACUCGUAUGCGUGCUCGAAGGAGGAGCUAACAGUGAUGACGCCUUUGGGACCGGGCAUCUUCAGCUUCAAGUAGGUGUAGUUGGGUAUGGCCAUGAACUUGGCGUAGCCCGGGCGCCCGAUGAUGGCGUGGUACGUGCCCCGGAACCCGACCACCUCAAAGGUGAGGGUCUCCUUCCUGAAGUUGGCCGCCGUGCCGAAGCACACCGGUAGGUCGAUUCGACCCACUGGCAGUGCCUUUUUCCCUGGCACGACGCCAUGGAAACCGCCGGCACUUGGCUGGAGCCAUCCCCUAUCGAUGCCAAGGAGGUCGAGGGUCUCGAGGUAGAUGAUGUUGAGGCUGCUGCCUCCGUCCAUUAGCACCUUUGAGAGCCGGGUGUUGACGAUGAUGGGGUCGACGACGAGCGGGUAGACGCCUGGGGUGACUACCUUGUCGGGGUGGUCCUCUCGAUCGAAGGUGAUGGGAGUGCUCGACCAGCUGAGGUACUGGGGCACCGCCAUUCUUGCCGCGAAGACCUCACGGCGUUCCCUUUUGCACUGCCUCGUGGUCAACUAUGUCGAAGACCCACCAUAGAUCAUGUAGCAGUCAUGGACGGCAGGGAAAACAUCGUCGUACUUGUUGCCCUCUUUGUCAUCGCCCUUCUCCUUUUUCGAAUCAUCACGUGCAUCCCUUUUGAAUCCUAGACCGUCGAAAUGCUUUUUCAGCAUACGACAGUCCUUGAGCUUGUGGUUGGCGCCUUCCUUAUGGUAAGGGCACGACUCUUCUAGCAUUUUAUCAAAAAUGCCUCCAUCCGGAGGGCCUCGAGGUUUCUUCCGUUCCAUGGCGGCGACAAGAUUGUCGUCAGAAUCUUCCCGCUAGAACUGUCGUGCUUUCUGCUUCUUUUUGUUCUUCCUGAGCCCUCGACUGGGGGUUCCAUCUUCAUCGACGGGCUGCUUGCCUUUCCUUCCUUCAUAACUGAAGAAGGCGCCGACUGCCUCCUCCCCUGCUGCGUAGUUUGCUACUACGUCCAUCAGCUCGUCGACGGUCUGAGGUCGAUUCCGACCCAAUUCCCGCACUAAGUCUCGACUGGUGGUACCAGAGACAAAAGCUAGGAUGACGUCAUGGUCAGGGAUAUGUGGUAGCUCAGUGCGCUACUUCGAGAAGCGUCGAGCAUACUCUCGAAGAGUUUCUCCUGACUUCUGCUUGCAUUUGCUGAGGUCCCACGAGUUCCCGGGCCGUAUGUAGGUCCCUUUAAAAUUACCCUCGAAGACUUUAACCAAAUCGACCCAGUCGUGGAUCUGAUUUGCCGGAAGUUCCUCGAGCCAUCGACGGGCGGUGUCGGAGAGGAAGAGGGGUAGCUGUCUGAUGAUGGCUCGAUCAUCCCCUCGAGCGCCUCCUAGCUGACAGGCUAGCCUGAAAUCGGCCAGCCACAACUCUGGUUUGGUCUCGCCAUUGUAUUUCGCGAUGCUGGUCGGGGGUCGGAACGGACUGGGCAGGGGCGUGUUGCGGAUUGCCCUGCUGAACACCCGUGGGCCUGGUGGCUCGGGGACCAUUCGGUCCUCAUCGCUGUCGUACCUCCCACCGCGAUGUGCGCUGUAACCGCGCUCUUCCGCGUCUCCGUGACGGCGGCGUCGAUUCUCUUCGAUGUCAUGCCGCGCGUCGUGUCGACGGGGAGGACGAGAGUGGUCUUUCUUCCUCGAGGGGGCGGCUGUUGAUGGACUGACACUUCCUUUUCAUUUUGAAGCGGCUCAUCGCGCUUUUCCGUGGCAGCUCCUUGUCGUCGAGAAGCUGAGCUUUCGGCUUGUUGAACUGCCGCCACCUGGAGCAGAGUCUGAACCUCGUCUCGAAUGCGCCGAGCCUGGGAGUUCGAUGGUUCUGGCAUGUUGUGCAGUAGCAUCGUUGCCGCCACUACAUUCUAGCCCGCUCGAGGGAAACAGCUGACAGGCUGCUCUGGCUCUGCGUCUCCGACGAUCUGUCGAUGUACCUCUCGAGCGCGUCUGCGGACACUUCCGCCCGGCGGGUAGGGCAGGUCUUGCUCAAGGAUUUGCUCGAGCAGGACGAGGCGCUCACGGUCUUCGUCGAGCUUCAUCUUGAGCUCCUGUAGUUGUGCAAGCUGCGCAGCCCUGUCUUCCUGUGGAGGGGGGUCGACCUGUCCGUCGUUCCCAGGCGUCCUGGGGUCUUCCCGUGCUGCAGGGGCUCGACCGCCCGCAGCAGCAUCCUGCGUCUCGUCGGUAGUUUCUACCAACCCGUCGACGUGAUAGCAUUCCCUUGUAGGGUCGUAGCUAUCAGUCUCGGAGUCGGAGUCUGGCUCGGCGGCGUAGAAACAUCCACGUCCUUCCUCCAGCAGCCGUUGCCUGAGUGAGGUGAUCGUGUAUCGCCCAGGGCCUAGGCGGCGGAGGCCUCGCACCUGGGAGAAAUCCGGCAGUUCGGACGUCGGCCGUAGUGCUUCAGAGUCACGUGGGAGGACCAUUGGUCUCUCCACAUACGUCUGGGCGUUUGGGCAUAUUGCUCUGGCGAGCGACGCCGCGGCGUUGUCUAGUCCGAAUGGCAGUGCCCUUCUUGGAGUGAACAACCCGUGUGGAAGUAGCUUUGCAGCGGUGGGGGGGAGGGUGCGCGAGACACGUCCCCUCCCGUCGUCGUGCGGUGUUGAGCCGUCAUGCCUGUGGUUCCGGCACAUGGUGCUGCCGGCUCGUGGCCCACCGCCUGCCUCGCACGAGUUGCCGGUCGUGAUGAGGCAGAGGGGCGGCUGUGGUGCUGUCCGCGCCUCUUCUUGGGCGGGGAGGCGUGGUGGCGAGGGCGUCUCGGGGCCCUCAACCGUGUUGGUGCAACGCGGGCUCCUCCUGGUCCUUUGACUGAGAGCAAGAUCAUGUCGUAGCCGGAGCCCAUAGACACCAACGAGUAAAUUUGUAUGCGUGCUCUCUUUCCAAGAUGGUGAUGCAAGAAGACACAGAGAUUUAUCCUGGUUCGGGCAAGAGAAGGCCCUCCGUCCAGCGGGGGAGGGGAGUCUGUAUUAUCUUGCACCUAAGUGCUUGUACAGGGGUGAAUACAAGCGUGGUGUGGAGUGUGAGAGUUCUACUGCGUAUGGACGUAGUGUUGUGUGUUGUCUAUCUAUUCCCGGGUCCUUCCUUUUAUAGCUCCAAGGAGAGGCCCAGGGUACAUGUGUAGGUGUCAGAGUAGGGGUCGAUAGAAGCAUGGAGCGCUGACCUACUCGAGGUCUCCAUACCGGCAUGGCCUCGAGCCAUCCCGUCUUGAUAGCCUGGUGAUGAUUACGCGUGCCCCUGCAAUCUGUUCUGCAUGCCGUCUCGGGCCGGUUCAAUGGUCGCAUGCUCGUACGGUAUGGCAGCAGAUCCGGCGGGGUGGUUGCGGUGUUGUCAGUCGACGCCCAGCUCUUCCCUAGGAAGGAACUACGUCUGGUCGAGGGUCGGACGCCGUGCAAUGCCCUGAUAUCCGGAGCGCUGACCUUGGUUGUCUCGAGGGGGUUCCGAUUAGACGUUCCAUCCUUGUUUCCCGCGUCCUGACACGUCUUGGGUCGUUUGGUGGGGAAGGCUGCAAAAAGAACGAUGGGACGGUUGCAUGUUUCCUAUCACGCUUCUCGUGACCAGUGUGUUAGGUGGGAAAGUGGCAAGCGCAUUAAAUGCCCUGGCUCUCGUGCGUGCGUCAGGCGGCGGACAGUGUCCUUGCGCUCGACGGUUCCCGAUUCGCUCGAGCCCGUUUCCGUAUUCGAUGAUAGCUGGCGCUCGACCCUUGAUCAAUUCGCUCGACGCCAUUUCCGUCUUCAAGGCUGCGGUCGUCGAUGGCUGUGCAUAUGUAUGACCAGAGUGUCGAGUUGAGGGCCUCGACCAGCGUACGGAUAAUCUCGUUAUAUGCAUCGGUGAGGGUACCCCUUAUUGAUACCCUCGACACGUCCUAUAGAUUAGAACACUCAAAAGAGUUGUGAACCAGAACAUACAUGAUUAGUAAUUGCAUAAUGAAUUAGAAGUAGAUUACCAGAGUCAUCUCAUGAGCAAGCUUGAUUAGAGCUUGAUCAUGACGAAGUACAACCGGAGGAAGAACCGAUAGGCCGGCCUCUCCUCUAAUCCUCCUACGCUCUCCAUCUUGCUACUAUCUAGAUCUACUCUAGUUUAGAGAAGAGAGGAGAGCUCUCAUCUCUAAACCCUAGCUUUUGCUCUGUAUAUGAAUAAUGAAUAAUGAUCAAGGGGUGCCUCCUCCAGGGGCCAGGGGGUCUGGUUAUAUAGUCCCCUCAAGUGAACCUAGGCCCUCGGAUCAAACCGACAUUGAUUGAAUGGUUAUUCUUGAUCCUUUAGGUCGGUGGAGAUCUCCCGAGAGAAAGAGUCCUGAUUGGGCUCCAAGUCAGGGCAGGCGCCCAGGGCAGGAGGGCGGGCGCCCUGCCUCUGGCCCCGUUCGGCCUCCGCUUCCUUCCCGUGGCUUCGGGAGUCUUCUAGAUGUAUGAUAAUUGCACGGCACAUUAAUAUCUCUAUGUAAUCCCGACGUGUGGGCCUUUCUUCCGUAUUUCCUGAUAACCCCCUGCAGAAAUAGACAAACACCAAAACUCAUGGAAUUCUGUCAGAUAAAACCCUAGUUUAUUUGAUAAUUAAAUUUGAUACUUAAGGACCGUCAACAAACUCCCCCAAGCUUACCUCUUGCUCGUCCCUGAGCAAGGAUAGACUCAGCAAUGGAUCAGAAGUUAUUGCAAUAUCUUAAAAAUUUGACGGUACACAUGCUUUUAAAUAAGAUCUCAUCUCUGAGUUAGAGUAAACUGUCAAGAACUAAAACUUACAUACUUUACCUUUCACCAUGGGACUUGUAACUGUCACUUCUGUCUUGAGUAGUUAAAAUAUAGAACAGUCUAGCCAAGUGCCAUGUCUCUUAUUCUUGAUCAACUAUAGCUCUGGAGUUUUUGCAGAUUUUCAAAUAAAACUUAGAGAUUCCUUGUAUGACUCUCUAAAUCUCUCUUUUGUGGUAUUUCUGGAUCCUUACCGAGGCCGUGAUGGUAUAUGUCUUCUCUCAAUAUAUGUGGUAUUUGUGGUAUAAGGCAUAGUGACGUUGCCUUCUCUCUCACCCUACUCUAAUAAGGCUUUAAUAUCUGGAGCUCAUAGGUGGGAGACAGCUAAUACAUACUUACAAGACAUUUAUUGCAUAGUCAAACCAUGGAUCCAGAGAAACAAGUCAAUAAGUCAAAUCAAGAUGUGCAUGUGUGGCGAAUGAAUGGUCUAUGGUGAUGAUGGUGAUAACAAUGGUGGAAGUCUAAUUCUACUUUUGCUCUUUUGAGGGGAUACAUACCUUCCUUGCUUUUUGAAACUUUAUGAGGAGAAUGAGAUGCUCUAUCUUUCAUUUUUUCUUUCCUCUUAGGUGGGUAUCCUGUACCCCUAAUUCUACUGUCGGACACUUGUCCAUUUUUACCUCUCGUCUCACUCUUUUUCUUUUCUUUCGAGGUUCCGGGCACUUGCCCCUUUUUAUUUCCUCGUAUAUUUUUUUCUCUCCUCUUUUUUUUAGAGCACUCAUCUCAUGAGAUAAUAUAGCAAGUGGUAGUAACAAGAUAACUUGAGAAUUUAUUUCACAAGGAAAAAACAGAAAUAUUUUUGGUUAUUCUCUCCCGGAUUAGGAGUAGAAUAUUUUUGGGUGGUUCUGGAGAUGGAAAUGAGUGGAUAUAUGUGGAUGGUACUUCCAGAGUAGAAGUAGCAUAUAUGAGUGAAUGUGCAAGUGAAAUCUUGAUUUAACCACAUGAUAAGCUCCUAAGGGUCUACACAGCUUGACCACACUCAAUGCUCAUAAGCAGUAAAUAGUAAAUGUGUGGCUCAAAGUCUAGCAAGCAUGUAUAUAUGGCUGUGGUAGGAAUUUAAACUUUCAUCAUACAAGAACUCAUCAUGCAAUAUUUUAAAGAUUUUUCAAAGAUAAAAUUCUCCAGAAUUCUAGCAUCUCUAGGAAGAGAUAAACAACAGCUCAACCUUCCCAUAUCAUAUCCGUUAACAACUUAGAUUUCAAAUCAAGUUUUUAUCCCACAAGUUUAGAUCAAGAGCAAGCUUUAAAUUAUAACACUUAUGUCUAAACUUGAGAGAGAACUUCAAAUUUGCAAAUUAGGCAGAGCAACUAUUCAUCAUAUCCAUGCUAGAGUUUUAUUAUUAAGAUUCAGAUUAGCAUAGCCACUUUAUUUAUUUAUUAAACAUACUAAGCAAAAGAUAUAUAUAAGCACAAAAUCUUUAUUUGGUUUUUCAUAGUUUAUGUAUUUUAAUAUUCUAAUAUAAUAUAAGUAUAAAGAUAGGUAGAAAUACUUAGCGAGGUAAAUGGAGGUGCUCUCCCCCAAGCUGAAUUUUGACGUAAUUUCUCUUGAUGUAGCUAGCAGGUGGCAGAGGUGUAUUUGAAAGUCAGCAGCAUUCUGACAGCGAUUAGAAUGUCCUCCGUCUGCUAGUCUUCUUGAUUCUUAAAUUCUGUGGAGCUCAAAUAGACAACAAAGCUUGUGGAACUAAUUAAGUGUUAGCAUAAAUAUCUAGCCUUCAUCAUGUUGAGCUUCCUCAAUAAAUAUUACUCCCUGUUUUUAUAUUUUUAUUUUAUAAAGCAGAAAAGAAAUAUUUAUUUUAUUUUUAUGCCACCACAGUGAAGGUACUUAUGGGUUUUAUGCCACUCGUAUACUCACAUGGGGCUCAGUAUUUUUUAACAUUUUUAUUUUCUUUUCAAGAUAGCAUGAUUAACUAAUAAUCUAUUUAAGGAAAGUAAAUAAUUAAAGGGAAAAGGGAAUGCAGAAAGGAUAAAUAUGGAUAACUACUGAUCUUACCUUUCGGCGAGGGUUCAAUGUUUUAAGUCUUCUUAACAAGACUUCUCACCGUGUUCAUUCUACAGGUGCGUCAUUUGAUUCAGGUGCGGACCUUGACGUCUGCACCUCUUGAUACGGUGUCACCCAUGUUCUUCGUUUGCCCAACAGUUCGAAGUGCGGCGUUGGCAGUAACCUGCUCAGUGUGUUUGUGCUCGUAGAUCCAGGUCCUUCACUUGGUAGAGUCUGAGAGUUAUAAAACUCCUCCAUGUUUUGCACAAAGUGUACCUGCUCAUAGAGACAAGGCAGAGAUCAAGUGCAUGGGUCCUGUUGGUUGAAAACACCAACAAAACCUAAAGUGUAUUUGUUCUUCUCUAACCCUAAGCAUAGUGAGCAAGACAAAGUUGAUGGAUGAAAAGUUCAUGAGUGUAGCACUUAUAACAUUUGUCAGAUCAGAUCGCUCAACCUUAUGGAAAGAUAAUCUAUCUAUGUAUAUGUCUUUUUCUUUAUAUCUCUCAAUGAUUGAAUGUGUAACAUUUUAGCUCAUAUGAUUAGGAGUGUGGGGUCAUGGAGGUAGUACUAAGAACAAGGAUUAAAGGACUAAACAUGUUGAAUCAGUUGGGUUGGUUAAUCUAGAGUUGUAAAUCAAACAUGUUUGUCUCUUUUAUUUAUAUGAACGCCAGAACCAAGGAGAAGCUUAUAAAAGUGAUAGUCAAGUACCUUAAGAUGUUACCUUGCUUGAAGAGUGAUGGUACAGUAUCACCUUGUGGAAGCUUUCCUUUCUUAGCGGUUGUGCAUCAUGUUUGUGGCACCCUCCAUGGAUCAUCUCUCUAUGAUGAAUGAGCUAUGUCCUUCUUGUGCAAAUUGUUAAACUUCAUGUGUCACUCUCUUCGUCUCUAAUGUGAGUUUAUCUCAGGACUUCCCAAAUCGAUAUUGAAAGUUUUUCUGCAGGGGUUAAUCCGACAAAAAUAUACCAAUGUCUACACAAGCAGUUUUUAGUUCAAUAACCGAACUAGACUCCAUGUCUAAUCAGAUUAAGGAAGGCUGUUUAACCUAAGCACCAUGCUUAAUUUAAAAGCCAAUAGAAGUAUGUGCAGUACUUCCAAACUAACACUUACUAGUAAAUAGACAAAGGUAACAUGACAGCAUUUAUAGAGAUCUACUCAAGUGGAGAUGAAGUAGUGUGAUUAGUAUUUAACAAAUUGAGCAUGUCUUAAAGGUAGGGACAACCAACAUAGCAACAUGGCAAAGGAUGUUUUUAUGUAAAGUACUCCCCCAAGCUUGAAUUUUGCAGAAUUCAAGUUUGGAUGAAUUUAAUUCAAUGUUGUAUGAUGAUUGGUUGGACAUACCUUGUGCUUGUCAUUCAUCCGAUCUUCUUGCUCCAAUCCUGUAAAGGUUAGUGACAAGAAUACCUGAAGGAAUAUUUUUGCAAUUAUCCUUAUAUGUUCAAUACACAAGGUAAUGUUGCAAAUAAUUAAAAACUCAUGUUACGAUCUGAUCAGUGCUUAUUUUAGGACACUAAGCUUGUCCUUGGGAAACCAUCAAUUUAUGUCGGCGAAGUGGUUUCCCUUCCAACGCUGACCUAAAUCAAGAUCAACUCAAUGAGAUCUGCAAUAUUUAUUAUAGACAUAUGCAUCGACAACAGCCCUUUUAAAGUUUUUAUAAAUAGAAAGGAAGAGGGGGUUGGAGAUCUCAAAUGUGGUGAUGUUGGAGAGACCAAUAGAUUGGGAAGAUGUUGCAUAUGAGCAUGGAGUGAACAAAGUGGCUAUGAAAUUAAUUCCAUGCUCAUUAAUGUUAUCUUCGUCUCUAAUCUGAAUGUUCAGAGUUUCUCUUGGAUUGGUCUCACAUAUGUCCUCUUCUAUAGUUGGAUGAAUCCCAUCUUCAAAGGGAGUCAAGAACUCACCAUUUGAAAUUGAACCAAAGUCAGAAUUCAUUAAGGCUUCUUCCUUAUCCAUCCAUUCUACACAUUCUAGCCAUUUAGAACUUGUGAUCAGGAAAGGGGAGGUGUUAGAAUUUUUAAUAUGGCUUAGCUAUCCUUUACUUGAUGUGUCAUCCUUGACUUCUUCAUAGCAAGAACCAGGACAUUCUAUAAGAGAACCAUUAUUGCAAGAAUUUGAAUUAUCCCUACUUGAAGGUCUCUUAUGGAACCAGAAGUCUAAACCAUCAGCAUCUGAAAGAUUUAAGGUCGGAAUUCCUUCCUCCCUUGGAGAAUUUUGGGGUAUUGAUGGUUUAGGAUCGAUAGCUAAAGUUUGGGAUUGAAGUGGUUGUGAUCUGGCUAUCAAAACUUCUUCUUCUUGUCUAGGAACUGGUUCUAUCUCUUUCUUAGGGAUAUAAAAGCUAGGAGACUUUCCACUUAAUAAAUCAAUCAAAUUCUAAGCUUCACUAGCAGGUAGGUGAUAGAAGGAUCCUCUAGAGGCUGUAUUCAAGGUUUGCUUAUUUUCCCCACUAAGGCCCUCAAAAAAGUGAAUUAGAAGAACUUCUUCUGGAAUAGAAAGCUUUGGGCCAGUGAGAGUACGGUUAAUAAAGCGGUCCCAUGAUUUGACAAGAGAUUCUUCUUCCAGUUGUCUAAAAGAAAUAAUGUCACGCCGAAGUUCCGCCACUUUAGAGAUUGGAAAAUAUUUUAAAAGAAAACUAUUAUGUAGCUCCAUCCAAUCUCCAUGAACACUCCCUACUUUUAGUUUAUACCAAUGUCUAGCUUUUCCCGUUAAAGAGAACGGAAAGAGCUUCCAUUUAAGGGUCUCAUCAGACAUGCCUUCAAUGCGAAGGAGGUCACAGACUCGAUAAAACUCUCUUAGGUGUGUGUAUGGGUUUUCCUCACCUUCUCCUGAGAAAGGUUGUUUUUGAACAAAUUCUAUGUAUUCGGGGUCUAUCUCCAAACUAGAUGCUAUGAUAGGCUUUGAAGAUUUUGGUGGUUCGAGAUGUGUGCCCGUAGGUCUAUGAAACUGAUAGAUAGACAUGUUUGCAUUCAUGAUAGACCAGAAAUCAAGGAUUAGAUAAGAGGAAAGAUUAGCAGAGAUGAGGCAAAGGAUAAAACGAAAUAUAUAUAUAUAUUUAUUUUUUAAGAAAAUGAUUAAGCUAGUUAGUCAACUCAGCAACCGUUUCCCCGGCAACGGCGCCAAAAAUGCUUUUUGACACUUGCUAACACCACUUGAAUAUUAGGUUGUCAUCCCCAGCAUGGCACUAGCGUGUACUAUGGUAUUUAUACGCACACAGAUAAUCCGCAAGCGCACGGAUACCGAUGAAGCUUUUACCCGGUUAAAGGUUUUAUCGUACCCACAGGAAAACGGGAGAACCAACUACGCUCUAACUUAACCAGGAUAGAUAGAUAAGUGUAAAUAGGAAAGAUGGUAGAAUUGAAUAAGAACAAUAUUAAAGGUAAGAUAACAGUGAGUGAUAAUAUGGGAAUAGAGAAUAGAGCAAUCUAGUAUACGGAAUAGAGAGGAUAACUAUAGUUUCUCUACUUCAAAGGGGUAUGUCUAUGUCUGGGACGAACCACGUGAUAAGAGUACACCACAAAGGAUGAUUAUCCUUAGGCCGAUAAACCCUACCCGUCCUGCUAACGAGAGGUGGACUACAGAGGACCAACGUAACUGUCACCUACGUGGCCUACCACACGAGCUAGACAGGGGAUAUCCACAAGUAAUUUAGAUCUAAGCACCUCGCUUACACCUAUACUACAACUCUCACCUAUAGCGUCCUAUAGAUUAGAAUACUCAAAAGAGUUGUGAACCAGAACAUACAUGAUUAGUAAUUGCAUAAUGAAUUAGAAGUAGAUUACCAGAGUCAUCCCAUGAGCAAGCUUGAUUAGAGCUUGAUCAUGACGAAGUACAACCGGAGGAAGAACCGACAGGCCGGCCUCUCCUCUAAUCCUCCUUCGCUCUCCAUCUUGCUACUAUCUAGAUCUACUCUAGUUUAGAGAAGAGAGGAGAGCUCUCAUCUCUAAACCCUAGCUUUUGCUCUGUCUAUGAAUAAUGAAUAAUGAUCAAGGGGUGCCUCCUCCAGGGGCCAGGGGGUCUGGUUAUAUAGUCCCCUCAAGUGAACCUGGGCUGUUGGAUCAAACCGACAUUGAUUGAACGGUUAUUCUUGAUCGUUUAGAUCGGUGGAGAUCUCCCGAGAGAAAGAGUCCUGAUUGGGCUCCAAGUCAGGGCGGGCGCCCAGGGCAGGAGGGCGGGCGCCCUGCCUCUGGCCCCGUUCGGCCUCCGCUUCCUUCCCGUGGCUUCUGGAGUCUUAUAGAUGUAAGAUAAUUGCGCGGCAUGUCAAUAUCUCUAUGUAAUCCCGACAUGUGGGCCUUUCUUCCGUAUUUCCUAAUAACCCCCUGCAGAAAUAGAUAAACACCAAAACUCGUGGAAUUCUAUCAGAUAAAACCCUAAGUCUAGAUGUUGAUUUCAUUUGGAUCCUUUUCUUUGCUUAUUUGAUAAUUAAAUUUGAUACUUAAGGACCGUCAACACCAAUGCCUCUAUUUGUGAAACCAAGUGCACCACAAGGUGAACCAUCACAUCGAAGAAUGCUGGGGAGAACAGAUCUCAAACUGUGAAACUGUCUCCACUGCGAAUUCCUUAAGAGACGCCAACUCAUCACGUUCAAUCACCUUCUGUGAGAUCUUGUUGAAGAAGUAGCACAACCGUGUAACUGCAACCUUUAUCCACACUAGGUUUAUAGCCCUAAUGGCAAUAGGGAGAAAAGUAGUCAAUAUGACAUGACAAUCAUGUGAGAUGUAGUUGGUGAGUGUAAGGUCUUUCAUUCACACAGCACUCCGUAUGCUAGAGCAGAAUCCAGAUGGGACUUUCAAUUUCUUCAACCACACACACAUCUCAUGUUUCUCUUCAUUGUUGAGGUUGUAGCUUGCUGCCGGGAGGUGGUACUUCCCAUUUUGUAGCCUAACAGGGUGAAGUUCUUUUUUUAUGCCUAACUGUACCAUGUCCAAGCGUGAAUUUAAUCCUUCCUUUGUCUUGCCCUUCAUGUCCAACAAGGUGCCAAUUACGCUUUCAAACACGUUCUUCUGAACGUGCAUACCAUCGAUCGCGUGGCGGACGUCUAACUCUGGCCAGUAUUCCAAAUACUCGAAGAAAAUUGACUUGUUCUUGAAUGUAGCCCCUAGAGCUGGCUUGACAUUCUUUCUUGGUUUUCCAUCUUUUGUCUUCUUCCCAAAAACAAAUUUGAGUUUGCUGACUAUGUUGAAAACUCUUUGGCCUUUACUGUCACCUGAUGGAGCAGUAGUCUGUAGUUCACUAUUAUUGUCAAAGUACUUAUCCAUCUUUUUCAGCCAGUACCUGUGUCAUUUUGAUAAGAAGCGUCUGUGCCUCAUGUACAAUAUCUUCUUAGAUGCAGUUAGGGACACAUAAGCGGUGUCAUCUAUGCAUACCACACAACCUAACUUUCCCUUGAACUACCCUGAUAAUGUAAAGAGAGCUGGGUAGUCAUUGAUCGUAACAAAGAUAAUUGCUCUCAGUGUGAAUGAUUCUUUGCGGUACUCGUCGAAUAUUUGAACACCUGUUUCCCAUAGUAUCUUCAUGUCUUGCAUUAAGGGCUCCAAGAAAACAUCCAUAUCAACUCCAGGUUGUGUAGGUCCACAGAUGAGGAUGGUUAGUAAAAGGUACUUUUGCUUCUGCAUCAACCAUGGAGGGAGGUUGUAGAUGGUGAGGAUCACUGGCCAUGUGCUGUGCUUGCUGCUUGUGGGGGUAUAAACCCCUAUACCCUUACGGCUAGACUUGGGCCAGGAGGCUUGGCCCAUUAUGAGACAAGCUCAAGGCUUGAUCCGACAGCUUCCGCGGUCGGGCCUGAAGGCCUCACGUUCACCGUCGGCCAGAUCACGUGGACAACGCGCGGUGGUGGUUUCACGACCACGGUUUCGGAAGGAACCCAGAUCCAAUCUGGGAUGACGUCGCCUCCGACCACUUGGAUGACGGCACCGAGCGCCCGACCACCGCUCCCGCUCUACAAGGGGAAGAAGAUCGACUGCUCGGACCUUCUCCAAGCACUUGAUCGCGCUGAUUCCAAGCUACUCGAAGCUUCUCAACUGAUAGAUGGGAUCUCGCGCCAGCCUAACCAAGCCGCUCUAGCGGAUUUUUUCAACUCCCAUCGGCCAACUCGUGUCGUUACACACGAACGGCUGGGGACGUCUCUGACGAUAACCUCAACUCCCUCAGGACGAUCUGUCAAGAUCAAGGCCAACCCGGAGGAAGAUUAUCCUCGCGGUCUGAACAACUCGGCCUCUCUCUACUCGAGACACGUCCGAUCCCUCUUUAACAAAGUUGGUUGGUUGCCAAAGGGGAGCGGUCGACCAGCUCGUCAUUACGUCAACAUGGUGACGAUCCAAGAGCUAUGGGACGGCUAGGCUUCCAGCACAAAUUCGAGCACUGGUUCCAUCCCCACUGAAGUCAUAAAUUCCAAGGACGAGGACUACGACUUGGAUUUCCGGUCACAUCCUCUGGGCCCCUCAUUUCCCGGUCUUCCCUCCCCGACGAGGAGACAUCGUUUUCAAUGUCAGCGCCGACAAGCCGGUCGUUGACGGAGAAACAGACGAGCAGAGGCAGCUCCGCGAGCAGCGUAACGCCGAUCGCGCACGACGACGCGCAGAUGAGGAACGUCAAAUCCCGCCGCAUAAUCUCAGCGACGCUUUUGACAUGGUCGGAGAUCAGCAAGUUUAUAAAACGCCGAGCGCCAAUGUGGCCGUCGCCAUGGCCAAUCUAGAUCGGCUCCCUGAUACUCCCGAGUGCCAGGGCGUCCGAACCAGCGUUCGAGCACACCUGAUCGCCGCGAUGGGGCAAACAGCAACUCUGCUCAAAAGAGCCCAAGGCGUCUCUUAUACAGAGGCCACCUCCGACCAGACUCACCGCAGCCGGACCUCACCGCAGCCCAGCAGGCACCACCGCAGUCGUUCCCCCGACGAUCAUCGGAAAGAUUCACGACGUGACGAUGGCGGUCGGGACGCUCGCGGUCACCGCAAACAGAAUCGUAGGCGUGGUCAAGAAGUAAACCAGUAUAGGGAUCUUUGAUACAACAUUUUUCCCAAAGACGCCCGGGACCGCAUCAACAGGCGCACCACGGAAAGAGCAGUUCACGAAAACUUGCGUCGUAUCGAGUACGACGCAACGCACGGCCCCCCGGGCCUGAAGCAAUUCUCUUCACACCUCCGCCAGGUCGUGUGGCCUCGCAAUUUCAAGCUCGAGAAACUCAAAAAAUACGACGGCAAGGAAAACCCAGAGAACUGGAUCACUCUUUAUGAGAUUGCAGUCCGUUCGGCAGCUAGAGAUGAGCAUGUCAUGGCCAACUACUUUUCGGUAGUCCUCGACCAGGCCGGGCACCAAUGGCUUCUAGGCCUGCCCAAGGACUCCUUCGACUCCUAGGAAGAACUACGCCAAGCCUUCAUCGACAACUUCAUCGCCACCUGCGAGCAGCCUGGGAACAAGUACGACCUCGAACGGAUACGAGAUAGGAAAAAUGAGCCUCUGCGUGACUACAUCCGACGAUUUUCGGAUAUGCGCCUAAAGAUCCCGAAGAUUUCCCAUGACGAGGCUAUAUCUGCCUUCAUCAAGGGGCUGCGUUUCCACGAAGCACUGAGGAACAAGCUACUGCGUAAAAGGCCAACAACGUUGACAGAGCUCCUCGCCACGGCCAAAAAUUAUGCCGACGCAGAUGACGCAGAAAAACUAUCCGAGAUGACAACAGAGGUCCCGACCAGCCUUCUCGGCGUGACGAUAGUCGCGGCCGCUUCGACAACAGAAACCAUCGCCGCCCCGAUCACCGGGACCACAGAGAAGGCUGGGACAGGCGCCGCGACAACCGCGAGGAUUUCAGAGGCAAGCGCCCUCGCGAUCACGACCACGAGGUGAAUACGGUCAAGCGCCCCAACGGACGGUGGGAUUACCAAGAGGACUACAACAAGACGUUGAAGGGACCGUGCCAACUACAUCCCAAAUCCAACCACACCAUGGAAGAAUGCCGCAUCCUCAAAAGCAUCUAUACACGACGGGCUGCUCAAGACGAUCCCUCCAAGAAAAACGGGAAACAAGAUGGGCGCAAUCAUGAAGACGAGGACGAAGACCAGGGUAGGGACCCACGACACCAGUAUGUCAGUCCUACUGACGUGGUCCAUUCCAUCUUCAGAGGCAAGGUCUCCAUCGAGUCUAAAUGAGAAAGAAAGCUCCUAAAGAGAGCCUGCCUCAACAUAGACAGCACUGAUGGUCUGAUCGCCGAUCCAAAAUUUCCUCCCUGGUCGCACAGGGAGAUCUCCUUCAGCAGGAAGGAUCAGUGGGCCGCUAUCCCGGAACCGGGUCGUUUCCCUCUAAUCUUGGACCCUUGCAUUAACUGCAUCAGAUUCGAGCGCGUGCUUGUGGACGGAGGAAGCUCCAUUGACAUCCUCUUCCGCAACAGCUUGCCCGCUCUCAUGAUAUCUCCGGCACAAUUAAAACUUUACGACGCUCAAUUUUGGGGAGUCUUGCCAGGUCAGAGUUCAGUGCCCCUCGGACAGAUAACAUUGCCUGUCCAAUUCGGCACGCUCGACCACUUUCGGACAGAGUUCGUCAACUUUGUGGUCACUGACUUCGAUGGGACCUACCACGCUAUACUAGGCCGACCAUCGCUGACGAAAUUUAUGGCGGUCCCGCAUUACUCAUACCCGGUCCUCAAAAUGCCUACUGAGAAGGGCAUCCUGGCCGUCAGAGGCAAUGUCUACACUACAUAUACUUGCGAGGAAGAGAGCUUCAAGAUCACUGAAGCAAUUGAUCUCUCGAUCCGGAUGGCAGAAACAGCAACCCAAGCCGCACAGCUACCUCCCGACUAGCUCCGACUACCCGAGCAGGAGACCGCCAGGAAGAAUUCAAAAUCCAAGGAGUAUAAAGAAGUACAACUGGUCGAUGGCAGCCCCAAGAAGACGGCCCUCAUCAGGGCCAAUCUGGACCCCAAAUAGGAAGACGCGCUCGUCAGGUUUCGAAGGGACAACGUGAGCGUUUUCGCCUGGAAACCCGCAGACAUGCCCGGCGUCCCACGAAACCUGAUCGAGCACUCCUUAAACGUCUCAAAGACCGCAAGACCAACCAAGCAAAAGCUGUGACGGUGUUGGGUAUUUUAAACGCAAACAGAAAAAUCCGCAAGCGCACAGAUACCGAUGUAGCUUUCACCCGGGAGUAUUCCAGAGUAUCGAUUUUCCACAGAGAACGUGAGUGUACUAAUUAAGAUCCAAGAUCGCCCAAGGAUAACUAUAUAAUUAUUUUUGGUGGGAAGAGAGGAAGUUUCCUGAGAGUUCUCUAGUUGAUCUAAGAAUCAAGAAUUACUUCAAGAUUAUCUAUAUCGGGACAUCAGAGCACUAACCACAGAAAGAGAUGAGAAGGGGGCUAGGAAGGUCUGACUACGGUCCUACAAACACCGAUCCGAACGUGGUGGAAUACGUCGACCGUUAGGGCUGUCACUACCCUAGGGCUACCACAACAAUCCGUAGGAUUGGGUGCAAUUCUAGGUAAUCGCAAGACUAAACACCACGUCUAAUCUAUUAAUUACUACUCUAGCGUUAUAAAGACUAGAGCACUUGAUGCAAGCGGGAAUCCAAUAAAUAACUUGAAUGUAAAUAAAAGUAAUUAGAGAACUCAGGAGUUAUGAAUUGAAGAACCUGGAGAACGAUGAAGAACGAACCAGUUGCUGCAAAAGUACAAUGUUGAGGAAGAUCCGACAGAUCCGGCUCCUCCUCCGCUCUCCUCUUCUCUCUCCCUAUUUUCUAGAUUACAACUAGAACUAACUAGAACUAGAACUAGAGGAACUAGAACUAGAACUAAAUGAACUAGAACUAGAGGUAGAACUAGAAGAACUAGAGGGAUCCUCUCUACUUGGAUGAAGAAUUGAAACCCUAACUUUGAUUCUGUAGAAGAGGUAUGCCUCCAGGGGCUGGUGGGGGUCUGCUUAUAUAGUCCAGGAAGAGUAGCCCCCAAGAAAUCUAGGACGAGUAGCCCCCAAGAAAUCUAGGAAGAGUAGCUCCCAAGGAAUUUCCACGUUAUUCUCCACCAUCCGAUCAAACCGACCUUCAUCGUGUGAUUUUCCUCGAUCCUUAGAGUCGGUGGAGCAUAAUCCCCGAGACUCGUGCUGAUUGGCCAGCAGAGGAGGGCGGGCGCCCAGGGGGGUAGGGCGGGCGCCCUGCCUCCGGGCCCGCUCGGCCUCCCGUUCGUUCCCGUGGCUUCUGGAGUCUUCUAGAUGAUAGAAAAUUGCGCGGCACGUUAAUAUCUCUAUGUAAUCUCGACGUGUGGGCCUUUCUUCCGUAUUUCCUGAUAACCCCCUGCAGAAAUAGACAAACACCAAAACUCGUGGAAUUCUGUCAGAUAAAACCCUAAGUCUGGGUGUUGGUUGCAUUUGGAUCCUUUUCCAUGAUUAAUUGAUGGUUAAAUGUGAGCAUUAAGGACCGUCAACAAGCUCCCCCAAGCUUAACCUUUGCUCGUCCCUGAGCAAAGCUAAAAUCAUCAAGAAAAUAGGGGUUACUUUUAUGCCUUUUACUAAAGGGGUUUUAAGUUAUCACUAAGGUCUUAAGUGAUUGAAAAACAGAAUGAUCAAGUAAAGCACUAUGUCUCAAGUUCUUCUGUCUUACCUUUGUUCUGGAGUUGUUUGUAAGUUUCCAAAAUAAAUCUGAGGCAUUUGCCUUCUUCUUGAAAGAUAUAUAAGUAGAGCUUUAAAAAUUUUAGCAUACUUACUUUGCAUUUUGCUAUGUCAAUGCUUGGAGCAAGGGAGAGGAAUGUCAUACUCCUAGAUCAAGACCUUUGACCUUUUUGACGAGUUUGUCAUCUCUUUCUGGCAUAUUGCUUAUUACAGGGACCAUGGGCUAUCAUUUUUUUUCCUUUUUUUUCUCUUUUUUUUAGUCUCUUUUUUUCAAGUGGGCAGCAAGUACCCCUAAUUCUACUGUCGGACACAUGUCCAUUUUUACCUCUCAUCUCACUCUUUUUUUUCGAAUCAAAUUUUUGCAUAGUCCCAUGCCUCUAACGCAAUAAUACUUCAGAAGAGUGAAUCUUUUAUAAGAUCUUGAUCUUGGGAGCAUGAUAAUUCUCUCAACCAAAACUACAGGAAUUAACAAUGGCUUGAACAAAGAAAAUACCCACAGUUUUAAUAUUUAUUUCUUAUAAGACUCUAGGUAUUAUGAUCUCAUAUAUUUUUUUUAUGAAUUUUUAGAUUUUCAAAAGAUAAAAUCUCCAGAACUCUAGCAAAACUUGGAACAAGUUAAAUAGUAGCUCAGACCUUCUCAUAUCAUGUUUGUCAAUUACCUAGACUUGAAUCAAACUUUAUUUUUAUUUUAUUUAAAACUUAGUAUUACAUAAAACUAUUAUAUAUUACUCAAAACAAAAACUGUGUUUGGUUUCAUAGUUAUGCAUUUUUUAUUAUUUGAGUAAAGUAUAAACGUGAGUAGAACACUUAGGUGGAUAAAUAGGGGUGCUCUCCCCCAAGCUGGAUUUUGACAUAAUUUCUUCUGAUGUAGCUAGCAGGUGGCGGAGGUGUAUUUGAAUGUCGGCAGAACUAUGACAGCGAUUAGGAUAUCCUUCGUCUCCUAGUCUUCUUUGAUCCUUGAAUUCUGUGGAGCUCAAAUAGACAACAAAGCUUUGUGGAACUAGUUAAGUGUUAGCAUAAAUAUCUAGCCUUUAUCAUGUUGAGCCUCCUCAAUAAAUGUUACUCAUUAGUAGGAUCAUAAUUUUAUUUUUAUAAUUUUAUUUUUAUAGGACAGGAAUAUAUUUAUUUUAUUUUUAUGCCACCACAGUGAAUGUACUUAUGGGUUUUAUGCCAUGAGCAUACUCACAUGGGGCUUACUAUUUUUAACAUUUUUAUUUUCUUUUUAAGAUGAUAUGAACCUGAUUAACUAAGCAAACUAUUUUAAAUAAUUGAAAGGGAAAAAGGAUAACUACCAAGUUUAACUCUUACCUAGGCGUUCGGUGUUUUUAAGUCCUCCGAACGGGACUCUCUAUUUUCUCAGUUAUCCUGGGAUUCACUGGAUGGCGUAGUCAGUGGUUCCGGCAGCGCCUGGUCUUCAUGUAUAACUAUCUUCUCUCUCCACACCUGACACGGUGCUACGGUCUCCUCAGGACAGUUCUGUUCAAGUUGUAUGUCUUCAGACGUUACCACUUCUCCUUCAUAAUCCGCCCAUUCGUCCUUGAUAAUUUGCCUACUCUGGUUGCGGUUGCGUCGUCUUCUUCUUGUCCUGACCUGCUUAGAGUCUUUCAACUAUGUAGUUAAGGUUAGUAAAAUAGUGGCGUACCUUUUCAGAGGGGAAGUGCAUGUGGACUCCGCCGGUUCCAAUGUAGAUGAUUGCUUUAACGGUGUUGAGGAACGGUCUUCCAAGGAUGAUGGGUAGAUCGUACUCGUCUUCUCCUAUGUCAAUAACUUCAACCUUCCGAAAUGUUUGAUCUGCCAUCUGGUGCUGGGUGUAUGUUGGUUAUAGGGGCAUGGUUCCAUGCAGGAGCUAAUAAGUGACUGCGGCCAUUAUGUUGACGUCAGAUCCGGUGUCGUAGAGUGUCUUCUCAAAAGAAUAUCCGUUGAUUGUGCACUUGAUGCUUGGAACACCAGGGUCGUCCUUCUUGAUCAAGAAAGGUGACUUGAGUUGAUGAUCUUGACCUUCUUGAGCUGCAGUGACCAUCUUAGCUGACUCAGUCCACAUUUGCUUGUUUCUGUUCCUCCUGUUGGUCCUCUUCCUUGGUUCAUGUUGGGAAUGCUCUGAGAUUUGUGCAGUCUUGUUCUUGAAGGAAAACGUCUCCUUCCUCCCCUUGAUGUAGAAACUGAUCUUGGCAGCACUAGCGUAGAUGAUAGCUCCCGAGGUGUUCAGGAAUGGCCUCCCUAGGAUGAUGGGUGCCCUCUCAACAGUACCAGUCUCUAUCAUCACGAAGUCUGCUGGGGCGCACAAGGUACCAACUCGGACGUAGAGGUUCUUCAAUAUUCCCUUUGGGAAACUUAGUGUCUGAUCUGCAGGCUGCAAGCACACGGUUGUUUCUAGUAAAGGAUGUGUAAAGAAUUUUUUUCAUAGAGUACCUUGGGCAUAAUGUUGACGCUGGAGCCAAAGUCGCAGAGUGCUUCUAGGAAGUCCACCAUGCCGAUGGAGAUCAGGAUGACGGGGCGUCCUAGGUUGUCUCUCUUGACUGGCAGAAGGUCAGUAAUUACUUCCACAAUGGGGUUACUCCAGUAGUUACGUCCUCAAGCAUCUCAGGGUAGUGAUUGCCUGAGUGUCUAGUAUCUCCAGUGUGUUUGUGCUCAUAGAUCUAAGUUCUUCACUUGGUGGAGUCUGGAAGUUGUAAAACUCCUUCAUAUUUUGCUUGAAGUGUACCUACUCAUAAAGACAAGGCAGAGAUCAAGUGCUUGGGCCCUGUUGGUGGAAAACACCAACAGAACCAAAAGUGUAUUUGUUCUUCUCUAACCUUAAGCAUAGUGAGCAAGACAAAGUUGAAGGAUAAUAAGAUUAUGAGUGUAGCAUUUAAAGCAUUUGUUAGAUCAGAUCACUCAACCUAAUGGAAAGAUAAUCUAUCUAUACUUAUCUCUUUUUUUAUAUAUAUCUUCCAAAGAUUGUGUGUGCAACAUUUAGUGUGGGAUCACAAAGGUGAAAGGACUAAACAUAUUGAAUCGAUUGGGUUGGUUAAUCUAGAAUUGUAAAUCAUACAUGUUUGUCUCUUUUAUUCAUGUGAAUGCCAGAACCAAGGAAAAGCUUAUAGAAGUGAUAGUCAAGUACUUUAAGAUGUUACCUUACUUGAAGAGUGAUGGUACAGUAUUACCUUGUGGAAGCUUUCCAUUCUUAGUGGUUGUGCAUCGUGUUUGUGGCACCCUCCAUGGAUCAUCUUUUGUGAGCUAUGCCUUCCUUGUGUAAAUUGUUAAACUUCAUGUGUGUCUCUCUUUGUCUCCAAUGUGAGUUUAUCUCAGGACUUCCCAGGUCAAUAUUGAAAGUUUUCCUGCAGGGGUUAGUCCAACAAAAUAUCCAAUAUCUACUAUAGCAUACUAUCGGCUCAAAAAUCAACCUAGACACCAUGUCUAAUUUGAUUUAGGAGGGCAUUUUAACCUAAGCAUCAUGCUUAAUUUAAACUCCCUUGGAAGUAAGAUCAUCAGCCCUAAACUAAGCACCAUGCUUAAUUAAGAGAUAAAUGAAACUACUCCAAACCUAGACAUAUACUAAAGCAAAUAAAGGUAGCAUGAGAGCAUUUAUAGAGAUCUACUCAAGUGGGGAUGAAGUAGUGUGAUUAGUAUUUAACAAAAUUGAGCAUGUCUCAAAGGUAGGGACAACCAACAUAGCAACAUGGCAAAGAAUGUUUUUAUGUAAAGUACUCCCCCAAGCUUGAAUUUUGCAAAAUUCAAGAUUGGAUGAAUUUAAUUCAAUGUUGCAUGAUGAUUGGUUGGACAUACCUUGUGCUUGUCAUUCAUCCGAUCUUCUUGCUCCAAUCCUGGAAAGGUUAGUGACAAGAAUACCCGAAGGAAUAUUUUUAUAAUUAUUCUUAUAUGCUCAACACACAAGGUAAUGUUGCAAAUAAUUCAAAGCUCAUGUUACAAUCUGAUCAGUGCUUGUUUUAGGACACUAAGCUUGUCCUUGGGAAACCAUCAAUUUAUGUCAGUGAAGUGGUUUCCCCUCAAUCGCUGACCUAUAUCAAGAUCAACUCAACGAGAUCUGCAAAAUUUAUUAUAAACAUAUGCAUCGACAACCGCCCUUUUAAAGUUUUUAUAAAUAGAAAGGAAGAGGGGGUUGGAGAUCUCGAAUGUGGUGAUGUUGGAGAGACCAAUGGAUUGUGAAGAUGUUGCAUAUGAGCAUGGAGUAAAUGAAGUGGCUAUGAAAUAAAUUCCAUGCUCAUUAAUGCUUAGAGUGAAAUCCAUGUGGUACGGUGAAAAUGGUAAGGUGAGUGUGGUAAAAAAAGGAAAAGAAAAAGGAUACACGGAUGACUUGGUUCGAAACUAGCACAACUACCGUUCCCCGGCAACGGCGCCAGAAAGCUUGUUGGGUAUUUUAAACGCAAACAGAAAAAUCCGCAAGCGCACGGAUACCGAUGUAGCUUUCACCCGGGAGUAUUCCAGAGUAUCGAUUUUCCACAGAGAACGUGAGUGUACUAAUUAAGAUCCAAGAUCGCCCAAGGAUAACUAUAUAAUUAUUUUUGGUGGGAAGAGAGGAAGUUUGCUGAGAGUUCUCUAGUUGAUCUAAGAAUCAAGAAUUACUUCAAGAUUAUCUAUAUCGGGACAUCAGAGCACUAACCACAGAAAGAGAUGAGAAGGGGGCUAGGAAGGUCUGACUACGGUCCUAUAAACACCGAUCCGAACGUGGUGGAAUACGUCGACCGUUAGGGCUGUCACUACCCUAGGGUUACCACAACAAUCCGUAGGAUUGGGUGCAAUUCUAGGUAAUCGCAAGACUAAACACCACGUCUAAUCUAUUAAUUACUACUCUAGCGUUAUAAAGACUAGAGCACUUGAUGCAAGCGGGAAUCCAAUAAAUAACUUGAAUGUAAAUAAAAGUAAUUAGAGAACUCAGGAGUUAUGAAUUGAAGAACCUGGAGAACGAUGAAGAACGAACCAGUUGCUGCAAAAGUACAAUGUUGAGGAAGAUCCGACAGAUCCGGCUCCUCCUCCGCUCUCCUCUUCUCUCUCCCUAUUUUCUAGAUUACAACUAGAACUAACUAGAACUAGAACUAGAGGAACUAGAACUAGAACUAGAUGAACUAGAACUAGAUCUAGAUGAACUAGAGGUAGAACUAGAAGAACUAGAGGGAUCCUCUCUACUUGGAUGAAGAAUUGAAACCCUAACUUUGAUUCUGUAGAAGAGGUAUGCCUCUAGGGGCUGGUGGGGGUCUGCUUAUAUAGUCGAGGAAGAGUAGCCCCCAAGAAAUCUAGGAAGAGUAGCCCCCAAGAAAUCUAGGAAGAGUAGCUCCCAAGGAAUUUCCACGUUAUUCUCCACCAUCCGAUCAAACCGACCUUCAUCGUGUGAUUUUCCUCGAUCCUUAGAGUCGGUGGAGCAUAAUCCCCGAGACUCGUGCUGAUUGGCCAGCAGAGGAGGGCGGGCGCCCAGGGGGGUAGGGCGGGCGCCCUGCCUCCGGGCCCGCUCGGCCUCCCGUUCGUUCCCGUGGCUUCUGGAGUCUUCUAGAUGAUAGAAAAUUGCGCGGCACGUUAAUAUCUCUAUGUAAUCCCGACGUGUGGGCCUUUCUUCCGUAUUUCCUGAUAACCCCCUGCAGAAAUAGACAAACACCAAAACUCGUGGAAUUCUGUCAGAUAAAACCCUAAGUCUGGGUGUUGGUUGCAUUUGGAUCCUUUUCCAUGAUUAAUUGAUGGUUAAAUGUGAGCAUUAAGGACCGUCAACAGACGGUUCGCUCGUUACAAAAAGGAUGCUAUUAGGACAGAAAUAACACGACUUUUAGCAGCCGGAUUCAUAAAAGAAGUGUAUCAUCCCGAUUGGCUCGCCAAUCCGAUCCUUGUACGCAAAAAGAAUAAUGAAUGGAGAAUGUGCGUUGAUUACACUGAUCUCAAUAAACACUGUCCUAAAGAUCCUUUUGGUCUCCCUCGCAUCGACGAGGUGGUCGACUCAACGGCCGGAUGCGAACUCCUCUCUUUUCUAGACUGCGACUCUGGUUAUCACCAGAUCUCGCUAAAGGAAGAAGAUCAGAUAAAAAUGUCUUUCAUUACUCCUUUUGGCGCAUACUGCUACACGACCAUGUCGUUCGGACUCAAAAACACCGGAGCCACCUAUCAAAGGACCAUCCAGCAAUGCCUCCACGGCGAGAUUCGUGAUGACCUCGUCAAGGCCUAUGUAGAUGACGUCGUCGUCAAAACAAGGGAUGCAAGCACCCAAAUUGACAACUUAGACCGAACCUUUAAGGCGCUAAACAGGUACAAGUGGAAGCUUAACCCCAAAAAGUGCAUCUUUGGCGUCCCUUCCGGUCUACUGCUCGGCAACGUCGUCAGCCGCGACGGCAUACGCCCGAAUCCUUCAAAAGUAAAAGCAGUACUCGACAUGCGACCACCUAAAAAUGUCAAGGAUAUCCAGAAGCUCACCAGAUGUAUGGCCGCACUCAGCCGCUUCAUCUCAAGACUAGGAGAAAAAGGCCUCCCUUUCUUCAAACUCUUGAAGGCUAAGGAAAAAUUUUCUUGGACAGAGGAAGCCGACGCUGCUUUCACCCAGCUUAAAACUUUCCUCACUUCACCGCCUGUUCUUACAGCGCCUCAGCCCAAUGAAGACCUACUCCUUUACAUUGCUGCAACCUACAGGGUUGUUUCCACGGCAUUAGUGGUCGAGCGAGACGAGCCAGGUCAUGUCUACAAGGUCCAGAGACCCGUUUACUUCAUAAGCGAAGUCCUAAACGAGUCCAAGGCCAGAUAUCCACAAAUACAGAAGCUCAUAUAUGCCGUUUUAAUAACAUCGAGAAAGCUAAAGCACUACUUCGACGGCCAUCGAGUCUUGGUAACCACCAGUUUCCCUCUUGGGGACAUUCUGCUCAAUAAAGACGCCAACGGCAGAAUUGUAAAAUGGGCAAUGGAAUUAUGCCCAUUCUCCCUAGAAUUCCAGAGCCGCACCACAGUCCAGUCUCAGGCCCUGGUCGAUUUCAUUGCAGAGUGGACGGAUCUCAACGAGCCUCCCGUUCCCGACGUCUCCGACCACUGGUCGAUGUUCUUCGACGGGUCCUUGAACAUCAACGGCGCCGGUGCGGGGAUUCUUUUCGUGUCGCCUAACAAGGACAAACUGCGUUACGUCCUUAGAAUCCUUUUUCCGGCAUCAAACAACGUCGCCGAAUACGAAGCAUGCCUUCACGGCAUACGAUUAGCCGUUGAGUUGGGAGUCAAACGCCUUUAUGUCUAUGGUGACUCCGCUUUAGUUAUCAACCAACUCAACAAGGAAUGGGACGCAACCCACGAGAAGAUGGAUCUCUACUACAAAGAAAUUCGCAAAUGGGAAACCAACUUCUACGGCAUAGAGUACAUCCACGUGGUCCGGGAUAAGAACCAGGCAGCAGAUGCGUUGUCAAAGUUAGGGUCAUCUUGGGCCCAGAUCUCGCGAGGUGUUUUCGUCCAGGACAUCCAUGAGCCAAGUGUAGGCAAAGACCCGGCCGAAAAGCAACCUAUUGAGGCAAUGCUCAUAAACGACGUUACUCCGGCAACCGGUAACCGCGAUUGGCGCACCCCAUUCAUCAGAUAUAUAUCGGAUGGGUUAGGUUUUCAGGAUAAAACAGAGAACGAGCGCCUCAUUCGACGAUCAAAGAAUUACAUACUGGUGGACGGCAAGCUUAUGCGAAAAAAUGCAAGUUCUAAAGUGCUGCUCAAAUGCAUAUCCCAGGACGAUGGCAUCAAACUCCUAGACGACAUACAUGCCGGAUCCUGCGGCAAUCAUGCUGCCUCCAGAACGCUGGUCGGGAAAGCUUUCCGAGCAGGUUUUUAUUGGCCAACCGCGGUCAACGAUGCAGAAAAACUGGUCUGACACUGUGAGGGAUGUCAGUUCUUCGCUAAAAGGACCCACGUACCUACUCAUGAGAUUCAAACUAUCCCGUCGUCCUGGCCUUUUGCCUGCUGGGGGCUCGACAUGAUCGGGCCAUUUAAACCGGCCCCUGGUAACUUCAAGUUCGUCUUCGUAUUAAUCGACAAGUUUUCAAAGUGGAUUGAAUACAUGCCACUGGUCAAAGCAACCUCCGAGAAGGCUGUGGAGUUCCUCAAUCAAAUCAUACACAGAUUCGGGAUCCCAAACAGUAUAAUCACUGACCUGGGUACUCAGUUCACUGGCACCAUAUUUUGGGACUUCUGCGAUGACAGAAGCAUAGUCAUAAAAUACGUGUCAGUAGCUCACCCAUGGGCAAAUGGCCAAGUUGAACGUGCAAACGGAAUGAUCAUCGACGCCCUAAAGAAAAGGUUGUACACCGAGAAUGACAGAGCACCUGGUCGAUGGAUGAAAGAGUUGCCGGCCGUGGUCUAGGGUCUCCGAACACAGGCUAGUCGGAACACCGGGGUGUCACCCUACUUCAUGGUUUACGGCACCGAGGCAGUGCUGCCAUCUGAUAUAACCUUCGGAUCUCCAAGGAUUGAAAACUUCGACCAGUCAACGGCCGACAACACCAGGGAACUCGAAAUCAACUGCAUGGAAGAAAAGCGUCUAAAUUUGUGCCUUCGAACAGCAAAGUAUCUUGCGGCAAUCAAACGAUACCACAACAGGAACGUUAAGGACCGUUCCUUCGUGGUCGGCGAUCUGGUACUCAGGUGGAAAACAAGCCAGGAAGGAAUGCACAAGCUAUCCACUCUCUGGGAAGGACCCUUUGUGGUCGCCGAAGUCACACGACCCACAUCCUACAGAUUGGCAUCUCCAGGCGGAACACGCGUGCCUAACUCUUGGCACAUAGACAAACUGCGCCGAUUUUAUCCAUAAGUUUCAGUAACUUUUGCUUGUAAGUCUCUUAUAGUUGGCAAUAAUAAAAGUUUUUUCUUUUUUGGCUAUACUUUGUUUACACGCAGAGAUAUCGGCAAAGAGCAAUAAUGUCCUCUGCGACGGAAACUCUUAACGACCAUGAAUCAAACACAGUGACACGUCACUCAAAUAACUUCACAGCGCUCAAAAUAACAGUCAUGACAAAAGCAAACUUUAUUACAAACUUUACAUGCAAAGUUUACAAUAAAUACUGUUGACAUGAUUUUUGGCUCACCAAUUUGGUUUAAAAAAAUAUAAAUAAUAUACAUGGCCUAAUUCCAUAUGAGAAAUGAUGUUGGCUAUGAAGUCAGUGCAAGAGCACACGGCAAGCAAAGGUGUGUGCAUGUGUAUUUCGUAUGUGUAAAUAAAUCAAAUACCAUGUACUCAUGGGAAUACGUAGUCCGAAGAGCACAUAUGAAAAUAAAAUACUUUGUUGAUUGACUAAAAUAAUCAAUCAUUUUCAAGGUAAAAAAUUAAAAGAAUGAAAUGAUGUGGUGACUAGUGGAAAGUUAAGAAGAGGAAAAGAAAGCUGGAACAAAGAAAUAAGGACAUAUACGCAUAUACGUUGUAUCUCGGCAAAAUAUAGUAGCGAAAGCACGGCUAUUAUAUGUCACGUUAAAAACGCCAGGCCGUAAAUACAUACACUGCUCACAUACGCAUGGAUUAAAAGAUGAUCAGGCAGCGUAUAGGAUGGUGGUGUAUAUAUAUACUGCCUAUCAUGUAGCCUUACGUACGCCAACCAGAAGAUAAACCUCCCUAUUUUCCUUAAUUAGAUUAAUUACUUCAAUCUAGAUAAAGUGGCUCAUAAACCAUGGAGAGGGAGAGUCAGGUCUUGACGCAUUCCAUGUUUUGACGGCGUCAGGCAACCCAGUCCAAGUCCCAAGGAGGAUUCAAACCUCCAUGAACUCCACGUCUGGAAAGAACCCCGUCGCAGCAGUCGCGCGCGAGGCCAUUCAAAUCACAACGCACCCGGGUCAUUAGCGGAGGCAGAUUGAAUUAGAAGAGCGCCAAACAUCGUGGUAACUACUCCCGCCGCUUUAGACUGGAGGAAUCGCCUUGCCACUUGCUCUAUAAAUAGCAGGCUGCGGCAAGCAUUCAGGACCCCGGCUCCUCUGAUCCAAAGUGCCGCCAGGCUGCUGCCGCUCCAUUGCCUCUAAAAUAAACUGCCGUCAGGCUGCUGCAGCACCACAUCGCUCGCCGUUUCAAGCGCCGCCCUGCCGUGCUGAAGAUCAAGCAUCAUCGUUAAGCUGCCGGUGAACUGCAAGAGCUUCCGCAAAGGCUUGCCGGCAAAAGCUGCUGUUUCGUGAGUCCCAAAAGGUGAGGAGCCAUAGCGCUCUUCUGAUUCCUCUCCUCCUAUUCUGGUUCUCCCGGCUUCACCGACGAUCGGCAACAAGCAAAUCUUCAUCGCCGGCAUCAUGACCAAGGCCUCAUGCACAGCUUCACUCUUUUGAGUUAGUUGCCAUGAGAUGCUUCAAGAUCCCAUGCCGAAUUUGUCAUACAAACCGGAUAGGGAAGAGCAUUGUUCUCAAGAACAAGAGCUAUGUUCAUCAUCAUUUCCAUGAUCAAGACCUCAUAUGUGGCUUGGCUCCGUCGAGCAAGUUCUCAUGAGAUGUCUCAAGGCCCCAUGCCGGAUUUGUAGCACAAACCGGACAGGGAAGAGCAUUGUUCCCAAGAACAAGAGCUAAGUCCACCAAUAUACUGAAAAAUACUCCUCGCUGCACUCCACGCAUGUGUUUAAAUCAACCAGAACACUUGCCGUGAGAUGUACGAGAGAGACCCAAAUUUCAUGCUAAAUGUUAUCAUUGCUUAUGCUAUAUAUAUAUAUAUAAAGAAAUCCAUGUGCUGCAUAUUCAGUCUAUGCAUAUUUUUCCUUAGUCGUGGCAGUUAGCGCCUUUGAUGCAAAUUUGAUUUAGUUAGCACUAACAUCUGUAUGCUAUAUUCAGUACCAUGCAUUUCAUUGGUGGUUGCAAGAAACAUUGAAGUUUGCAUUGCCAUGAGAUAAAUAAACUAGCUCUUUCAAAUGCCCGAACUGUCAAAGAUCAUGCAUAUCCAUAAUUAGAAUAUGUAUGCAUACGUCAUGCACAUGUCUGGUCUACGUCAGCAAAGACAAAUAAUGAUAAAAAACGGUAUGAUUCAUACUCUACGCCGUAUCAAGUGUUAUGGCCAGACAAAUAAAAUCCUCUGUUGGGCACGUAAAAACCCAUAAACCUUAUAUGUUGCUGCAUCUUGCAUAAAUUGUGUAGAGAUAAAAUCUUGUCCAGAUAAAAUCAAAUGGUCACUUUCCUAGCCAAAGUCAACAAAUAAAUAACGUUUCGUUCAUAUUUUUAGGUGGUCUUCAUCCGAACCUGGACAUGUCCUAAUAGACCAUAUAAUAAACUAAGCAAAAUUUUAGUUGUGUCAAACCUCAAGCCAUGACCAUUGAUGUUAGCUAAUUAAUUAUCUGCGUCGCUACGGUUAAAUAAAAUAAUUAAAUGUGAUAAACACGUGAACUUAGCUCAAAUUAAUUAAACUGGCCUUGUUAUGUUUAUCAUACCGAGCAUAGUUCCUCCAAAUUCCGUGCAUCAUGUAUAAAUAAAUAUUGCACCUUAGCUAUAUCCCAUUCAUAAAUCACCAGGCCUAGCUGAGUUGUAAACAAACCACAUCAAAUUAAAUUAAAUUAAAUUGCAUAAUACGUGCUAAUCCGUGGCCAAAUACCAUGCCAGGGACAUGCAUAACUUUCAUAAAAUAAGUACACUACAUGCAUCACGACCAAGUCCGGUGAUGCCGUAUAUCUUUCUAAGCCAUGGCAAAAUAGACGUCCUAGCUUAGCCCCAAAUAAAAUAUUAUAUCUUAUAUGCCAAAGCAUGUCAAUCCUUAAUCUGGCAUAUCUCCAAGUAAAUUACGUGCAUGCAUACGUGAUAAAAUGCACCAAAUAAAUGUUUAUUAUAUAAAUAAAUUAAUAUCCCUCCAUGGGCAUGCAUAUUUGUCAAAAAUCAUGCUAGCGACCAAUCAUACAAAGAAUAUAUAUUACCUGCUCAACAAAUGGAGUGUCAUGCUCAAAAGAAAUGAUGAAUAUCAAGUUCAAGUUUAUGCCAGGCCUAUGCAUGCAUCCAUCCGCGACUACAAGACUGAAGAUUUUAUUUUCUUUUGUAGUUUGUAAUAGCAAGCCAUAUGAUGUAAUCUUUCUUUUUCAUGUACUCAUGUUGGAACUCUUAAUCAGGGGUGUUCUCUUCAGAGAUGUAAUUAACAUAAUUUUUAUGCAAAUGUAAGAAUUAUGGAAGUAUGGACUCGCAAUACCUGUUCUUUUCAUAUUGUCUCAUUUAAAUUUAUAUUUGUCUCUGCUGACGCGGAGGCGGGUCAUAGCCUCCCGUUUCCCCGCCAUCAAAUACCCUGACGGGCGGUCACUAGUCUACUCCUACAGACUACUCUGCUGGCCUACUGCUCGGGCUGAUCACCCGCUUGGCCUUGCUGCCCAGACGAAGGGGUCGGGGCCACCGGCGGCUGGCUGGUCGAGACCGUAGGCGUCGACCGCCCAUCUCCGGCAAUGGACGCCCCCGACAACUCCCCGGCCGACCUGUCUGAACCCGGCUGGUCGGGGGGAGUGGCCGUCCCGCAUAGAUUGAUGUCACCGAUGACCGUCGACGACAAGUCUAGCAGUCCAGCCCGAAGCUCGUCCACCUCCUGCGGGCCGACUUCCUUGGGGUACCCCUUCUCCAGCCUGGACAAGUCGACCAGGGGGUAGUGGGCGCGCACCAUGCUGAGGAUAUGCGCGCCAGCAAACUCUCCGGCGUCCUUCAUGAACUGCUGGAGCCAGUCCCACGCCCGUUGCGCCUUUUCAACUGGCGUCAAUCUCGGCGCACGGGGCUGGCUCUCCGGAAGCUCGGGGCUGAUCAAGUCAAGGACCGGGGCUACUCCUUUCCAGAUCCUACAACAAUUAACCUUCCAGGAGUCCCGAUCCUUGACCAGCUCGUCCAGAUGCUUCUUGGCGUUCACCUUGAGCACUGCAAAUCAAGCAAGAUGUUAGUUUCAACAUAUCGAAAAGAGCGAUAAGCGGCAAAUAACGGGGGCGGCGCGUAUUACCAGACAACUCCCGGUCCCUCCGGCCCAGCUCCUCCCCUGCUCGGCGCCCGGCCUCCAGCGCACCGGCAAGCUCUUGGCUGAGCUGCUCUUUCUCCUGUCGAAGGCGCGCGACCUCCUCCUCUAAACCUACAUGAAUAAUCCUCUGGUCAGCGAAGACAACCAACGCGGCUACAAACAGCCGCCUCGGCGUACGAGACUAACCUUCUCGCUGCCGAAACUGGUCGGCCAAGCGUCGGGUAAGCUCGAAACGGUGCUCUUCCUGAGCGCUCAUCUCGGCUACUUUCUCUCCAACUUCUGAUCGAAGCCGGUCCACCUCUGCGGCCAGGGUCUUGUUCUCGGCUACAAUGCCUUCUAUUUGGUCGAAGCACCUCUUUCGGUACUUCACCAUUUUCGUUGCGCCCUGCAAGACGAACACAUGUUGACCUAGCAAGAUAACAUAACAGUGUCGAGCAGUGCAAAGGAUAACUUACCUUGACUUUGUCCACGAGACGCUUGGCCGCGCGCUCUACUCUGGCGGCCUCUUCUGUCUCCGCGAGCUCCUCGUGCCCGAUAAAGUGGUCCCCACGUUGGCGCCACACAUAUACGUGUUGGCGGCCAUCACGAGGACGACCUUCAAUCUCCUCCACCUCGUCGCUGGAGGCCGCCUGGGUUUCCUCGCCCGCUGCAUCGCCCCCGGUGGUGGUCGCAGGCAUCACCGGCCCCUGGACCAGGCCCGGGGAUCCUGUGGCCGCAGAGACACCUGCCCGGGGGGGCGUUGGGACCUCCCUCCUUUCGACGGGUGAGGGGUCGGGGCUCUGCCCUCCCCUUCCACAACGUUUCUCGGGGGAGGCGUCCCCAUAGCCUCCUCGACCCUUGUCGGGCUGCUCGCCGCAGUCCUUGUCGAGGCCGGAAGCUCCUCGGCGCUCUCAGGAACGGCUGCUGCCGCAGGCUGUUCCACGGUCUGCAGCGCCGCGUCCUCAGCGGCACAAGCAGGCUCGGCCACCCUCUGGCCGGCGGCGUGGUCGGGAUUGACGUCCGACGCCGCGCUAAAAAACAAGGCAGCAUUUUCAGCAAAAAAAAAGACAAAGACAAAAAUCGCCAAAAUACGUAAGUCGAACACUUACAGGUCUGAUCGACGAUGGGCCGUGGUGAACCUCCUCCUAGCCCUGCCGGUCGGCACCUGCGCCCCCGUUUCCGUAACGCGCGGCGCAGGAGGGUCGCUGGCCACCCGAUCAGUAGUGGCCGGUGCACUGUCCGAACGGCUACGAGGCCUUCGGACCAGCGAUGGUGCGGCCUCCUCCUCCUCGUCGUCGUCGUCGGUGAUCCGAACGAGCCGACGGCGCUUUGGCGCUUGGCUGCUCUCUGCCGGCAGCGUCGGCGCAGGCGAAGGAUCUGCUGCUAACGGCCUCUUCCCUGCCACUCUCUCCUCAGUGGUCGGGACGGGGCGGGCCUGGUCCUCCUAACUACUGGUGUAACGAGUACACCGAGCAGCGUCUUCCUCCGGCGGAUCUUCCCCCGCAGGAUUCUCCAUCCCAGGCGCCAGUGACACAUACACUAUGCACCGGUCAACGUCUCCGAUCUGCAAAAGUAACAAAGAUAAGUCAGCAGUUGACAAUAACAAAUGCUAAGGAGAAAUAAACAGUAAGAUACCUUAGGUGCUGGUUGCCCCAACUUGAAGGCUUGCACCAGGUCACUACCACGGACGAAGCCCCCGUCCGCAAAGUUGAACAGCUCGUUCAACAGCUGCUGCACCUCUGCCUUCUCCAAGACCUCAGGCCGCAUCCUGGUCGGGUCCAGGCUCCCGGCGUACUCGUACGCCGAGUGUACCCUCUUCUGGUAGGGCAUCACCCGACGACACACAAAGUUGCCGACCACGCCUAGCCCGUCCAAGCGCGACCAGUCGAUCAGCUUCAUCAGGUCCGCCACUUGGCCGUCGAACUCUGGGCGGUCGGUCCAGCUCACCCUCUUCUCGGGGAUGUACCCCACGUCGCAGAACGUGGAGCUGCCCGGUUCUUCCCUGACGUAGAACCACUUCAUGUACCAUUCGGUUAGGGAAGUGUUCCACGGACAGUGCAGAUAACGGUUCUUCAUCCCGUCGUGAAGAUUGAGGUAUACUUCACCUGCAACCUUGGAGCCUCCAACCGCUCCCUUCUUUCUUAAACAAAAAAGAUGACGAAAGAGAUCGAAGUGCGGCUCUAUGCCAACAUAGGCCUCGCACAGAUGGAUAAAAGUGGAGAUGAGAAGGAUUGAGUUCGGGUGCAGAUUGCAAAUCCCGAUCUCAUAAUACAAAAGAAGACCCUGAAGAAAAGGAUGAACAGGAACCCCGAAACCCCUCUUAAUUAAAUCCUCGAACACUACGAUCUCACCGGCGCGGGGGUCGGGGUAGCUCUCCCCCUCUGGCGCCCUCCAGCCGCCAAGCUCCGGGCUGUGUAGUAGCCCCAUGUCGACGAGGUCACCGAGGGACUUUGCGGUGCUGCGGGAUUUCUUCCAUUCCUUGGCCAUCAGCUCGGCCCUCUUCUUGGAGGCGCUCUUCGCCAUUGGAAACGCGGGAAUGGUUUCGAGCUAGGAGGGUGCAGGUGAUUGAAGAAGGCGAGAGCGGAAAGCGUGAAGGCAAUGGCAGGGUAGGCAAUGCGGGGUUAAUGUCAGGAUUUUAUAAACUACAACUCCACCCCUCCCACUUCCCGCAUUCUUGGGAAGUGGGCGGGCCAUACGGCACACGCGGCGCUUCGGUUUUCAAUGAUUAUCGACAAUUAAUGCGGCGGAGUUUUCGUAUAAAUUUAUGGUUUCCUUUUCUCAAACCGCGCAAAGGACGGCUGCACAGUUGCCAGACGCAACUUUUCAUGCAGCCAUCUGACACCACAUCAGGAGGUCUCGUCACAUCAACUUUUAUGUGGUAAAAAUUUUCAAAACAAGAAGACAAAAAAUGGUAGAGAGUCAACAAUCCGAGGACUGCACCGACCACCGAGCACUUCAUGCUCGGGGACUGGUCGCCCAGUCUAUCAAUUCGGAACUUCAAGAAUUACACCGACCACCGAGCACUUCAUACUCGGGGACUGGUCGCUCAGUCUAUCAACUCGGAACUUCAAGGACUACACCGACCACCGAGCACUUGAUGCUCGGGGACUGGUCGCCCAGUCUAUCAAUUCGGAACUUCAAAGAAUGCAAUGACCAUUGAGCACUUGAUGCUCGGGGACUGGUCGUCAAAUUUGUUGAGACUGCACCGACCACUGAGCGCUUGAUACUCGGGGACUGGUCGCCUAGUCUAUUAGUUCGGAAAUCAGCGGGUUGUAUCGAUCUUGGAGCAUCGUACACCCGCGGACUGGUUGACCAGCUUGUCAAAUUGAUAAGUCUAUUCGAUGGUAAAUGAGCAUGAGAUGCUCGGGGACUGGAUAAUUUUAAUUUUUUAGACCUUGCUACAAGGCUCAUACUUCGCCUUCCAGCAAGCUCGGGGACUACAUCAGUACGAUGCAUCUGGCGAUGCAUCUCAGUUUCAAAACUACUCUGGGGAAUUUUCUUUUGACCCUGGCACCACGUGUCUACAUCACCUACUACCAGGCUCGGGGACUAAGUGGGCACACUUCACCUUGCGGUGAAUAUGCUUGCUUUUUUGAGGAUCUGUACUUUUCAUAAAAGUAGAGUGGGCACACUUCAUCGGAAAAGAAAUAUUUUUUCUCAAGAGCACCAUGCAUUCUUCGAACAUUUGACUUCUUCUAUGAUGAUGUUGAUCAAAUAUGUUUAGAUUUGGUCAAAAUACCGUCGUAAUUGUCUGGGCAAUUUUCAUGCUGAUUGAAGGUGUCAAAGUUUCAUUGGUCGAAGAAGCUCAAGAUGGCGUGUUACUUCACAAUACAUGGUGCUCGGGGACUAGCUGUGGGGGUAUAAACCCCUAUACCCUUACGGCUAGACUUGGGCCAGGAGGCUUGGCCCAUUACGAGACAAGCUCAAGGCUUGAUCCGACAGCUUGGAGUUUCGCGCAAGGAAACAAGACGUGGAGAUCAAGCAGCAUUCUAGUCGGUUAGAAUAGGAAUUGAUAUCGAACUAUCUAUGGCAAUUGUAACUGGCUAGGAUUAGUUUCCAGAUCUGUAACCCUGCCCUACGGACUAUAUAAGGAGGGGCAAGGAACCCCCUAGGACACAUUAUUCUCACAACACAAAUCAAUACAAUCAGACGCAGGACGUAGGUAUUACGCCAACUCGGCGGCCGAACCUAGAUAAAAAGCUUGUCCGUGUCUUGCGCCACCAUCGGGUUCGUAGUUUGCGCACCGUCUACCGAUAAACUACUACAGUGGGUAUACCCCAAGGUAGACUGCCGACCAGCUUUCGUCGACACUGCUCCUCUCAGCAAAUGGAUUCAUUCCGUUAGUACUCAGUGCGAACCAAACAUUCCUUGGUUCAUUAGCAAAGUCCUUGUGGUUUUCAUUGAAAUCUUUCCACUGCUGGCCAUCGGCUGGGUGCCGAAGCUUCCCAUCGUCUUUGUGCUCAUCAGAAGCAUGCCAGCACAUAAGUUGGGCAUCCUCUGGGUUAGCAAACAAGCACCUCAAUCGAUCGAUCACAGGAAGGUACCACAUCACCAAAGCAGGAACCUUUUUCUGCGCAUAAUAGUCUACUUCUUCCUUUUCUUUGCCGGUGGGUUUUGAACUACUCUUCUGGGUCUUCUGUUGGGCCUUCUUUCGUUUUUUGCCCUUAGGCACAGAGGCAACACACACUUCCUCUAUGUAGUCUUUAUUUGUCUUGUACCUACUUGCACCACACUUGGGACAGCUGUCCAAGUCUCUAUAAUCAUCGCCUCGAUAUAGGAUACAAUGAUUUCUACAAGCGUGGAUCUUCUCAACACCCAUUGUGAGUGGGUUGAUUAGCUUCUUUGCAUAAUAUGUGUUAGCAGGCACUUUGUUAUCCUUAGGAAGCAUGUCUGCGAUAAUGCUUAAGAACGCAUCAAAGCCAGCAUCAGAAAGACCAUAUCUAGCUUUGCACACCAACAACUUUAGCACAGACCACAGCGUCGUGAACUCUUUGGUGCAACCCUUGGACUCAUCAUACAAAGGCUCUUCUGCUGCCUUCAUUAGGGCCUUCAUACCUUUCAUGAAGAACACUGAUGGAUCUUCCGCAUGAUGAUGCAACAUUGCCUCUAGAAAUUCUGCAUCUUCCGCAGCCAUGUUAGUUUCGGUGCCAUCUUCAUUUCCUCCAAUAAAAACAUGAUCAGGAACAUUUGGCACAACAUGUUCAGUGGCUAGACCAUCAGUAUUAGUUUGUUGUGUCUCGUGUAUGAACUCAAACCCGUCAACAAUUCCAGUUGUAUAAGGCGCAGAGCUACCCUCUCCAUGCUUUGUCCAAAUCAAGUAAUCUUUCAUAAAUCCUCGACGGACCAGAUGAGUAAGGAUUUGUUGAAUGUCAUCAGAUACAACAAGAUUUCUACAAUCCAUGCAUGGACAAUGUAUGUGCGUCUUUCUUGUUCUUGAAGCAUGGUUUUGAGCAACAUCAAUAAACCUCUGGACCUCAGUUAUGUAUGAUGGAUCAAGUCUUGAUAAAUUAUACAUCCAAAAUGACCUCUCCAUCACUACCUGUAAAACACCAUUCAUAUGAUCUAAGGGUUUACAAAGGAUUUAUCUAGGGUUUAUUAGCUAGGGUUUAUGGUUAAGCUUGAGAUUAAAGGAAAAAACCUAAGUUACAUAAAUAAAAAAUAAUCUAAGUAUAGCAUAAGUAUAUAAAUACAUCAUUCAUUAUAAAUAGAUAGAUGAUGUGGAAGGUGAUAAUAAAAAACCUAACUACCAAAUAAUUAAAAAAAUCCACAAUUAUCUCUCUACAUAAAUAUACAAAGAACACACCAUUGGUUUAAUCUUGUAAAAACUAGCUAAAUUGAGAAGCAAACAUGUUGAGAGGCAUUAUCCAACCAUAUUAAGCAACCCCAUCUAACCAUAUCAACAAAUAAAGACAAGAAGCUAGCUAUUCUUCUCUCUCACUCAUAAAACAAACAUACAUGUUGAUAAAUAAAUUGAAAAAUUUAUAAAGAGAGAGAGAGAGAGACAUAAAAUAGAAAACCUAAGUAUAGCAUAACUAUAUAAAUACAACAUUCAUUAUAAACAGACAGAUGAUGUGGAAGGUGACAAUAAAAAACCUAACUAUCAUAUAAUUAAAAAAAAUCAACAAUUAUCUCUCUACAUAAACAUACAAGAACACACCAUUGGUUUAAUCUUGUAAAAACUAGCUAAAUUGAGAAGCAAACAUGUUGAGAGACAUUAUCCAACCAUAUUAAACAACCCCAUCUAACCAUAUCAACAAAUCAAGACAAAAAGCUAGCAAUUCUUCUCUCUCACUCAUGGUGAAACCCUAUAUCCAAAAAGUGGCUCAAAUUGAGCUAGAAUGAGCAAAUUGAGGCAAUAGGGACAUAAACUAAACUCUUUUAGCAACCUCCUUCCUAGAAAUGAAGAUCAAAACCUCCCCCCUUGUAUUUUGAGAAAUCUGGAACUCCAAAAUCGCCCCUAAUGGAAGGUGGGUGCGAGAUACUGCGUUCUGGUCGAGGAGGAAGAAGGGGUAUUUAUACAGAGAUAACACAGUCGGUUGCUUAAGUCAACCACCUGUGAUAAACUGUUUCCACAGGCGGUUGACUUAAGCCAACCGCCAGUGUAAAUGCUCUAUUUACACUAGCGGUUGGCUUAAGUCUAUUUACACUGGCGGUUGGCUUAAGUCAACCGUCUGUGAUAAACUAUUUCCACAGGCGGCCGAAAAUCUCUGACACCGCCCGAUUUAUACCACAGGCGCGUCGUAACUGGAACCGCCUGUGGUAUAAAAAGGGGGCGCCAGCUAUGAGCCUCUUUCUACUAGUGAAUACAUGAUGCAACAACUAGGCUUGGAAGAUUGCUUUGCACUGGAUGCUUAAUAGUAGUUGGAUACUGUUAGGAUUAAGUCAUUGCUUUUAGUUGCUCUACCUGGACUGAAGCCAGGUAUUCAGUUUUUUUAAACAUGCUGCAUACAAGUUUCUAGUAUAUUGAGCAUCCUCGACUGUACUAUGAAAAUGCCUAUUCGUACCUACUAGCUAACCAUAUAUUUUUCUGCCUUUUUUUCUUAGUUCAUUGGUGAAGAAUAUUUCAAAUAGCAAUACAACAUAAUUGUUCAUUAGAACCUUCGUAACUUCUAUUGUGCUUGCAUGCAGCGUAUUGCAAAGGUAGUUUCCCUCUGCCUGCUAUGGCCUUAUACAAAUGCCAUGAUUAUUUGGUUUCAAAAACAACGCCAUUUUAUGGUUUCUAUUUUUUGUCUAUGCUUUUAGCAUCCCCUAGGUCCAGUUCCUUUUUUAAAAUCUUCAUGCAGUAUUUCUAAAUUUUUAAUCCUAAUUCUGUUUGAGGAAAUGCUGAUAUGUAAGUAGUCUGUCACUGCAAAAAAAUAUGAUGAUAAAUACUUGGAUGAGUUCCAAUCUAACAUAACAAGUUGCAUUAUUAUAUAUUAAUACCACUUAGCAUUACAUAAAUAAAGAUAUGAUGAUAAAUAUACUCAUCACAUAUGCAACUUCUAAAUAAGUGGUCCACUGUACUGUCUAUAUAUGAUAUACAAUGCUAAAUUUACAGGUUAGCUUACAACAUUCAACAAUCAGAUUGUGCUGGAGUUCUAUUUUGUCACCUGUGCAUUAGUGGCUGCACAAUCUACUAACGGUAAGCUCAUGACCACUAUAGAGUUGGGAACUGUGAAUCUGAGAGAUCUAUCUGUUUUACCUAAUAGUGGUUGUUUCAGAUAUAUGAAUUUAUUAGCAACCUUUGUUUCUUUGAUAUUUAUUUACAUGGCAGCUUGUAGGUUAUUGCUCUUUGUGAUUUAUGUUAUUAGCUGUUACCUCUGUAGUGCCUGAGUAUUUCUUUUUGUUUUAACAGUGCUUCUGUUAUAUGGUUAAUUAACAAGUAGCUAUGACAAUCUUCCUAUUUAGCAUGGCUUGAGCAUAUAUUUUUGUUGUGUUAGUCCUUUUGUGUGCUUAGGCUGGGAAAUUGAUUAUAGUUUUUGCAGGUAGAAUGCCUUCGUGGCCAUCAAUCAGAGUGUCCAGCUAUUUGCCAUGACCGGGAAUUGGAGAAGCAACUUGAGCUAGUACUUAUUCUAAAACCAUGUCAUGUGAAAGUCUAUGUUAGCCAUUUAGCAAUAUUCAUAGAUAUAUACAUGUUACUUUGCAAUAAUAAGUAUUGUGCAUCAAGAAAAAACCAUAGAGGAGUUACCUCAUGUACUGUUAGAAAUCUGCAGGCCACUGCCCAUGUACUGUUAGAGAUCUUUUAGGUCACACUGCUAAUUGUGCAAGAUACUUUAUACCAUACUUGUAAAUGAUUUGAUUGUUGGAUUGGAUGAAACAUGUGUAUUAUGAGAUAGAUCUGCAGGUGCUACUGCUGCAGCUGUGUAAAGAAUACGUAUAGAUCUGCAGGUGCUACUGCUGCAGCCUUGUAAAGAAUAGGUACUGAACAAACAGGAUAGCUAUAGGGAUUUUUCUUUUUUUUUGUUUUUUUUCAAUUAUCAUUAGUGACGCGUUUUGAUAAAAUGCGUUACUGAUGAGAUCUGCACCAAUGACGCGUCUUGGCUGAACGAGUCACUGUAAAUAGUUAUCAGUGACGCGUCUUGGCUGUAUGCGUCACUGUUAAGGAGUCAUUGGUGACGUGUAUAGACUGAACGGGUCACUCAUAAAGGCUCAUCAGUGACGCGUAUAGACUGAACGGGUCACUCAUAAAGGUUCAUCAGUGACGCGUUUUGGCUGGACGCGUCACUCUAAUGGCUCAUGGUCUCAGAUAUUAUGACAAAUAACCAAUGUCAUACCUUAUGACAAAGAAUAUACAGAUGUCACAUGAUCCAUUUAUGACAGUGAUUUUUUGACAUAUAGUUUUUUGUCAACUAAUUGUCACAACUCUUAUGUUGUGACAUUAUUUUCAUAUGUAAUGACAUAAAUAGAAAGUCAAAAAAUCACAGGAUUCUUAUAGUGUGAGGUUUGUUCUUAUUAUUAUUGGACACACUCCUUGCACUAGCCUUCAUAAUGAAAUCCUAGAGAUAUAGAAGGAAUCAUCCCCCAAACUAAAAGAGGAAGUUUUCAUAGCCACUUGCAAACAUUCCAAUCCCAUGAUUCGGCUAUCUAUCCCAAACUUGCAGUACUCCAAAAUCCUCUAAGGAAAAUUCUACCUUUAGAAAUUCUUUCUAAUAAUUUUAGGAGGAGUUUAAACUUGCUGCUUCAUAAUAGGUCUUUUAGUGCAUAUAGUUUGAAUCUUCAAAAGAGAUUUCUUAGAAAGCUUUUCAAAUCCAAUCUCUUUGAAGGACAAUUAGAAAGACUCAAGGAUGGUAUAUCAAGUGAUGCCAUAGAAGGAGAGCAAAGCCAUCUAGAAACCACUCUUAUCCUCUCCCCUUAUAUGGCUGCAUUAGAUAUAGAAUAUGAACCCAUCUCUAAACCCAUCCUUGACUGCAGUGACUUGUUCUAUGCUCUUUCUCCUAAACCUCCUGAUGAUUCUAGACAUCUAUUUAGAUAUCCCAUGCAUAGGAAUCAUCAAGUCCAUAUAGAAGAUCAAGAAGAACAACAUCCAUAGCUAGAGAGCAUUAAAAACCUCUGUGCUAUUGCCAUUGAAUGGAUGAACAAGGCCUUAGAUAAGAUCAAUUCAAGAGAUGAUCCAAGGGAAUUUUUGGGAAUAUAUGUCAAGUCACCCUUGGAUGUAGAAAAUGAUGGAGACUUCAAUAAGUAAGGAAACUACUACAUUAACACCCCAUCCGUCCCUUGCUUAGAUGAAAAAUCUCCUAAUUCACAUAGUCUCUCUAACAUUGCCCCAAUGAUAUCUUCAACCCCCUCAUGCUCCCUGCUCCUAAUGUUUUUGAAAGGGUGGUUGUAGACAUAUGUUUAUCAUAAAUAUUGUAGAUCUCAUGUGGUGAAUCUUGAGAGUAGUGCAUUUAGAUUGGUGUUGGAAGGGAGACCACUUCACCGAACCACAUCUUGAAGGAUUCCCAAGGACAAGCUUAGUGUCCUAAAACAAGUGUUGAUAUUUGGUAACGCCAGCAGGAAACGAUUCGCAAGCGCACGGAUAUCGGUGAGCACUUCACCCGGGAGGUUAUCUAGAGUAUCAUAUUUAUAUUUUUACCACUAGGAGAAAGCGUGCAUCUGACUAACCAAAUCUAUUACUACUACCCUUUAGGCUACAAAUAAUGUUUCUCGAUGUGAGCAAUGUAUAGAGAAGACUGCAACCGUAGUCUCGUUCUAACUUUGGUAAGGAUGAUCUACUGUUCUAUUGGGGAGGCUCAUGGAAUCUAGACACCACAGAGGAUGUUCAACCCACACCUAUAAACCCUACCCAUCCUGCUAACGAGAUGUGGGCUGCAAAGGUAACUCGGAAAUGUCACGUUUCUCGCUACCACCGCGGUCCAGCUAGUCAGGGGAUAUCUAUGAGUACCCUAGCCCAAACACCACGUUUACGCUAGCAAUGAUUACUCUAAACUCAACCGGAAGAGAUCAAAGUAAACUCAUAAACCAAAGAACAAUAAAACAAGAACUUACUAGAAUUUAGAAGUCAAAUUACUGAAGAAUCCUAGGAGCAAGCCUCGGGUUAGGAGACUUGAUCCCACAGGUACAACCUCGGAGUAGACACCGACAGGCUGGGCUUCCUCCGAUCUACACCUCCACUCUAUCUCUCUCAAUCUAGUAGAUCUAGUCUACUCUCACAUUGGAUGCUAAGCCCUAAGUCUAUUUAGAGGAAAGGUUAUUCUUCGAGGGCACCUCUCAACUCUAUGAUGAACUUGUUCUCCUCCAUGGGCCAGGGGGUCUGCUUAUAUAGUCCCCUCAAGUGAAUCUGGGCCGUCAGAUCAAACUGACAUUGAUUGAACGAUUAUCCUUGAUCCUUUAGGUCGGUGGAGCGUAAUCCGCGAGACGGGACCUGAUUGGUCUCUACCUCAGGGCGGGCGCCCAAGGGGGAGGCCGAGCACCCUGCCCCCGGGCCCGUUCGGCCUCCCGUUCAUUCCCGUGGCUUUUGGACUCUUCUAGAUGAUAGAAAAUUGUGCGGCACGUUAAUAUCUCUAUGUAAACCUGACGUGUGGGCCUUUCUUCCAUAUUUCCUGAUAACCCCUGCAGAAAUAGACAAACACCAAAACUUAUGGAAUUCUAUCAGAUAAAACCCUAAGACUGGGUGUUGGUUGCAUUUGGAUCCUUUUCUUUAUUUAUUUGAUGAUUAUAUUUGGUACUUAAGGACCGUCAACAACUCCCCCAAGCUUACCUCUUGCUCGUCCCUAAGCAAGGAUGGACUUAAGAGUUUCUGCAGUGGUUUCAUGCCUUAAAAGUACACAUGCAUUCAAGUAAGAUCUCAUCUUUGAGUUAGAGUAAACUGUUAAGACUUAAAACUUACUCAUUUUACCUUUCACCAUGGAGCUUGUAACCAUCACUUGUGUCUUGAAUAGUUAAAAGAUAGAACAUUCUAGUCAAGUGUAACACCCCAGUGUUAUGGUUGCAUUAAUCAUGUGCAUAGCAUGAGCAUCAUCAUCUACUCAAAGCAUAUCAUGAUCAUCAUAUAUCUUGAGCCAUGUCAUUCUAUGCAAAAAGGUAAUCUAAAUUGCUUAAAUAGGCUUUCUAUGCAUAUGUUUGAGUAAACCAUGCUUGUGUUUGUGCUCUAUGCCUUGGUAAUUAGUUUAUCUAUGCUUAACUUAACCUUGGGAACAAUGUUCAUGUGGAUCACUUCUCCAAAAUAAUCACUUAAGACAUACUUAUGCAAAUAGGCCCUAGAAACCUCUUUUGCUUAGGCUUUUAAAAAGUGUUUCAUAAAAUGUUUGCAUGUCAAAACAUUCUACAGCAAAGUUGUAGAAAAUUUUAUAAGGAACAAAAGUUGUUUUAUGGCCAUCUCAUGAAAAUGAUCACAUCUAGCUCAAAAUUGACCCACAAGGCAGAUUUGGGGCUGUUUCCAACACUUAGGAAAUUUUCUGUCUUGGAGCGAAAACAGUUUGCUUGAUCUGUUUUGAAAACUCUAUAUCUCUCAAUCCAGGCCGAUCUGGCUUUUGCUCUAGUUGACAUUGUUGUAGAACUUAGUUGGAACUCCAACUUUGUCAACUACACCAUCUCCUAACUCGCUCUGGUUUGGAAGUUAAUCAUCGACGAAGUUGCUCUGUCAGUCGGUGAUCGCGAGGUCUGAUUCAGAGCUGAGCUCGCCGUCGUGGUCGCCCAGAGCGCCACCUGUCCGCCAGAUGGCGCCCGUACGCCGGCGAUGGCCCUGCUCGUCAGGUCGACGGCGUUGUCAUGGACGCCACGGCGCCCCGCACUCACUCAGCGCCCGUCCAUUCUCCUCCUUCCUCUCUCUCGCGCUCGCUCUGGCGGAAACGGCGUCGCCAUUGCCGCCGAGAGCUUCGCAAGCUCUUCGCGCCCUCGCCUCUGCGUCUCGCUUCGCCUCCGAGUGCCUCCAAGUCCGCCUCGAGCUCCUCCAUCUUCUCCACCCCUCAGUUGGACGAGAUCUCCCCGAGGUGAGCGGCAUUUCGCAAGUUCUCCGUCGUCGGGUUCGCGGCCGUCGCGACACCGAUUCCGGCGAACCUCGCCGCUGCUCCACCCUUGCUUCCUUUCUUCACUUUGGGUAGCGUUAGGUUCUGCUUUGGUCUUGGCGUCGGUCCACACCACGCCAUUCCGGCUAAAACCUCACCGUCGCGUGGGAACACGGUUGGCGCACCGCCGACGAGCACCUCGCACGUGAGCAGGCUCACCGGAGCCGUUAGGGUUAGGCGUUCCUACCUCGAAAGCUCCGUGCUGACUCACUGAUGCUGUAGCCACCCUUCCUCGACGCUCUACCGGUCGGAGAUGGCCGGCGUAAGCCGGGGUAGCUCCGCCGUGCCGCCAUGGCCGACGGCGACCCCUCUCCGUAGACGAAACCCUAGCACCACCUACCUCCAUCGAUGCGGAAUCCCUCCAGGAGCACGUUGGUGCCCUUGGAUCCACCAAAGAAGCUCACCGUCGGCGAGCAUUUGCCGGCGAAGGAGUCCUCUGUUCUCGGUGUCACUGACGCGCGGGUCCUGUCUGCCAGUGACUCAACGGUCACCCCCUUCCUUUUAUUCAAAUCUGGAUUUUUGGCUUUCUUGCAAAAAUCAUAUCUCUAGUUCUGGUGAUCCAAAAAUUGUGAAACCAAUUUUGUGAUGUUCCUUGAGAUGGCUAGUUUUUAAUAAAAAUAUAAAAUGAACCAUGUUUUCUGGGAAAAUAUUUAUUAGGAUUUAAUCUUGUUAUUCAUGAAUAAAUUCAUAUCUCUGGUUAUACUGUUUAGUUUGCCAUGAAAAUUUUAUGGAAGUCUCUGUGUGGUACUAGAGUGCUUUGAUAAAUAUUUUAUGAUUUUUGGAGUACUGCAGCUUUGUUAUGUAAUUUAUGAUUGAAAUUUGGCUUGUUUCCUUGAUUAAAUCAUACAAAAUAAUUGGUGCUUAUGCUGGUGUUCUACUUUGGUGGUAAACUUGUUUAUGACAUUCAUAAUGUGUAAAUAAUUUGAAAUCUGUUGUUUGACAUCAUAUAAGUCAUGUUUCUGAAUUUAUGAAAUAAACACCUUGUCAUAUGUUAAAUGCAUAUCUUUAAUUUGGUAUGUGCAAUUGCCCUGAAAUUUUCAUGGUGAUGCUUUGAUGCUAUACUUGUGCUUCUGUAAUUUUUGUAGAUUUUUCUGAGCACUUUGACUAGUAUCUUGUAAUUAUGCUCCUUUCUAGAUUUAAUUAAUAAAUGCCUUGUUAAGUAAAUGUUUGAGGGUUAUCAUCUGAUGUUCUGGUUGUCUUAUGUUAUGCUUGUGCUCAUAAGCCAUGUGGCUGGCAUGGUUUAUGUUUUGGUUAUGUCAUCAAAUAAUUAAUUGGUGGGUUAAAAGCUGUUCAGGACAGCAAGGGAGUAAUUUAACUUUUGCUUAAUGAUAACUUGGUUUUCUCGGAAACUUGUCUAAAUCAAAGUUGUUGUAAACUUAUUGAACUAGCUGUGGAUUAAAUUUGGGAUCAUUUGGUUCAGUAGUUUUGAAGUUAUGAUCUUUCCAAGUUAGGUUCCAGAAAUAGGUGUUCUCUGUUUUUCUGGGACAGAACCUGGAACUUUGUUUAAAUGACUUGUUUAAUUUAUGAACCUUGCUGUGAUGUCUAAAGAUGAUUUGUAGACAAUUUCAUAAGAUUUCCAGAAUGUCCUCACUUAAAUUUUUUGGAUCUUUGUGGUAAUAGUUAUGCUCUGUUUACUGAGCUAAUCCUGCUGUUUGAUGCUUGCUGUUAUAGGCUAUCAUGAUAGGUUUUGGGCUAAGUUAACUUGUUAACUUGUGUGAACUUGUUAUAACUAUUGCUCCGUAAAUGAGUGUCCAGUGGGUCACCUAUGUUAUCAAGCAUUCAUUCUUUUGUAUGCACACCUUCUCAUUCACCGAGCAUGCAAUAGGUGCAUCGGACGUGGCAGCCUCAUUCGAUCUGCAAGUGAACCCCGAAGGCCAGGAGGGCAACUAGGAGGUGGAGGUCCAGCAAGUCGGACUCGAGGAGCCCGAAGAAGAAGUUGAGUGCCCGAGUCACGAGCCAGCCUCGUUCGUGAAAGGCAAGCCCCGGAGCAUUCUAAGUCUCCCUUUAUUUUCAAAAGUUUAUUUAAUAUGUUAUGUCUAUUGAUGCAUUAAGUAUAGGAGUUGUGAUGACACCCUUGUUGCAUUUUACUCCAUCCUUGUCCAGAUAACUCACCACACGUUGGUUAUAAAGUUAGGAUCGAGUAGCAGCUUAGCCAUGCUUUAAGCGGUAGAAGUCGGAUGAUUUCCUGUCACCUGCGCGAUAUAGGGUUGUGUCGGAUCACGAUGGUCUAUAUGUGCUAUCGUGGAUGGAACCUGAUUAAUUUGACUUAAGCCGGGCGGAGUUUUGCAAGGUUGUAGUAACUCCGUCUGUGGCAACUAAGGACCGACCGUUGUACGUCCUCUUGUCAUGUUGAACGCAUGCCUAACACUUAGUUGGCCGGAUAACUCGUUCCGACCGCGAAGCCGAGUAGUAUGACUCAGGCCGGAAGACCGGCAAGUAUAAAGUGCGCACUACCGGAGGAAGUGCGGUGUGCGGGGGACCAUUGGCGUAAGCCCAAAGGUAGGUGAGUUAAAAUUCCUGACCUCCCUGGUAGAGUGGUAGCCCUGGGAGUGCGGCGCUGAUCGGAGCCGCGAUUCCUGAGUCGUACCAAAGGUGACCCGUUGGCUCUCCGACGGGGGAUGCUUGGGUGAGUGCUAGGAAUACACCUCCAGCUGGAUAGGAAUUCGAUUCGAAUCGCCGUCUCUCCCGGUUAGUGAGAACUUGACAGAGCAGCGGCAAACAUAGCAUUCACUAAUGAACUUGGUUCAUGAUAAUGAUGAUAGCAAAGAAGAACAUAUGAUGAAUUUGAUAUGGUUAUUAUUGUUUGUAAUAUUCAAGUGAUGUGUUGUAGUACAGGUGCUAAUCUAGUGGUAGGCUGAUGAUGAAUAAAUAUGAUGCUCUCAAAAUAAUUUAGUUCUAAUGUAUGCUUUUGGCAAACGAUGAGUCAACCAGCUCCACUUGAUAUUAGCCUUGCAUGAUCCUUGGUGUCUUUUAUGUUUUACUAGACGGGUAAGUCUAGCUGAGUACAUUCUCGUACUCAGGGUUUAUUCCCACCUGUUGCAGAUGACAUCUUUUAUGACGGCUUCUGCAAGACCUGUCUCCAUCCCGCUGGGGAUGAGGACUAACCGUUGGGCACGGUUCUCUAACAACCUCGUACCUGUUGCUUUUGGAAGGAUGAUGUAGACUCUGGCAGUAACUCGAACUUAUGAACUGAACUUUGGAAAGUGUGUGUGUAACUAUUUUGCUUCCGCUACUUCGAACAAGUGUUGUAAUAACUUAAUACUCCGAUGUGGUGCCGCUUUGUUGGCAAUGAAUGACUAUGUAACAUUCGCAGUUUUGUGAUGAAUUAUUACGAUCUUGGUUUGUUGCAAGUUGGUUUGAAGUCCUUCGUGAUUUCAAUUGACUACCGGGAUUAUAUGGGCUCAAGUUUGGAAACUUGAUUGCUUGUCGAUCGUUUCUACACUUGAACUCUUAUAAUUUGGUCGGUUCUGUGACAGCUGGCAUCGGAGCAAGUUCAGCAUUAUAAAUGCAGCAUUUGUGUAUUUAAAAACAAAAGAGUUUUUAAAUAAAAUGGUGCAAAUCAAUAUUUAAGUUAUGCUAGUGGUCGAAUCCUCCUUGCCCACAUAAGGACUAUAGGUGGCUAUUUAAGUACUGACUUGGGGGGUUUUAUUUAUGCAACUCCGGCAGUACUCAGGUAUAGAUGUGUGAUGACCGCACUAUGCUACCCUGUGGUCUAAUGGUGGAGGUAGCCUUCAUAUGUGAAUUAGCCACAUAUGUCGCUAGAUUUAAAUUAUGCAACGUCGCACCUACGCUCUGGUAAGUGUGAGCUGUGAGAGCAUGAUCGUCCAAACGGCGGUCUAGGGGAGUGUUCGCGGUGGUUUUCCGGAGUGGUUACAUGUCAAAACCAUGGAACCGCGAAAGAAACUUAAUUGGGGAGCAUUUAAUUUCUCGGGUAGCUAUGGUGUCAUUGUUUGUGCAUGUUGGGCAUGUCCAAGCAAUGUGCACUUAGUUUACUGCUUUCUUGAGUGAUAUAUUGGGAACUGUUGGGCUGAAAUAAAGUUUUCUGCAGGUACUCUAAUAGCGUACGUGUAAAUCGAUAGUUAUCGUAUCGAGAGACGAAUGUAUGCCACCGUAUAUCCGUUAGAAUAUUAAUUUUCUAAGUUUGUGAGGACGUACGGUUUGUGCAUGCAUCAUGUCGCAUUCAUACAUACAUUCUGUCUACUCCUUCCCUUACAAUUUCGUCCCUUUUAAUUAAAUAAAUGUUGCUUAAACUAAUCCUCUUUUACCCAUGGUAUUCCUAUUCCUUUCCACAGAUGGACGCACCCGCUUCACCCCGUCCCAGUGACACUUUCUUGAGCGAGUUUGGCACUCCUACCCUGCUCUGGAGAGUGUUACAGACUGUCGGGUAUACUGAGCCACCUCAGUAUUCUUGGUGGGAGUUGGAGAGCACAGGAGGGAUACAGUGGUUUGCUGUGCAGGGAGUUGUCCCUCCACAUGGGGACAAGCCUGCAUGGACAGGCUGGACUUAUAGCUCAGAUGGGCAGACUCCUUGGGAGGCAGCUCAGGUUGCAGCCUAGACUAUCCUGCUCGAUAUCUGUCAGAGGUGUGGUGAUGAGCUGACGGGAGGACCAGCGGCCUCCAUUCCCCAUGCUGAUCCAGCAGCAGCGGAGUGGAAACAGGCUGAUGGUUGUGCCUUGGUUUGAGGCAGGGGAGAGAGAGCUGAGAGUUCUAGUCCUGCUAUGAGUGCUAUGAUGGCUGUGCUCAAGCUGAUCAGUCAGCGAGAGGACACCUAUGCACAGGUGAUGGUGGCUGUUUGCCAGGCUCAGGAGAUGCAACGAAAGGCUGAAAAGCGUGCUCGCAAGUUUCGCAAGCAAGCUAGACUCCUAGAGCAAGCUCAGAAGGACCGCAAUGACUGGGAAGACAUUGCGGAGUACCGUAGGCAGCAGUGGGUGAAGGCCAUUAGAGAGAGAGAUCAUAAGCAGGAUCAGAUGAGUCAGUUAGCUAGAGAGAGGGAGACCUUACUGGAGCGCUUGGUGCAGAUCACUCGUGAGAGGGACACUGCACUCCGCGUAUCGGAGAACAGGCGCCGAGCAUGGGAGAUGCACCGAGUUCAGUCGCUUGAGCGGGAGAACUAUCUGCAGGAUCAGAUUGAGGCUGGUCUUGUGGAGAUUCACUGUCUCAACAACUUGCUACACCCUAUUCCUCGCCGUAUACCCGUGUAUCCAGAGGUGGGACCUCAGGUGAUUGUGGCCGAUGAUGAUGGUAUGGAGGUCGAUGGACCAGCAGCGGCUGCACCACCUUUGCACGAGGACGUGGAGGAUGAGGAGCUUGAGCCGGUUAGCGACGAGGAUGGAGAGGCGAUCUUCGACGCUGACUCGGACGACGAGCCUGGAGUGUAGGGAGUAGUGGGUAGUGUUAUGUGAGGAUCUUUUGGAGUAUGCCAGUCAGCCGUGGUGCUGUUGUACCCAUGUUGUAAUCUGGAACUUUGACCAUGACUCAUGGCAUGUACUGGGAUGGUGUAAUAACUUUGUGGACCCAAUGUGUAAUCUUGACACGUUCGUUAUGUAUGACGAUGUUUUCUAUUGUGGUGCAUAUUGCGGAUAUCUCUGUCAUGUGUUGGAUUGGUGAUGUUGUUUUGUGGAAUUGAAUUAUUGUGCCUUUUCUGUAAAGCUAUUCUCUCAAAUACUUUCAGGCAUAAAUAUAAGUUCUUCUGCGACAAAUCUUGUCAUCAUCAAUGCUCACUGACUGUGUCUUUACAGAUGUCUCGUGGCACCCGAGGUGCAGAACAGCGUGCAAACAUGAAUCCACCCCCUCCUCCUCCACCACCAAAUCCUGCUGAGUUAAUGCAACUGAUGGUGGAAAAUCAGAGGAUGCUCUCUGAGACCAUCAAUCGGAUGGCGAAUCAAGGUGGUCGUAAUGCACACGAAGGGCCAGCUCCUAACCAGUAUAGUAGCUUCAAGGACUUCAUGGAUACAAAGCCCCCACCUUUCAGAGAAGCUGAAGAACCCCUUCAAGCUGAAGAAUGGCUGAACACGGUGGAACAAAAGUUCUGCUUGCUUCGGUUGACUGAAGGUUUGAAUGCAGAGUAUGCAGCUGAUCAACUGCAAGGACCGGCAGACAUCUGGUGGAAUCAGUAUCGGUAAGCUCUUCCAGCCGACACUGUGCUUGACUGGAAUCUUUUCCGUGAUGCUUUUAAAGGGCAUUUCAUUCCUCCUGGUGCCAUGGAGAUGAAGCAUACUGAGUUCAUGCAGUUAACCCAGGUUAACAAAACUUUGAAGGAGUAUUUGCAUGCUUUCAAUCAUUUGUCUAGGUAUGCUCCUGAGUUUGUGAACACUGAGGCGAAAAAGAUUGCUAGUUUCAAGCGGGGUUUGGGCCCCAAGUUGCUGAAGACUAUGGGCCGCACUAAGUGUGCAACUUUCAAUGAGUUUGUCAGUGAUGCUCUCACUCAAGAGAACUAUAACACUAUGUACACUGCGACCAAGACUCGCAAGAGGGCUUUUGAGGCCGGGGCAGGGUCAUCUCAGUCCAAGGCUCCAGUGGCAACUAAGCCACCGUUCCGUGCUCCAACACCUAACCAGCGGUACCGCCCUCCGGUGAAGAAGAAUCCGGCGAAGAUGGGUUUCCGCAAGGGGUACUCUAUUGCUCUUCCUAGGGGCAACACGGGUCCCAACUAUGCCAAGACUCCACCUGCCAACCGUCCGUGCUGGAACUGCAAUCAGACCGGGCAUUGGCAGAGCAACUGUCCUUACCCGCCAAAGAAGGGCAACCAAGGGAACGUACGUCAGGGGCGUGUUCACUACACAACCGUGGAGCCAAUCCCUGCUGGUGAGGUAGUCACGGCAGGUAAGUUUCUAGUCAAUCAAUGUGACGCACUUGUGCUUUUUGAUUCAGGAGCAUCGCAUUCUUUUGUGAGUUCUGAAUUUGUGUCUAAGCAUAAUAUCAAGGCAAUUACACUUGAUAAGGGCAGUUAUUGUAUUAGUGCUGCGGGAAAUGAUAUUUCCACCAAUCAAGUGGUUUUGGGGGCAACUCUGGAAAUAGGAGGCCGUCAGUUUCUUGUUGAUUUGGUUGUUCUACCCGGUGUGGGCAUAGAUGUAAUUCUGGGGAUGAAGUGGAUGAGUGGCAACGAAGUUCUUAUCGACACCACCACUCGUGUAGUGAUGUUGAAAGACCCAAAUACCAAGGAGGCAUUUCUAGUGCAACUCCCUCAUGAUAUUCAAAUCCGUAGCACUGUGAAUGCAGUUACACCUAAGGCUAUUUAGGACAUUCCGGUGGUGUGUGAGUUCCCGGAUGUAUUUCCUGAUUAUUUACCCGGGCUUCCUCCGGAUCGGGAUGUGGAGUUCAAAAUUGAGUUGAUUCCAGGUACCGCUCCUGUAACACCCUAGGUGUUAAGCAUGCAUUUAGCCCUAUCACAACAUGCAUAAGCAUUCUCAUCAAGCAUAGCAUCAUGAGCAUGUCAUUCAUCCCCAAAGCAUGAUUUUAUGAGCUUUAUUUCAUGUGUUUUAAUUAUGUUAAAAAUAUGAUGCUUGCUUCUAAAAAUGUGAAAUAUUCAAACUAGGUUGAUUUAUGUGUAAGAAGAGUUAAGAAUAUUUUUGUGUAAUUUUUGGAGCUAUAGAAUUUGAGAAAUGGAAUUUAUACAAAAAUUCCCAAAUUGAAUUUAUUUAAAAACCUAGAACUAGUUUUAAUUUGUAAUUCAAAUUCUAUUUGGAAUUUGGUCUUGCUUAUUAAAACAAAGUUGUAGGGUUUUUGUUGUGGAACAAUUUUGCUUUUGGGAGCAAGAGGUGAAAAUGAUUUUAAAUUGGUCCAAAUGAAUUUAGAAGAGAUUUGGAGAAAAGAAAUUCAAAAAAAAAAAUAGAAAAGGGGCAGGCGCUGCCGGGCCAACCCCGCCUCCCUUUCGGCCCAGCGAGCGGCCCGGCCUGCCUCCCCCUCCCCCUCUCUCCCGCGCACGGACGCCCGCCUCGCCCCAGCCAGCGUCGGCCACGUGGCGGCCGUACGCCGGCGAGGAGCGCGCCGCGGCCGGACUCCAACCCCCCCUGGUCGGGACGCCGGCUCGGGCUCCCAGGCCAUUCCCUCCCUUCUGUCGCCCGCGCCCUUCUCCUUCCUCCCUCCGCUCGCGAGCGCGACCGAGCCGUAGAGCUCCGCCGCAGCGCCAUCGCCGGAGCAGCUCCGCUGCUCACCGCCGGCCACUCCAGUGACCAAACCUCGACACCGAAGCCACCAGCGCCUUCGCCAUCGUUAGGGUAAGCUUGUGCGAGCUUUCUACCGAGGUGAGAGUCCGUCGAGCGCCGUGAAUCGCUCGCCGGAGUUACCCCGAGCUCGCCGGAGUACUCCGCCGCGGCGGAUCUUGCGUUUCUCUACCUCUUUUCGCUGGUUUUUGGUUGCGCUAGGUCGGUAGGGUGGUGAGGAAGCUCGGAGAGCCGUUUGCGCGCGCUGUACCGCACUGGAGCGGCCUGGCCACGGCGAGCAGCGCCGCCGUGCAGCCAUGCAUGCUCGUCGGAGGUGUUCCGGUCAUCCUCCGGCCAAUCCGAGGGUACCGCUGGGUGCGCCUCGCUGCGGGGAGCACGAUGGUGCUCACCACGUGGCCGGAGACCUCACCGCCGGCGAGAUCUGCUCGUCGGAGGUGAGCUCCCUCUCGGUCUCGCUGACCGGUGGGGUUAGAGGCCCACUGUCAGUCGCAGGGGGACCCCGGUGGGUGUAGAUCUGGGUGUGUCUAGCCUUUUUCGUCGGUUUUCUUGAAUAAAUGUUUUCCAGAAAUUGAUUCAAAGCUUGUAAAAUUCAUAUCUUGAGUUCUACAGCUCCAAAUUUGAUGAAAUAAAUUUUGUUGUGCUCUAUAUUUUCAGAUCUACAGCCUGAUGUAAUUGCAUGUCAUGUUUGAGUAACUUUUCUGUAUGAAUAUAUUUAAUCCAUGUUUUUGCUAAACUUGGAAAAUGCACAAUAAUUCAAAUAUGACUCAAAAAAAUAUGAAACUUGUUUUAUGGGCUUUGCAUGUAUGUUAACUCACUGGGAAAAUAUUGCUACACAUUAUUUGGUGUAUAAAUGAAUUUAUGGUAAUUUAAAUGCUUACAUGACAGUGGUUUAUGAUUUUUAGUAAUUAUUUGGAUCAUGCAAUUAAUCUGGAAAUUUUUGUGGUUGUUUCUUAUAUUAUUAGACAAAUUGUAAAAAUAUGAAAUCUGCUGUUUGACACUUAUGUCACAGUGGAGUAAUUAUACUUACCUUAUUAAUUAAUCUUGUGAUUUUUGUAGCUCAAAAUAAGUAUCCAAAAAUUAUGAAAAAUUUACAGUAGACUCUAUGCUUGGCUGGUAGUCUCCUGUAAUUUUUGAGGAAUUUAUUAAUGAACAGAACUACAUGUAAAUUGUAAUGGGCCUAGAAAUGAAUAAAGAAAAUUAUGAAUUGUUGUAUAUAUAGGUUGAAUAGAAUAAGUUUGGGUUUGGUGUAUCUUUGAAGCAACUUGUGGGUUACUGGUCACAUUUGAAAAAUAAUUGUAGAAGAGAAUGCAAUAGAUGUUUGAUUCAAUUGUUUGUCCUUGGAUGAUGUUGACUACCUUGUAAUGAGCAUGACCAAGUGUAUCACCUAUGCAUCAUGUCAUGAUCCUUUGGUACCUUCUCAUACGAGCAUCCACUUGGGCAUCUCGCACCUCACUCAUGAGCACACAUGCAUCAUACAGGCUCGCAGAAGAACGAGGUGGGACCCGAGGAGCCAGAGGAGAUUCAGGAGCAGGAACCUCCGGAAGCACAGGAGUCCGGAGAGGAACUUCAGGAGUGUCCGGAUCACCGACCAAGCACGUUUGAGAAAGGAAAGCCCCAAAGCAUUCUAAGUCUCCCUAUUCUCGCUAACCUACAGGGCAUACUAUACUGGUUCUACUAUAUUGCAUCUAAGUGAUAGGAAUUGCUUGAUACCGUUGAUGCAUAUGUACUCCUUGUUAUCCCUACUCGUUUACCUGCCUUGUCCCAUGUAGAUAGGCACGGAGUCUAUGCUUAGCUUGCUUAGUCCAGUAGAAGUCGGGUGAUUCCCUGUCACCUGCGAGAUAUAGGUGGAUACCUGCUUGAUUAAGCAGUGGUUGCUUGGGGAAAGAAUAACCAAGUGUGGAAUGUAAUUGGAGACCGGGCAGGGUCUUAUGGUGGGUUGACCAUAGUGCCCCUGCCUGUGUCGAUUAAGGACCGAUCGUUGACAGCCCUCUUGUCAUGUUGAUUGCAUGCCCCACACUUAGCUGGAAGGAUAAGUCGUUCCGACCGCGAAGCCUGAACACUAUCCGGGCCGGGAAUCGAGCCGCCAUGCGCUGUAUUGGUGAUGGUUGAGGAGAACGACGAGGGCGCGGCGCGCAACCUUGGUAUACCUUGGAUACCUCGGUCACCGGAACGGUCCUCGGGUACUGGCGGUGCCUGCCGAACCCGCGAAUUGGUCCUGGAUAGUGUAAUACAGUGAUCUAUAGCUCACUUGAUCAGUGAGUGUGGUUUGUGUGGGGAAUAAACUCGCCAGCUGGUUAGAAAUCGAUUCGAAACGCCAUCGCUCCUGGAUAGUGAGCACUUGACAUGAGCUUCGUCCUCGUAGUAAGGACUAUGGAACACUGGGGUUAUAAUGAAAGGGUUUAUGAAUGCUAUGAUGAAGUACUAUCCUAUCCCUAUACUUGCUUGUAAUAGUGCAGGUGCAAACCUAGAUAAUAGGUAAUGAUACUUUCAACUUGAGCAAAUUAAAAGAAGAAAGAUUUAUGUAGGUUAUGAUAGUAAAAUCCUACGGUUUUGCAAAAUGGUUGUCAGCUACCCCACUAUAUAGCCUUCAUGAUCCUUGAUGAGUCUUUAUUUUAAGUUUAUGACGGGUAAGUCUAGCUGAGUACCCUCUUGUACUCAGGGUUCUACUCCCAUGUUGUUUUGCAGAUGGUCAAAUGUACUAUGGUUAUUGCAUCCUCUGUCUGUACCCAGCCAUGGGUGAUGACUAGACCAAGGGCGAUGGUGACUCCGUCUCUCCUUUUGCUUUUGUGGGAAUGACCGAACUAUGGCACUGUAUCAGACUAAGCGUGUGUGUUGUAUUUUCGAACUAUUAAGCUUCCGCUACUUGAAGAACUUGGUUUGUAAUAAUUUUAAGAACUCUGAUGUAUUUUAUGAAUGUUGUAAUCUGGAUGUAUUUGUGAAUGGCGACCGCUAAACUUAUUACGAUCUUGGCUGUUGUGCGAUGUGUGGUUUGAAAUCCUUCGAGAUUUCACGGACUAUCGGGAUUAUAUGGGCUUAAGCGUGAUGGUUUGACUAUGCAAAUGGUCACUGUUAGGCUUAAUCUCUUAUAAUUUGGUCGGUUCUGUUACAGCUGGCAUCGGAGCAAGGUUUAGCGAGUUACUGUUCAUAAGUACGUUCUAAACAAAAAUAUAAACUGGUUUAAUAAAAGAUUUUAUUAAUUAAUCAAUAGUGAUCAAGGGGUUAAACCAAGUUUUGGGAAAACUAUCUAGUGUGCCAUGGUCAUAUCCUUUAUGCCCAAUUAAGGACUCUAAGGUGGCUAGUUAAGUACUGACUUGGGGGUUAAUGCAUCAUAUUUUUAUUUCGUCGCUCAUACGGCGUGCAAUAGUAUGAGUACCAUUCAUUUGAGUGGUAAUGUAUGGACCCCUUUUUCCUCUACGCCACGGUAAGUGGGAGCUGUGAGAGCAUGAUCGGAUACACUGCCGGUCUAGGGGAGUGUUGUUAGGUACUAUGUCAUGCACACAUGUUUGCUGUGUCUUGGAAACAGUACCGCAUGUUGGGGAUUCCGUCCUGAGAGGCGAUGCCGUCAUUAGGGCGAUGAUGUGGGUAGUGACACGUCAUAUGCAUGGACGGGUGUCUGUGUAUGUGGAGUGUAUAGUUUUAAAUUCUUGUUCUGCACGAUCAUACUAUGGGUGGGCUGAAAUCAGUUUCCUGCAGGUACACUAACCACGUUCUCGCUUAGAACGCUAGUUACGUUAUGAGAGAACGUUGUGUGCCACCGCAUAUACCGCUUAGUGUUAACUUUUGUUUCUGAGUUUGUGAGAUCGUAAGUUCGUGCAUGCAUCAUGUUCAUUUCGUAUCAUUGCUUACUUUCCCCCUUAAUUUAAUCAGUCCCAAUUCUAAAUAAAAUAAUUAAAGGUAAUCCUCGCUCUUACCCACGAUAUUCCAUUUGCAGCAGAUGGCACGCACUAGGCUCACCGCUCGCAAGUCCACUGGUGGGCGGGCCCCUCGCCAUCCGUUGGCAGCCAGGAGCUCGCGACAUAAGAGCAAGUUCCUGGAGGAGUUUGGGAUGCCCACUUUGCUUUGGAGGGUGCUCAGUUCGAUGGUACUAUUGGGAUAAGGAGCCGCUUGGUGACGAGACCCUGGUGGGGAUCGAGGCAGUUGUCCCUACCAGUGGAGGAGACCCUGCUUGGGGCGGCAGGGUGUACGAGUCCCGAGGUGUCACGCCUUUCCACGGUGCCAGUAGGGCAGCUUUCGCAGUUCUGAGGAACCUCAUGGAGAGGUUUCCACAGGAGCUGGCCCACGCCUUCGCUGGGGUGUUUCCCCGGGGUGACCCCUACACUUCGGUGUGGGAUCAGUCUGAGGUGAACGCUCUAGAGAGGAGUGCGGAUGAGGACCAGCACAGUGACGGUGCAGCUAUGAGUGCCAUGUACGCAUUGAUGAAGACCUAUGGAGGCCUGGAGCGUUGUUUGGGUCGCUUGUCCGGGUCUCUUCUCACCGUCCAGGACGAGAAGCGUCAGUUGCAGCGUGAGUUUGACUCUGAGGUUGAGAGGCUACAGGCAGAGUUGGCCCGUGUGACCAGAGAGAGAGACCAGGCAGUCCAGAAGAAUAGUGAGCUGAGUCAGGACCUGCUUGCAGUGCGAGAGCAGAGGGAUAGGGUGACUACUGCUCACAGGAACUGCGAGCGCAUGCUAGUCCAUGUGCUUGGACAGAGGAAUGAAGCCUGGCACGAGGAGGACACUUUGAGGGCCCGACAGCUAGAGCUAGAGCAGCAGCUAGCUAAUGCGGAGGAGUACAAUGAGAACUUGCAUGAGGAGAUCGACCAGCUGCAUAACCAGCUCCACCCUCACCACCUGCCUGGAGCAGCUGAGCUAGACUCUGAGGACGAGAUGGAAGCGGAUCCCGAGAUAGGAGCAGCUGCUAGUGGUGAUGAGGACGAGGAGGGCUCCGGCAUGGACAGUGAUCAUAGCGACUAGAUGCUAGGGCUUUAGAGCUAGUCCUUCUUCUUUUGUGUUGUAUGUUGCAUGGCAUGUCGUGUACUUUUGGAUCUGGGCUAUGUAAAACUUUAUGAGUUAAUGCUGAAAGUCCAGUGUAUGUAUGCUGGCAAGUUGGAUGUACGCGAACCUUGUUGCGUGAACGUUAAGCAAUCUGUUAGUGAUGUUGUGCGUAGAUGAUGAAUUGUUGUGCCUCUGUUUAUUGUGCGAAUUUAUUCCCUCAGUAAAUUCAGUACGGCAUGAUUCUACACAUUUCUACCGUUGAUGGCAACUCCUAACGAUUGCUUACCAUUGACGUAUGCAGAUGGUGCACACACGUGGCGGGGGUAACAGCAACCCGGGCCUUGGAGCAGGUACAUUCGGAGGUGGGGCUCAACAAAAUGAGGACAGAGCACCAACACCGCCACCACCACCGCCUCCCCCGUACACUGCAGACGUGUUUUUUGCACAGUUUCUGGGGAGCCAACGCAACAUGGAACAGAUGCAAUGCAACAUGGAAGAGGCUCUGCGCAACAUGGAAGGCAACACCCGUCGUGGGGAUAACCAGGGCGGCCGAGAAGUCAACCAGUACAGUUCGUUCAAGGACUUCAUGGAUACCAAGCCACCAAUCUUCAAGGAGGCUUUGGAACCGCUCGAGACAGAUGAGUGGAUCAACACUAUGGAGCAGAAGUUUUGUCUUCUCCGAAUGACAGAAGAACUUAAGGCUGAGUAUGCGGCACAUCAGUUGCAAGGACCCGCUGGGAUUUGGUGGUCCCAUCACCGUACCACCUACCCAGAGGGGACCCCAAUUACCUGGAACCGCUUCACCACCGCUUUUCAGGGAAAUUAUAUUCCUCCGGGGUUAGUUGAAAUGAAGAUCGGGGAGUUCAUGAGGUUGUCCCAGGGGACGAAAUCUGUGAAGGAGUAUCUACACGCUUUCAAUAAUCUCGCUCGUUACGCCCCCGAGUUUGUGAACAUGGAGGCCAAGAAGAUUCCUAAUUUCCAGAGAGGCUUGAAUCCAAAGAUGCUGAAGACCAUGGGUACAGGAGCCAGGGCUACCUUCAAUGCCUAUAUCAGUGACUGUCUCACCCAGGAGAACCACAACAACAACUACAGUGCAUCCAAGUCACGUAAUAGGGCUUUUGAAGCCGGAUCAUCCUAGUCCAGGGCACCCGUGACAGGGCGACAGCAGUAUCGUCCCCUUGCCCCAGGUGCUAGGUUCCGACCGCCGCAGAGAAGGAACACCGGGCAUCCAACGCAGCAGAAGCCGUACAAGGUGGCGAUAGCCCCUGCCAAGCCAAAGGCAAUUCAAGCUGCAGCACCUGCCGUCAACAACGCGCCCAAGGGUCCGUGCUAUAACUGCCACAAGAUGGGGCACUUUGCUAAGGAAUGUCCCUACCCCAAGAGGCAGCAGCCAACCUACCCAGCUCGUGUGCACCAUACCUCGAUUGAGGAAAUCCCGGAAGGAGAACCAGUAACAGCUGGUAUGUUUCCUGUCAACCAACAUCUUGCAGUUGUUUUGUUUGAUUCUGGAUCAUCGCAUUCAUUCAUGAGUCAAGCAUUUGCACAAAAGCAUAGUCAACCAGUUACAGAUCUGGGUUAUGGCUACCGCAUCAGCUUAGCGGGGGCAGAUGUGUUGACCAAUUGAGUGGUUCGAGGGGCAACCCUGGAUACAAGUGGCCGAGUAUUCCGAGUGAAUCUAGUGGUCAUGCCUGGGUUAGUUUUGGAUGUUAUUAUGGGUAUGAACUGGAUGAGAGAAUGGGAUGCCGUCAUAGAUACUGGGAAGAGGAUGUUAUCUCUCAGAGAACCGCAGGGCAGUAGCUCUUUUCAAGUACCUCUGCCCCGUCGUCUUGACUUUGCUAGCAUCUCUUGUGCUACGCACGUGGUUCCAUUACCACAGAUCCCAGUAGUCUGUGAGUUCCCUAAUGUUUUUCCUGAGGAAUUACCAGGACUUCCCCCGGAUAGGGAAGUAGAGUUUGCAAUCGAGUUGAUACCAGGUACAACACUAAUAUCGAGAAGGCCGUACCGGAUGCCACCAAACGAACUCGCUGAGUUGAAGAAUCAACUAAAGUAGUUACUGGAUAAAGGGUUCAUCCGACCAAGCUCGUCGGAAUGGGGUUGUCCAGCGUUGUUUGUGAAAAAGAAGGAUCAGUCAUUGCGCAUGUGCGUGGACUAUCGUCCACUCAAUGCAGUGACAAUCAAUAAUAAGUAUCCUUUGCCAAGGAUUGAUAUCCUGUUUGAUCAGUUGUCCAAGGCAAGAGUGUUUUCUAAGAUAGAUUUGAGGUCUGGGUAUCACCAAAUCAAGAUUCGUAAGCAAGAUAUCCCGAAGACUGCUUUUUCCACCAGAUAUGGGUUGUAUGAGUAUCUUGUCAUGUCCUUUGGAUUGACGAAUGCUCCUGCAUACUUUAUGUACCUGAUGAAUUCAGUCUUUAUGCCAGAAUUGGAUAAGUUUGUUGUGGUGUUUAUCGAUGAUAUUCUGGUUUAUUCAGAAAAUGAGCAAGAUCACGCCGAGCAUGUGAGAAUCGUGAUGACACGGUUACGAGAGCAUCAGUUAUAUGCCAAGUUCAGCAAGUGUGAGUUUUGGCUGAAGAAAGUUCCUUUCCUAGGGCAUAUUCUGUCUGAAGAAGGGAUUGCUGUGGAUCCGUCAAAAGUGCAGGAAGUCAUGGACUGGAAGGCACCAACUUCUGUCUCGGAAGUUAGAAGUUUUCUUGGUCUGGCCGGGUAUUAUCGUCGUUUCAUACCUGACUUCUCCGAGAUUGCUAAGCCCAUGACAAGUUUGCUACAAAAGGAUCACAAGUUUGUCUGGACGGAAGGGUGUGAGUUAGCCUUCCGCACCUUGCGAAAGUUGCUAACCACUGCUCCCGUUCUGGCACAACCCAAUAUAGAGAAGCCUUUUGAUGUGUUUUGUGACGCAUCGAAGAGUGGCCUGGGGUGUGUGUUGAUGCAAGAUGGCAGGGUAAUAGCUUAUGCUUCCCGACAGUUGAGAAAGCACGAAGUCAACUACCCAACGCACGACCUCGAGUUAGCAGCAGUAGUGCACGCUUUGAAGAUUUGGAGACAUUAUCUGCUGGGAAAUAAGUGUCACAUUUAUACCGAUCAUAAGAGUUUGAAGUACAUCUUCACUCAGUCCGAGCUAAAUAUGAGGCAACGACGGUGGUUAGAGUUAAUCAAGGACUAUGAUCUGGAAGUUCACUACCAUCCUAGCAAGGCUAAUGUGGUAGCAGAUGCGUUGAGUCGUAAACUGCACUAUCAAGUGGUUCAACCGUUGUUUGAAGAUGGGUUCAAUCUUAUGCAUCCUGAGGUCUUAUGUCACCUACAACUCAGUUGUUCACUCGAGAGUCAAGUCAUUGAAGGACCGAAAACAGACAAGGGUAUUUUCCACAUCAAAGAAAAGAUCAAAGAUGACCCAAAAACUCAGUUUCGAGUUGAUGAGAAAGGGGUACUGUGGUUUCAACAUCGGUUAGUAGUUCCAAAAGAUCAUGAAUUGAAGAAUCGCAUCAUGGAUGAAGCCCAUCUCUCUAAACUUUCUAUUCAUCCUGGCAGUAGCAAAAUGUAUCAAGAUCUAAGACCCCACUUUUGGUGGACCAAGAUGAAGAAAGAAAUAGCCGCAUAUGUGGCCCGUUGUGACACGUGUUGCAGAGUUAAGGCCAUCCAUAUGAAACCUGCAGGUCUGUUGCAACCGUUAUCAGUUCCAGAGUGGAAAUGGGAAGAGGUCAGUAUGGACUUUAUCACAGGUUUACCAACCACGAGGAAGGGGAAUGACUCGAUUUGGGUAAUCAUCGAUCGAUUAACCAAGACGGCUCAUUUCAUUCCAGUUAAGAACACAUACAGACCUCCCGAGUAUGCCGAUAUAUAUAUGGCUGAGAUUGUCAAGUUGCAUGGUAUUCCCAAAAACAUAAUAUCAGAUAGAGGACCACAGUUCACCGCUCACUUCUGGGAGCGAAUGCAUAAGAAUUUGGGGACUAGUCUGAUAAGGAGCACGGCGUAUCAUCCUCAGACCUCAGGUCAAACGGAGAGGUUAAAUCAAGUGUUAGAAGAUAUGCUGAGGGCCUGUGUGCUAUCAUCCAAGGGAUCAUGGGAAUCAUGGUUACCUCUGGCUGAGUUCUCCUACAAUAACAGUUAUCAAGAGAGCAUCAAGAUGGCCCCGUUCGAAGCUCUGUAUGGUCGGAGGUGUAGAACUCCGUUAAACUGGGUUGAACCUGGGGAAAGGAGAUACUAUGGUAUCGACUUCGUGAAUGAGGCCGAGAAGAAGGUGCAAGUCAUACAGCAGCAUAUGCAACCAGCGCAAUCACGACAAAAGAGUUAUGCUGAUAAGAGAAGAAGGCCACUUGAAUUCAAAGUAGGUGACUAUGUGUACCUCAAGGUUACGCCAAUGAAGAAAGUUCAGCGUUUCCGAGUUCGAAGCAAGCUUGCACCCAGAUAUGUGGGACCGUACCAAAUACUGGAAAGGAAAGGCCCCGUGGCCUACAAGAUUCAGUUACCUGAAGAGUUGAGCUCGAUCUUUCCGGUCUUCCAUGUGUCGCAACUGCGGAAAUGUUUGAAAGUACCUGAGCAAAGAAUUGAACCUCGAGGGAUCAAAAUAAAAGCAGACUUAGAGUAUAAGGAGCAACCAGUGGGAAUUGUGGAUACCAAGGAAGGGGUAACCCGAAACAGAAUUGUCAGAACAUAUAAGGUGGUGUGGAGUCAUCAUGACGAUAGGGAUGCCACCUGGGAAACAGAGGAUUACAUAAAAGCAGUUUAUCCAAAAUUUCAUAAGAAAUGGUUAGUAACCCAAAAUCUCGGGACGAGAUUUCCCUAAGGGGGGAAGGGCUGUAACACCCUAGGUGUUAAGCAUGCAUUUAGCCCUAUCACAACAUGCAUAAGCAUUCUCAUCAAGCAUAGCAUCAUGAGCAUGUCAUUCGUCCCCAAAACAUGAUUUUAUGAGCUUUAUUUCAUGUGUUUUAAUUAUGUUAAAAAUAUGAUGCUUGCUUCUAAAAAUGUGAAAUAUUCAAACUAGGUUGAUUUAUGUGUAAGAAGAGUUAAGAAUAUUUUUGUGUAAUUUUUGGAGCUAUAGAAUUUGAGAAAUGGAAUUUAUACAAAAAUUCCCAAAUUGAAUUUAUUUAAAAACCUAGAACUAGUUUUAAUUUGUAAUUCAAAUUCUAUUUGGAAUUUGGUCUUGCUUAUUAAAACAAAGUUGUAGGGUUUUUGUUGUGGAACCAUUUUACUUUUGGGAGCAAGAGGUGAAAAUGAUUUUAAAUUGGUCCAAAUGAAUUUAGAAGAGAUUUGGAGAAAAGAAAUUCAAAAAAAAAAUAGAAGAGGGGCAGGCGCUGCCGGGCCAACCCCGCCUCCCUUUCGGCCUAGCGAGCGGCCCGGCCUGCCUCCCCCUCCCCCUCUCUCCCGCGCGCGGACGCCCGCCUCGCCCCAGCCAGCGUCGGCCACGUGGCAGCCGUACGCCGGCGAGGAGCGCGCCGCGGCCGGACUCCAACCCCCCCCUGGUCGGGACGCCGGCUCGGGCUCCCAGGCCAUUCCCUCCCUUCUGUCGCCCGCGCCCUUCUCCUUCCUCCCUCCGCUCGCGAGUGCGACCGAGCCGUAGAGCUCCGCCGCAGCGCCAUCGCCGGAGCAGCUCCGCUGCUCACCGCCGGCCACUCCAGUGACCAAACCUCGACACCGAAGCCACCAGCGCCUUCGCCAUCAUUAGGGUAAGCUUGUGCGAGCAUUCUACCGAGGUGAGAGUCCGUCGAGCGCCAUGAAUCGCUCGCCGGAGUUACCCCGAGCUCGCCGGAGUACUCCGCCGCGGCGGAUCUUGCGUUUCUCUGUCUCUUUUUGCUGGUUUUUGGUUGCGCUAGGUCGGUAGGGUGGUGACGAAGCUCGGAGAGCCGUUUGCGCGCGCUCUACCGCACCGGAGCGGCCUGGCCACGGCGAGCAGCGCCACCGUGCCGCCAUGCAUGCUCGUCAGAGGUGUUCCGGUCAUCCACCGGCCAAUCCGAGGGUACCGCUGGGUGCGCCUCGCUGCGGGGAGCACGAUGGUGCUCACCCCGUGGCCGGAGACCUCACCGCCGGCGAGAUCUGCUCGUCGGAGGUGAGCUCCCUCUCGGUCUCGCUGACCGGUGGGGUCAGAGGCCCACUGUCAGUCGCAGGGGGACCCCGGUGGGUGUAGAUCUAGGUGUGUCUAGCCUUUUUCGUCGGUUUUCUUGAAUAAAUGUUUUCCAGAAAUUGAUUCAAAGCUUGUAAAAUUCAUAUCUUGAGUUCUACAGCUCCAAAUUUGAUGAAAUAAAUUUUGUUGUGCUCUAUAAUUUCAGAUCUACAGCCUGAUGUAAUUGCAUGUCAUGUUUGAGUAACUUUUCUGUAUGAAUAUAUUUAAUCCAUGUUUUUGCUAAACUUGGAAAAUGCACAAUAAUUCAAAUAUGACUCAGAAAAAUAUGAAACUUGUUUUAUGGGCUUUGCAUGUAUGUUAGCUCACUGGGAAAAUAUUGCUACACAUUAUUUGGUGUAUAAAUGAAUUUAUGGUAAUUUAAAUGCUUGCAUGACAGUGGUUUAUGAUUUUUAGUCAUUAUUUGGAUCAUGCAAUUAAUCUGGAAAUUUUUGUGGUUGUUUCUUAUAAUAUUAGACAAAUUGUAAAAAUAUGAAAUCUGCUGUUUGACUCUUAUGUCACAGUGGAGUAAUUAUACUUACCUUAUUAAUUAAUCUUGUGAUUUUUGUAGCUCAAAAUAAGUAUCCAAAAAUUAUGAAAAAUUUACAGUAGACUCUAUGCUUGGCUGGUAGUCUCCUGUAAUUUUUGAGGAAUUUAUUAAUUAACAGAACUGCAUGUAAAUUGUAAUAGGCCUAGAAAUGAAUAAAGAAAAUUAUGAAUUGUUGUAUAUAUAGGUUGAAUAGAAUAAGUUUGGGUUUGGUGUAUCUUUGAAGCAACUUGUGGGUUACUGGUCACAUUUGAAAAAUAAUUGUAGAAGAGAAUGCAAUAGAUGUUUGAUUCAAUUGUUUGUCCUUGGAUGAUGUUGACUACCUUGUAAUGAGCAUGACCAAGUGUAUCACCUAUGCAUCAUGUCAUGAUCCUUUGGUACCUUCUCAUACGAGCAUCCACUCGGGCAUCUCGCACCUCACUCAUGAGCACACAUGCAUCAUACAGGCUCGCAGGAGAACGAGGUGGGACCCGAGGAGCCAGAGGAGAUUCAGGAGCAGGAACCUCCGAAAGCACAGGAGUCCGGAGAGGAACUUCAGGAGUGUCCGGAUCACCGACCAAGCACGUUUGAGAAAGGAAAGCCCCAAAGCAUUCUAAGUCUCCCUAUUCUCGCUAACCUACAGGGCAUACUAUACUGGUUCUACUAUAUUGCAUCUAAGUGAUAGGAAUUGCUUGAUACCGUUGAUGCAUAUGUACUCCUUGUUAUCCCUACUCGUUUACCUGCCUUGUCCCAUGUAGAUAGGCACGGAGUCUAUGCUUAGCUUGCUUAGUCCAGUAGAAGUCGGGUGAUUCCCUAUCACCUGCGAGAUAUAGGUGGAUACCUGCUUGAUUAAGCAGUGGUUGCUUGGGGAAAGAAUAACCAAGUGUGGAAUGUAAUUGGAGACCGGGCAGGGUCUUAUGGUGGGUUGACCAUAGUGCCCCUGCCUGUGUCGAUUAAGGACCGAUCGUUGACAGCCCUCUUGUCAUGUUGAUUGCAUGCCCCACACUUAGCUGGAAGGAUAAGUCGUUCCGACCGCGAAGCCUGAACACUUUCCGGGCCGGGAAUAGAGCCGCCAUGCGCUGUAUUGGUGAUGGUUGAGGAGAACGACGAGGGCGCGGCGCGCAACCUUGGUAUACCUUGGAUACCUCGGUCGCCGGAACGGUCCUCGGGUACUGGCGGUGCCUGUUGAACCCGUGAAUUGGUCCUCGAUAGUGUAAUUUGGUGUUCUGUAGCUCACUUGAUCAGUGAGUGUGGUUUGUGUGGGGAAUAAACUCGCCAGCUGGUUAGAAAUCGACUCGAAUCGCCAUCGCUCCUGGAUAGUGAGAACUUGACAUGAGCUUCGUCCUCGUAGUAAGGACUAUGGAACACUGGGGUUAUAAUGAAAGGGUUUAUGAAUGCUAUGAUGAAGUACUAUCCUAUCCCUAUACUUGCUUGUAAUAGUGCAGGUGCAAACCUAGAUAAUAGGUAAUGAUACUUUCAACUUGAGCAAAUUAAAAGAAGAAAGAUUUAUGUAUGUUAUGAUAGUAAAAUCCUGCGGUUUUGCAAAAUGGUUGUCAGCUACCCCACUAUAUAGCCUUCAUGAUCCUUGAUGAGUCUUUAUUUUAAGUUUAUGACGGGUAAGUCUAGCUGAGUAGCCUCUUGUACUCUUGGUUCUACUCCCAUGUUGUUUUGCAGAUGGUCAAAUGUACUAUGGUUAUUGCAUCCUCUGUCUGUACCUAGCCAUGGGUGAUGACUAGACCAAGGGCGAUGGCCACUCCGUCUCUCCUUUUGCUUUUGUGGGAAUGACCGAACUAUGGCACUGUAUCAGACUAAGCGUGUGUGUUGUAUUUUCGAACUAUUAAGCUUCCGCUACUUGAAGAACUUGGUUUGUAAUAAUUUUAAGAACUCCGAUGUAUUUUAUGAAUGUUGUAAUCUGGAUGUAUUUGUGAAUGGCGACCGCUAAACUUAUUACGAUCUUGGCUGUUGUGCGAUGUGUGGUUUGAAAUCCUUCGAGAUUUCACGGACUACCGGGAUUAUAUGGGCUUAAGCGUGAUGGUUUGACUAUGCAAAUGGUCACUGUUAGGCUUAAUCUCUUAUAAUUUGGUCGGUUCUGUUACAGCUCCUAUCUCUAGAAGACCUUAUAGAAUGCCACCCAAUGAAUUAGCUGAGCUUAAGACCCAACUAAAUGAGUUGUUGAAGAAGGGUCUUAUCCGUCCUAGUUCUUCUCCAUGGGGUUGUCCGGCUAUCUUUGUGAAGAAGAAGGAUCAAUCUUUGCGCAUGUGUGUGGACUAUCGUCCCUUAAAUGCGGUAACCAUCAAGAACAAAUACCCUCUUCCUUGCAUUGAUAUCUUGUUUGAUCAGUUGUCUAAAGCUAAGGUAUUCUCUAAGAUUGAUUUGCGAUCUGGGUACCAUCAGAUCAAGAUCCGUCCUGAAGAUGUACCUAAGACAGCUUUCUCGACGAGGUAUGGGUUGUAUGAGUAUCUCGUCAUGUCCUUUGGUCUUACAAAUGCACCUGCUCACUUCAUGUAUCUCAUGAAUUCGGUGUUCAUGCCCGAAUUGGACAAGUUUGUGGUGGUCUUCAUUGAUGAUAUCUUGGUAUAUUCCUGCAAUGAAGAGGAGCAUGCAGAGCAUCUGCGUAUAGUGUUGUCGCAUUUGCGCGAACAUCAGCUUUAUGCCAAGUUUAGCAAAUGCGAGUUUUGGCUGAAGAAAGUACCUUUCUUGGGCCAUGUCUUAUCUGAAGAAGGCAUAUCAGUAGACCCAGCCAAGGUGCAAGAAGUGCUGGAUUGGAAAGUUCCAACUUCGAUGCACGAGGUUCGGAGUUUUCUUGGUCUGGCUGGAUAUUAUCGUCGAUUCAUUCCGGAAUUUUCAAAAAUAUCCAAGCCUAUGACCCGUCUGCUUCAGAAAGAUGAGAAGUUUGUGUGGACGCCUGAGUGUGAAGAGGCAUUCCACAAGUUGAGGACAUUGCUGACAUCAGCUCCUGUUCUAGCUCAACCUGAUAUCGAAAAGCCCUUCGAUGUCUUUUGUGACGCGUCAGGCAUCGGUCUAGGCUGCGUGUUGAUGCAGGAAGGUCGCGUUAUCGCGUAUGCCUCGCGCCAACUUCGAAAGCAUGAGGUCAAUUACCCUACUCAUGACUUAGAAUUGGCAGCAGUUGUUCAUGCUUUGAAAAUCUGGAGGCAUUAUUUGUUGGGUAAUCUGUGUAAUAUCUACACCGAUCAUAAGAGCCUCAAGUAUAUCUUCACUCAACCUGAACUGAACAUGCGGCAGCGAAGGUGGCUUGAGUUGAUUAAAGAUUAUAAUCUACAAGUGCACUAUCAUCCGGGCAAGGCGAACGUGGUGGCGGAUGCCUUGAGUCGGAAAGCGCACUGUCACUCAAUCCAAAUGAAAGAUCCGUUGUUGUCACAUCUUAUGCAUCCACUUGUGCUCAACCAGAUUUCUCUGGAGAGUACUCUUCGCAAUUGAGUCAUCGAAUUGCAGCAAACAGAUGUAGGCAUCCACCAUAUAAAGAGGAAAAUGAAGGAAGAAGAAACCAAGCAUUUCCGGGUCGAUGAGAACGGAAUUCUUUGGUUCAAAGAUCGGGUAGUGGUUCCAAAAGACCGUGAACUAUGAAAUCAGAUCUUGUCUCAAGCUCAUUCAUCCAAAUUGUCUAUUCAUCCUGGUAGUAGCAAGAUGUAUCAGGAUCUGAAACCUUUGUUUUGGUGGACAAAGAUGAAAAAGGAGAUCGCUGCUUUUGUCGCUCGUUGUGACAAUCGUUGUCGUGUGAUGGCUGUUCAUAUGAAAGCUGGUUUGCUUCAACCCUUGUCAAUUCCUGGUUGGAAAUGGAAAGAAGUCAGCAUGGAUUUCAUCAUUGGACUCCCAACUUAUGUUAAGGGUUACGACUCCAUCUGGGUGAUUGUAGAUCGUUUGACCAAGGUGGCUCAAUUUAUUCCAGUUCGAACCGACUAUCGUCCACAUCAAUAUGCAGAAUUGUACUUCGAGCACAUUGUUCAUCAGUAUGGUGUGCCUCGAACUAUUGUAUCAGAUCAUGGACCACAGUUCACUGCUCGUUUUUGGGAAUGUCUGCAUGAGUAGAUUGGUACUCAUUUAGUCCGUAGCUCUGCUUAUCAUCCCCAAACGGCUGGUCAAACUGAACGGGUUAACCAAAUCCUAGAAGACAUGUUGAGGGCAUGUCCUCUCUCUUCAAAGGGUUCUUGGGUUAAGUGGUUGCCAUUAGCUGAGUUCUCCUACAACAAUAGUUAUCAGGAGAGUAUCAAGAUGGCUCCAUUUGAAGCCCUGUACGGUCGAAAGUGUCGAACCCCAUUGAAUUGGGUAGAAGCCGGAGAGCGAAGGUAUUAUGGCAUCGAUUUCGUGAACGAAGCAGAGCAGCAAGUCCGUACCAUCCAGCAACAUCUGGAAGCUGCUCAAGCUCAUCAGAAAAGUUAUGCUGACAAAAGAAGGAAGCCGAUUGAGUUUUCAGUUGGUGACCAUGUGUAUAUCAAAGUGUCUCCGAUGAAGGGUGUACAAAGGUUCGGAGUCAAGCGAAAGCUUGCACCUCGUUAUGUGGGACCUUAUCGGAUUCUCGAAAAGAAAGGGAAUGUGGCGUACAAAGUUCAACUCCCAGUUGUGCUUCGAGCUAUUUUCCCUAUUUUCCACGUAUCACAAUUAAAGAUGUGCCUUCGUGUACCGGAGGAACGAGUGGAAGUUCGAGAUAUCAAGUUGAAGUCAGACUUGGUGUAUGAAGAAAAACCCAUAGCGGUUCUCGAUCGCAAGGAACGGGAGACUCGUAAUCAUUUGGUUAAGCUCUACAAGGUGUUGUGGAGUAACCACGGGGAGGAAGAUGCCACUUGGGAGACGGAGGAUUAUUUAAAAGAAGUUUACAAAACAUUCUUCGAAAAUCAGUAAGCUUUCAAAUCUCGGGACGAGAUUUUUGUAAGGGGGGAGGGCUGUAACACCCCAGUGUUAUGGUUGCAUUAAUCAUGUGCAUAGCAUGAGCAUCAUCAUCUACUCAAAGCAUAUCAUGAUCAUCAUCUAUCUUGAGCCAUGUCAUUCUAUGCAAAAAGGUGAUCUAAAUUGCUUAAAUAGGCUUUCUAUGCUUAUGUUUGAGUAAACCAUGCUUGUGUUUGUGCUCUAUGCCUUGGUAAUUAGUUUAUCUAUGCUUAACUUAACCUUGGGAACAAUGUUCAUGUUGAUCACUUCUCCAAAAGAAAGGCUUAAGACAUACUUAUGCAAAUAGGCCCUAGAAACCUCUUCUGCUUAGGCUUUUAAAAAGUGUUUCAUAAAAUGUUUGCAUGUCAAAGCAUUCUACAGCAAAGUUGUAGAAAAUUUUAUAAGGAACAAAAGUUGUUUUAUGUCCAUCUCAUGAAAAUGAUCACAUCUAGCUCAAAAUUGACCCACAAGCCAGAUUUGGGGCUGUUUCCAACACUUAGGAAAUUUUCCAUGUCCUGGAGCGAAAACAGUUUGCUUGAUCGGUUUUGAAAACUCUAUAUCUCUCAAUCCAGGCCAAUCUGGCUUUUGCUCUAGUUGACAUUGUUGUAGAACUCAGUUGGAACUCCAACUUUGUCAACUACACCAUCUCCUAACUCGCUCUGGUUUGGAAGUUAAUCAUCGACGAAGUUGCUAUGUCAGUCAGUGAUCGCGAGGUCUGAUUCAGAGCUGAGCUCGCCGUCGUGGUCACCCAGAGCGCCACCUGUCCGCCAGAUGGCGCCCGUACGCCGGCGAUGGCCCCGCUCAUUAGGUCGACGGCGUUGGCAUGGACGCCACGGCGCCCCGCACUCACUCAGCGCCCGUCCAUUCUCCUCCUUCCUCUCUCUCGCGCUCGCUCUGGCGGAAACGGUGUCGCCAUUGCCGCCUAGAGCUUCGCAAGCUCUUAACGCCCUCGCCUCUGCGUCUCGCUUCGCCUCCGAGCACCUCCAAGUCUGCCUCGAGCUCCUCCAUCUUCUCCACCCCUCAGUUGGACGAGAUCUCCCCGAGGUGAGCGGCAUUUCGCAAGUUCUCCGUCGUCGGGUUCGCGGCCGUCGCGACACCGAUUCCGGCGAACCUCGCCGCUGCUCCACCCUUGCUUCCUUUCUUCUCUUUGGGUAGUGUUAGGUUCUGCUUAGGUCUUGGCGUUGGUCCACACCAUGACAUUCCGGCUAAAACCUCACCGUCGCGUGGGAACACGGUUGGCGCACCGCCGUGCUCACCGCCGACGAGCACCUCGCUCGUGAGCAGGCUCACCGGAGCCGUUAGGGUUAGGAGUUCCUACCUCGAAAGCUCCGCGCUGACUCACUGAUGCUGUAUGUAACACACUAGUGUUAUGGUUGCAUUAAUCAUGUGCAUAGCAUAAGCAUCAUCAUCUACUCAAAGCAUAUCAUGAUCAUCAUCUCUCUUGAGCCAUGUCAUUCUACGCAAAAAUGUGUUUUAAAUUGCUUAAAUAGGCUUCCUAUGCUUGAGUGAACCAUGCUUGUGUUUGUGCUUAAUGCCUUGGUAAUUAGUUUAUCUAUGCUUAAAUUGACUUUGGGAACAAUGUUCAUGUUGGUCACUUCUCCAAAUUAUGCCCUUAAGUCACACUUAUGAAAAUAGGCCCUAGAGACCUCUUUUGCUUAGGCUUUUAAAAAUUGCUUCAUAAAAUGUUUGCAUGUCAAAACUUCCUACAGCAAAGUUGUAGAAAAUUUUAUAAGGAACAAAAGUUGUUUUAUGGCCAUCUCAUGAAAAUGAUCACAAGUAGCUCAAAUUUGACCCACAAGGCAGAAUUGGGGCUGUUUCCAACACUUAGAAAAUUUUCUAAGUCUGGAAUCACUGCAGUUUGCUCGAGGGGGUAUUGUUCAUCCUCCAGUUUGAAUUCUAGGCUGAAUCAAGCUUUGAUCUUGUAAGCAAUGUUGGAGUACCCAUGUAGCUCUCCAGCAUGGAGCAAUUAGCCAGCAAAAUCAUCGAGUGGUUAGGGAGUUAAUCGUCGAGCAAAAUCGAGUUUCAGUCGGUUUGGGAAUUGAAUGGAGCCGCCGUCAGACAGGGGGAGCUCGCCGGUGUUGCCGCGUGUCUGGACUCGUGGCGUCCGUACGUCGCCGUUGGCCCCGCUCGUCAGUCCUCCACGCGUCCUUCAGCUCGCCACGGCGCCCCCGGUCGCGUGGACAGCGCCAUUCCACUCCCGGUUCCCUCCCUCUCGCGUGCGUCGUCGUCUCCGCGUCGCCGCCGUUGCUUCGGCGAGCUCGCGCGCGCGUGUCUCCUUGUCUCCGGUCAAGCAACUCCGUCCAGUGCUCUGCAAGCCUCUCCUCUCCACCGUUGUCAAGUUGGCUGCGACUGCCGAGCUUCGGUGAGGCCGCAUUGCCUUCUCCGUCGCGAGCUUGCCUCGCCGGAGUUCCGCCAUGGCCACCGGCGUCGUGGCCAGGGCUCUGUAGCCCACCAUUCUUUCUCAUUCUUGUCCCAAAAGGUUCACUAGGUCUUGCUGUUGCUCGUCCGCAUUCUCUUCCGCUCUGUCUCCGGCCCGAGACGCCGGCGGUCGGCCGCGCACCACCGCCGUGCCGCCAUUCGCGAGGGCAAGGUACCUAGAGUCCGGUAGAGUUAGGGUUUUGGGUACCGCUAGAUGCGGAAUGCAGUGGGGAGCACGAUGGUGCCCUUGGCCAGUGCCGAGACCUCGCCGUCGACGAGAUCUCCGGCGGUCAAGCCGCGCCUCUGCUUCCGGGUCGCUGGCAGGUGGGGUCCGUUGACUCGCGGGUCCCCUCUGUCAGUCUCUCUUUCUCCUUUGUUUAAACUAGGGUUUGAGCUGUUUUUGCAAAAAUCAUAUCUCUAGUUCUGGUGAUCCAAAAAUGUUGAAACAAAUUUUGUGGUAUUCCUUGAGAUGGCUAGUUUUUCAUAAAAAUAUAAAAUGAACCAUGUUUUCUGGGAAAAUAUUUAUUAAGGAUUUAAUCUUGUUAUUCAUGGAUAAAUGUAUAUCUCUUGUUAUACUGCUUAGUUUACUCUGAAAAUUUUAUGGUAGUUUCUGUAUGGUAUGAGAGUGCUUUGGUAAAUAUUUUAGUAUUUUUGGAGCACUGCAUCUUUGUUAUGUAAUUUAUGAUUGAAAUGUGGCUUGUUUCCUUGAUUAAAUUAUAUAAAUUAAUUGGUGCUUAUGCUGGUGCUCUACUUUGGUAGUAAACAGGUUUAUAGUAUUCCUAAGACAUAAAUAAUCUGAAAUCUGUUGUUUGGCACCAUAUGAGUCAUGUUUCUGAAUUUAUGAAAUAAUUACCUUGGCACAUGUUAAAUACAUAUCUUUAAUUUAGUAUGUGCAAUUGCUCUGAAAUUUUUAUGGUGAUGCCCUGAUGUUAAAUACAUAUCUUUAAUUUUGUAGAUUUUUCUGAGCACUUUGACUGGUAUAUUAUAAUUAUGCUCUUUUCUAGAAUUAAUUAAUAAAUGCCUUGUUAAGUAAAUGUUUGGGGGUUUUCAUCUGGUGUUCUGGUAACCUUGUAAUAUGUUUGUGCUCAUAAGCCAAGUGGUUGGCAUGGGUUAUGUUUUGGUUGUGUCAUUAAAUAAUUACUUAAAGGGGUUAAAGGCUGUUCUGGACAGCAAGGAAAGGAUUUAAUUUUUCUUAAUGAUAACUUGACUUUCUGUGAAACUUGUCUUAAUCAAAGUUUUUCUAAACUUGUUGAACUAGCUGUGGUUUAAAUUUAAGGUCAUUUGGCCAAGUAGUUUAAAAGUUAUAGCUGUUCCAAGUUGGGUUCCAGAAAUAGGUGUUCUCUGUUUUUCUGGAACAGAACCUGGAACAUUGUUUAAAUGACUGGUUUAAUGUAUGAAUCUGGCUGCCAUGUUUAAAGAUGAGUUGUGGACAAUUUCAUAAGCUUUCCAGAAUGUCCUCACUCAUGUUAGUUGGACCUGUAUAUCAUUAGUUAUGAUUUAUUUACUGAGUAUACUUGUUUUAUGUUGCUUGCUGUUUUAGUAUCAUGAUAGGUUGUGGGCUGAGUUGACUUAUUUACUUUUGUGAGCUAGUAUAACUUUUACUCCAUAAAUGAGUGUCCAGUGAGUUACUUGUGUUAUCAAGCAUUCAUCUUUAGCAUGUGCAUCUUCUUAUUGUUCGAGCAUGCAAUAGGUGCAUCGGACGCGACAGCCUCCUACGAGCAGCAGGCGAAUCCCGAAGGUCAGGAGGGCAGCCAAGAGGUGGAGGUCCAGCAAGCCGGACUCGAGGAGCCCGAAGAAGAAGUUGAGUGCCCGAAUCACGAGCCGGCAUCGUUCGUGAAAGGCAAGCCCCGGAGCAUUCUAAGUCUCCCUUUAUUUUCGAAAGUUACUUAAUAUGUUAUAUCUAUUUAUGCAUUACGUAUAGGAGUUGUGAUGAGACUUUUGCUGCACUUUAUUCCAUCCUUGUCCAGAUAAUUCAUCCUACCCUGGUUGUAGAGUUAGGAUCGAGUAGCGGCUUAGCCAUGCUUUAAUCGGUAGAAGUCGGGUGAUUUCCUGUCACCUGCGCGAUAUAGGGUGAUGUCGGAUCACGAUGGUCUAUAUGUGCUAUCGUGGAUGGAACCUGAUUAAAUUGACUUAAGCCAGGCGGAGUUUUGCAAGUUUGUAGUAACUCCGUCUGUGGCAGCUAAGGACCGAUCGUUGUACGUCCUCUUGUCAUGUUGAACGCAUGCCUGACACUUAGUUGGCCGGAUAACUCGUUCCGACCGCGAAGCCGAGUAGUAUGACUCAGGCCGGAAGACCGGCAAGUAUAAAGUGCGCACUACCAGAGGAAGUGCGGUGUGCGGGGGACCAUUGGCGUAAGCCCAAAGGCAGGUGAGUUAAAAUUCCUGACCUCUCUAGCAGAGUGGUAGCCCUGGGAGUGCGGCGCUGAUCGGAGCCGCGAUUCCUGAGUUGUACCAAAGGUGACCCGUUGGCUCUCCGGCAGGGGAUGCUUGGGUGAGUGCUAGGAAUAACCCUCCAGCUGGAUAGGAAUUCGAUUCGAAUCGCCGUCUCUCCCGGUUAGUGAGAACUUGACAGAGCAGCGGCAAACGUAGCAUUCACUAAUGAACUUGGUUCAUGAAAAUGAUGAUAGCAAGAAGAACAUAUGAUGAAUUUGAUAUGGUUAUUAUUGUUUGUAAUAAUCAAGUGAUGUGUUGUAGUUCAGGUGCUAAUCUAGUGGUAGGCUGAUGAUAAAUAAAUUUGAUGCUCUCAAAAUAACUUAGUUGUAAGUUAAGCUUUUGGCAAAAGGCGAGUCGACCAGCUCCACUUGAUACUUAGCCUUGCAUGAUCCUUGGUGUAUUUUAUGUUUUACUAGACGGUUAAGUCUAGCUGAGUACAUUCUCGUACUCAGGGUUUAUUCUCACCUGUUGCAGAUGAUAUCUUCUAUGACGGUUUCUGCAAGACCUGUCUCCAUCCCGCUGGGGAUGAGGACUAACCGUUGGGCACGGUUCUCUAACAACUUCGUAUCUGUUGCUUUUGGAAGGGUGGUGUAGACUCUGGCAGUAACCCGAACUUAUGAACUGAACUUUGGAAUGUGUGUGUAAGUAUUUUGCUUCCGCUAUUUCGAACAAGUGUUGUAAUAACUUAAUACUCCAAUGUGGUGCCGCUUCGACGGCAAUGUAUGACUAUGUAACAUUCGUUGUGUUUAUGUUGAACUAUUACGAUCUUGGUUUGUUGCGAGUUGGUUUGAAGUCCUUCGUGAUUUCAAUUGAGUACCGGGAUUAUAUGGGCUCAAGUUUGGAAACUUGAUUGCUGGUCGAUCGCUUCUGCACUUGAACUCUUAUAAUUUGGUCGGUUCUGUGACACUGUAGCCACCCUUCCCCGACACUCUACUGGUCGGAGAUGGCCGGCGUAAGCCGGGGUAGCUCCGCUGUGCCGCUAUGGCCGACGGCGACCCCUCUCCGUAGCCGAAACCCUAGCACCACCUACCUCCAUCGAUGCGGAAUCCCUCCAGGAGCACGUUGGUGCCCUUGGAUCCGCCGGAGAAGCUCACCGUCGGCGAGCAUUUGCCGGCGAAGGAGUCCUCUGUUCUCGGUGUCACUGACGCGCGGGUCCCGUCUGCCAGUGACUCAACGGUCACCCCCUUCCUUUUAUUCAAAUCUGGAUUUUUGGCUUUCUUGCAAAAAUCAUAUCUCUAGUUCUGGUGAUCCACAAAUUGUGAAACCAAUUUUGUGAUGUUCCUUGAGAUGGCUAGUUUUUAAUAAAAAUAUAAAAUGAACCAUGUUUUCUGGGAAAAAUAUUUAUUAGGAUUUAAUCUUGUUAUUCAUGAAUAAAUUCAUAUCUCUGGUUAUACUAUUUAGUUUGCCAUGAAAAUUUUAUGGUAGUCUCUGUGUGGUACUUGAGUGCUUUGAUAAAUAUUUCAUGAUUUUUGGAGUAAUGCAGCUUUGUUAUGUAAUUUAUUAUUGAAAUUUGGCUUGUUUCCUUGAUUAAAUCAUACAAAAUAAUUGGUGCUUAUGCUGGUGUUCUACUUUGGUGGUAAACUUGUUUAUGACAUUGAUAAUGUGUAAAUAAUCUGAAAUCUGUUGUUUGACAUCAUAUAAGUCAUGUUUCUGAAUUUAUGAAAUAAACACCUUGUCAUAUGUGAAAUGCAUAUCUUUAAUUUGGUAUGUGCAAUUGCCCUGAAGUUUUUAUGGUGAUGCUUUGAUGCUAUACUUGUGCUUCUGUAAUUUUUGUAGAUGUUUCUGAGCACUUUGACUAGUAUCUUGUAAUUAUGCUCCUUUCUAGAAUUAAUUAAUAAAUGCCUUGUUAAGUAAAUGUUUGAGGGUUAUCAUCUGAUGUUCUGGUUGUCUUAUGUUAUGCUUGUGCUCAUAAGCCAUGUGGCUGGCAUGGUUUAUGUUUGGGUUAUGUCAUCAAAUAAUUAAUUGGUGGGUUAAAAGCUGUUCUGGACAGCAAGGGAGUAAUUUAACUUUUGCUUAAUGAUAACUUGGUUUUCUGGGAAACUUGUCUAAAUCAAAGUUGUUGUAAACUUAUUGAACUAGCUGUGGUUUAAAUUUGGGAUCAUUUGGUCCAGUAGUUUUGAAGUUAUGAUCUUUCCAAGUUAGGUUCCAGAAAUAGGUGUUCUCUGUUUUUCUGGGACAUAACCUGGAACUUUGUUUAAAUGACUUGUUUAAUUUAUGAACCUUGCUGUGAUGUCUAAAGAUGAUUUGUAGACAAUUUCAUAAGCUUUCCAGAAUGUCCUCACUUAAAUUUGUUGGAUUUUGUGGUAAUAGUUAUGCUCUGUUUACUGAGCUAAUCCUGCUGUUUGAUGCUUGCUGUUAUAGGCUAUCAUGAUAGGUUUUGGGCUAAGUUAACUUGUUAACUUGUGUGAACUUGUUAUAACUAUUGCUCCGUAAAUGAGUGUCCAGUGGGUCACUUAUGUUUUCAAGCAUUCAUUCUUUUGUAUGCACACCUUCUCAUUCACCGAGCAUGCAAUAGGUGCAUCGGAUGUGGCAGCCUCAUUCGAUCUGCAAGUGAACCCCGAAGGCCAGGAGGGCAACCCGGAGGUGGAGGUCCAGCAAGUCGGACUCGAGGAGCCCGAAGAAGAAGUUGAGUGCCCGAGUCACGAGCCAGCCUCGUUCGUGAAAGGCAAGCCCCGGAGCAUUCUAAGUCUCCCUUUAUUUUCGAAAGUUUAUUUAAUAUGUUAUGUCUAUUGAUGCAUUAAGUAUAGGAGUUGUGAUGACACCCUUGUUGCAUUUUACUCCAUCCUUGUCCAGAUAACUCACCACACCUUGGUUAUAGAGUUAGGAUCGAGUAGCAGCUUAGCCAUGCUUUAAGCGGUAGACGUCGGGUGAUUUCCUGUCACCUGCGCGAUAUAGGGUUGUGUCGGAUCACGAUGGUCUAUAUGUGCUAUCGUGGAUGGAACCUGAUUAAUUUGACUUAAGCCGGGCGGAGUUUUGCAAGGUUGUAGUAACUCCGUCUGUGGCAGCUAAGGACCGACCGUUGUACGUCCUCUUGUCAUGUUGAACGCAUGCCUAACACUUAGUUGGCCGGAUAACUCGUUCCGACCGCGAAGCCGAGUAGUAUGACUCAGGCCGGAAGACCGGCAAGUAUAAAGUGCGUACUACCGGAGGAAGUGCGGUGUGCAGGGGAUCAUUGGCGUAAGCCCAAAGGCAGGUGAGUUAAAAUUCCUGACCUCCCUGGCAGAGUGGUAGCCCUGGGAGUGCGGCGCUGAUCGGAGCCGCGAUUCCUGAGUCGUACCAAAGGUGACCCGUUGGCUCUCCGACGGGGGAUGCUUGGGUGAGUGCUAGGAAUACACCUCCAGCUGGAUAGGAAUUCGAUUCGAAUCGCCGUCUCUCCCGGUUAGUGAGAACUUGACAGAGCAGCGGCAAACGUAGCAUUCACUAAUGAACUUGGUUCAUGAUAAUGAUGAUAGCAAAGAAGAACAUAUGAUGAAUUUAAUAUGGUUAUUAUUGUUUGUAAUAAUCAAGUGAUGUGUUGUAUUACAGGUGCUAAUCAAGUGAUGUGUUGUAGUACAGGUGCUAAUCUAGUGGUAGGUGCUAAUCUAGGGCAAUCAAGUUUAGGGUAGUCAACUGAAAUCAUGAAGGACUUCAAACCAACUUGCAACAAACCAAGAUCAUAAUAGUUCAACACAACACAUCGAUUGUUACAUAGUUCAUUCAUUGCCGUCGAAGCGGCACCACAUCGGAGUUACUUAGUUAUUACAACACAAGUUUGUAGUAGCGGAAGCAAAAUACUUUACAUCACACAUUCCAAAGUUCAGUUCACAAGUUCUUGUUUCUGCCAGGGUCUCAUGCCAUCCAUCAAAAGCAACAGAUACGAAGUAGUUAGAGAACCGUGCCCAACGGUUUAGUCCUCAUCCCCCGCGAGAUGGAGACAGAUCUUGUAGAAGCCAUCAUAAAAGAUAUCAUCUGCAACAGGUUGGAAUAAACCCUAAGUACGAGGAUGUACUCAGCUAGACUUACCCGUCCAGUAAAACAUAAAUGACACCAAGGAUCAUGCAAGUUUGAGCAUAAAGUGUAGCUGGCUUGACUCAAUAGUUGCCAAAAGCUUAAUUGAUAGCUACAUUAUUGUAAAGGCAUCAUAUUAAUCAUCAUUUGCCUACCACUAGAUUAGCACCUGGACUACAACACAUCACUUAAUUAUUACAAGCAAUAAUAAAUAUAUCAAGUUCAUCAUAUGCUCUUCCUUGCUAUCAUCAUCAUCAAUAACCAUUGUUCAUUAAUGGAUGCUACGUUUGCUGCUGCUCUAUCAAGUUCUCACUAUCCGGGAGAGACAACGAUUCAAAUCGAUUCCUAUCCAGCUGGAGGGUUAUUCCUUGCACUCACCCAAGCUUUUCCCGUCGGAGAGCCAGCGGGUCACCUUUGGUAUGACUCAGGAAUCGCGGCUCCGAUCAGCGCCGCACUCCCAGGGCUACCACUCUGCCAGGGAGGUCAGGACUUUUAACUCACCUGCCUUUGGUCUUAUGCCAAUGGUCCCCCGCACACCGCACUUCCUCCGAUAGUGCGCACUUUAUACUUGCCGGUCUUCCGGCCUGAGUCAUACUACUAGGCUUCACGGUCGGAAUGAGUUUUCCGGCCAACUAAGUAUUAGGCAUGCGUUCAACGUGACAAGAGGACGUACAACGAUCGGUCCUUAGCUUCCAUAGACGGAGUUACUACAACCUUGCAAAACUCCGCCCGGCUUAAGUCAAUUUAAUUAGGUUCUUACCACGAUAGCACAAAUAGACAAUCGCGAUCCGACACAACCCUAUCUCGCGCAGGUGACAGGAUAUCACCCGACUUCUACCGAUUAAGCAUGGCUAAGCUGCUACUCGGUCCUAACUCUAUAACCAGGUAGUGGUAAGAUAUCUAGACAAGGAUUGAGUAAAAUGCAGCAAGGGUUUCAUCACAACUCCUAUACGUAAUGCAGCAAUAAACAUAACAUAAUCAAGUAAACUUUCGAAAUUAAAGUGGGAGACUUAAGAUGCUUCGGGGCUUGCCUUUCAUGAACGAUGUAGGCUCGUGAUUCGGGCACUCAAUCUCCUCUUCGGGCUCCUCGUGUCCGGCUUGCUGGACCUCCACCUCCGGGUUGAUCUCUUAGCCCUCGGGGUUCACUUGGAGCUCGAACGUAGCGGUCGUUUCCGGUGCACCUAUUGCAUGCACGAUGGAUAAGAAUGUGUGCAUACUAAAUGGAUGAAUGCUUGAUAACAUAAUUAGACUCACUGGACACUCAUUUACGGAGUAACUGUCAUAACAAGUUCAUACAAGAUGACUAUUUAACAUAGCAAAUCCUACCAAUUCAACCUAUAAACAGCAAGCAUCACAUAACAGAACAGCUCAGUAAACAGAUCAUAACUAUUGCUAUACAGGUUCAACAAACAUGAAUGAGGACAUUCUGGAAAGCUUAUGAAAUUGUUUAUAUUUCAUAUUUAGACAUCACAGCAAGAUUCAUAAGUUAAACAAGCCAAAUAAACAAAGUUCCAGGUUCUGUCCUAGAAAAACAGAGAGCACCUAUUUCUGGAAUCCAACUUGGAAAAGCCAUAACUUCAAAACUACUGAAUCAAAAGAUCCCAAAUUUAGACCACAGCUAGUUCAUGAAGUUUACAACAACUUUGAUUUAGACAAGUCUUCCAGAAAACCAAGUUUUCACUAAGCAAAGGUUGGAGUACUCCCUUGCUGUCCAGAACAGCUUUUAACCCUUUAAUUAAUUAUUUAAUGACAUAACCAAAACACAUUUAGUGGCAACCAAAUGGCUUAUAAACACUAGCAUACCAUAAGAUUACCAGAACAACAUAUGUAAACCCCAAAACAUAUAAUAACAAGGCAUUUAUUAAUUUAAUUCUAUAAAGGAACAUAAUUAUAAGAUACCAGCAAAAGUGCUCAGAAAAAUCUACACAAAUUACACAAGCACAAGCAUAGCAUCUUGACAUCACCAUAAAAUUUUCAGAGCAAUUGCACAUGCCAAAUUCAAGAUAAGCAUUUAACAUGUGACAAGGUGCUUAUUUCAUAAAUUAAGAAACAUAGCUUAGAUAGUGUCAAACAACAUAUUUCAGAUUAUUUACAUGUGACUAUUACCAUAAACAAGUUUGACACCAGAGUAGAGCACCAGCAUAAGCACCAAUUAAUUAUUAUGAUUUAAGUAAGACAACAAGCCAUAUCACAAACAUAAAUUACAUGUCACAGAUUUAUUACUCCAAAAAUCAUGAAAUAUUUAUCAUAGCCUUCUCAUACCACUCAGAGCAUAGAAUAAAAAUUUCAUAGCAAAAGGAGCAGUAUAACAAGAGAUAUGGAUUUACACAUAAAUAACAAGAUUAAAUCAUAACAAUUAUUUUUCCCAAAAAACAUGGUACAUUUUAUAUUUUUAUUAAAAACUAGCCAUCUCAAGGAACAUCACAAAAUUUAAUUCACAAUUUUUGGAUAUCAGAAACAGAAGAUAUGAUUUUUGCAAGAAUGCCAAAAACCUAGAUUUGAAUAAAAGAAAAGGAGGGAAACGAUGUGUCACUGACAGCGUGUCCCGCAUGUCAGGUUCAUCUUCCUCAUGACCGAGGCGACUCUCACCGGCGAUUUAUCCGCGAUGGCGAGGUCUUCGGCCAAACCAAGGGCACCAACGUGAUCCCCAGACCCUUGCGAACCGAUUGACCCCCUUUUCCCCACGGCGGAGCCACCGGAAAUGGCUUGCCGUCGACCAUGGCGGCUCGGCGGAGGUGCUCGGCGUUACACCAGAGCUCUCAGGCUGGUAGAGCGCGACCUAGGGGCUCCUACCGCACCUGUGAACUAUGGCGAAGCUUCCUAGAUAGGUGACUAGGCUUGAAACGGUCUGGAAUGAGGUAGACACGAGAGAGCCGAACUCCGGCGGAAACACGGCGGCGCUGCGCGUCGUGUCCGGCGACGGUGAGUGCGGUAGAGCGUCCAACAAGUGGCGCAAACGUUUGGUAAGGACCUAAGCUACCUCUAGGACCUAACCAGAGAAGACGAGAGGCUCUGAGGAGCUCAACAUUGAGUUCGCCGGAGAAGAAGGUCACGGCGACCCGAUUUGGGGGAAGUUGGAAAUGUCGGCUCACCGGAGGGUUUCACGGCGAGUUUGCGGGUGGAGGAUGGAGAGCGGGUCACGGUGGAGCUGUGGGCGAGUUUUUGUGGGCAGCAACGCAGCGAGGAGUGCGUUUGAGCUCGCCGGAGUGAGCUCGCUGCGGCCGCUUUUCUCGCGAGAGAGCGAGAGGGAGGAGAAAGUGGACGCAUCCACUGCAUCCGGGGCGUCGCCGUGGAGGUCAUGCGCGUGCUGGGAGCUGACGAGCGGGGCCAGGAACGAUGUACGGGCGCCAAAUGUCGCCGUUGUUCUGUCGCCGGUCGGCCACGUCGACGAGCUCGGCUUCGAUUCAGUCAUGGCGAUGGUUGUGUGACAGAGCAACUUCGACAGUGAUUAACUCCCAAACCAAAACGAAUUAGGAGAUGGUGUAGUUGACAAAGUUGGAGUACUUGCUGGGUUCUACAACAUUGUCAACUAGAGCAAAAGCCAGAUCGGCGUGGAUUGAGGGAUAUGAGGUUUUCAAAAUCGAUCGCGCAAACUGGUGGCGCCAGGACUUAGCCAAAUUUGGUUAAGUGCCAAAACAGCCCCCAAAACUGCCUUAAAAGCACGUUUUGAGCAAGAUGUCUUCAUUUUCAUGAGAUGCCCAUAAAACAACUUUUGUUCCUUAUAACAUUUUCUACAACUUUGUUGUAGGAAGUUUUGACAUUCAAACAUUUUAGGAAACACUUUUUAAAAGCCUAAGCAAAAGAGGUUUCUAGGGCCUAUACAUGGAAGUAUGACUUAAGUGAUUAUUUUGGAGAAGUGAUCAACAUGAACAUUGUUACUAAGGUUGAGUCAAGCAUAGAUAAACUAAUUACCAAGACUUAACACACAAGCAUGAGCAUGGCACAAACCAACACAAGCAUAGGAAGCAUAUAUAAAACGAAAAUAUAAAAACAGAGAAUAGUAUUUAUUGAGGAGUCUCAACAUGAUAAAGGCUAAAUAUUUAUGCUAACACUUAAUCAAUUCUACAAAGCUUUGUUGUCUAUUUGAGCUCUAUAGAAUUUAAAGAAUCAGGUAGACUAGCAGACGGAGGACAUUCUAAUCGCUGUCAGAAUGCUGCUGACUUUCAAAUACACCUCUGCCACCUGCUAGCUACAUCAAGAGAAAUUACGUCAAAAUUCAGCUUGGGGGAGAGCACCCCCAUUUAUCCCGCUAAGUAUUUCUAUCUAUCUUUAUACUUAUACUAUAUUAAAAUAUUAAUACACAUAACUAUGGAAAACCAAAUAAAGAUUUUGUUCUUAUAUAUAUAUAUAUGUCUUUUGCUUAGUGUGUUUAAUAAAUAAAUAAAGUGGCUAUGCUAAUCUGAAUCUUAAUAAUAAAACUCUAGCAUGGAUAUGAUGAAUAGUUGCUCUGCCUAAUUUUCAAAUUUAAGUUGUCUCUCAAGUUUAGACAUAACUGUUAUAAUUUAAAGCUUGCUCUAGACCUAAACUUGUGGGAUGAAAACUUGAUCUGAAGUCUAAGUUGUUAACGAAUACGAUAUGGGAAGGUUGAGCUGCUGUUUAUCUGUUCCUAGAGAUGCUAGAAUUCUGGAGAAUUUUAUCUUUGAAAAUCUUUAAAAUAUUACAUGAUGAGUUCCUGUAUGAUGAGAGUUUAAAUUCCUACCACAGCCAUAUAUACAUGCUUGCUAGACUUUUAGCCACACAUUUACUAUUUACUGCUUAUGAGCAUUGAGUGUGGUCAAGCUGUGUAGACCCCUAGGAGCUUGUCAUGUGGUUAAAUCAAGAUUCACUUGCACGUUCACUCACAUCUGCUGCUUCUACUCCGGAAGUACCAUCCACAUAUAUCCACCCAUUUCCAUCUCCAAAAUCACCCAAAAAUAUUCUACUCCUAAUCCGGGAGGGAAUAGCCAAAAAUAUUUCUGUUUUUCUCUUGUGAAAUAAAUGCUCAAGUUAUCUUUACUACCACUUGCUACAUUAUCUCAAGAGAUGAGUGCUCUAAAAAAAUAAAAAAAAAAGAGAAGAAAAAGAUAUGAGGAAAUAAAAAGGGGCAAGUGCCCGAAACCUCGGAAAAAGAAAAUGAGUGAGACGAGAAGUAAAAAUGGACAAGUGUCCGACAGUAGAAUUAGGGGUACAAGAUACCCACCUGAGAGAAAAGAAAAAGAAGAGCAUCUCAUUCUCAUCACAAAUUUACAAAAAGCAAGGAAGGUAUGUAUCCCCUCAAAAGAGCAAAAGUAGAAUUAGGCUUUCACCAUUGUUAUCACCAUCAUCACUAUACACAAUUCAUUCGCCACACAUGCACAUCUUGAUUUAAUUUAUUGACUUGUUCUUUUGGAUCCAUAGUUUGACUAUACAAUAAAUGUCUUGUAAGUAUGUAUAUUUUAUCUCCCACCUAUGAGCUCCAAAUAUUAAAGCCUUAUUAGAGUAGGGUGAGAGAGAAGGCAAUGUCACUAUGCCUUAUACCACAAAUACCACAUAUUUUGAGAGAAGGCAUAUACCAUCACUGCCUUGGUAAGCAUCCAGAAAUACCACAAAAGAGAGAUAUGAGAGAAUCAUACAAGGAAUCUCUGAGUUUUAUUUGAAAAUCUGCAAAAACUCCAGAGCUAUAGCUGAUCAAGAAUAAGAGACAUGGCACUUGGCUAGACUGUUCUGUCUUUUAACCACUCA
rnacentral:lncRNA from 1 species